rnacentral:lncRNA from 1 species
CUCCAGUUGACCCAUCUAACUUAUCUGGCUUUACAUGUGAAUCUCCUCAUUCUUCUGAUGAGUCAUUUGACUCCAACUAUAAACUGUUCAAAAAUCAGAAUGGUGAAGUAUUUGCUAGAUAUGUUGGCACUAACUGCAGGAAUGGUUCUCCUAUGAAGAAAAUCUGGGUUCCCAAGAAGUGCCUUGAAAGUCUUCAGGUGAAUGUCCUCAUGACACCACCUAUGAAGAACAGGAACCCCAGAUCAAAUUCUUCAUAUGGACCAAAUUCUUCAUAUGAAUCCAAAACCUCAUACGGACCAAAUUCCUCACGUGGAUCAAAUUCCUCAAAAGGAUCAAUUUCCUUAUAUGAUUAUCAUCGUGCUAACAACUCUGUCUCGCAGGGUAGGGCUAAGGGCUAUGAAUAUGUGCAUUAUUCUUCAAACCAUUAUGUUCAUAAGUCCUCGAAGAAUUUCUCUGCUUAUUCAUAUGCUUACCCUAACCCCUCUUACAUGAAACGAAAUGGUUUGGCAUCUUUGCCACCUUUCUCAUAUGGUGCUCGCAGAGUGAUGAACUCUUUGCCACCCCUUCAGAUGUGGGUGGUGAAGAAAAAGAACUAAUCUCUUCUGCAGGGUCAGGUCUCCAGACGUGCUUUAACGUCUGAAGAAUUUGCUGGGGACCUGACAAAAUUGCCUGAAAGGAUGCACGCGAAUCAUGAUGAAAUGAACCUUCAUUUCACACGUCCUCAUACUGCUAUAUCUGUUUACUGCUUGAUGAAAUUCAUCUGAUGAACUUGAUAUCAUAUUCUUCACUGAUGAAGCAUAUGAGAUUGUAAGUUACACUAAUUCAUCUGCAGGAUGAUCAACCCAAAACUACUGAGUGGGUCCUCGAUAGUGGAUGUACGAAUCACAUGACUGGUGACAAGAAUCUAUUGAUGGAUGCUCCCUUAUCACCGUCACAUCUGAAGCAUAUCAUCUUUGCUGACAAAGGCAAAAGUCAGGUAUUGGGGCUUGGUAAGGUUGCAAUCUCUAAGGAUAAACACAUGGACAAAGUCAUGCUUGUUGAGUCCUUAGGAUACAACCUCAUGUCAGUCUCAAUGCUUUGUGAUCUUGAUAUGGUUGUUGUCUUUGGCAAGUAUCGCUGUGUUGUGAUCAUGGAAGCUGACAAUUCCAAAGUCUUCGAAGGCUUUAGGAGAGGAGAUUUGUAUAUUGUUGAUUUCUCUACAGGACCACAACCAGCCGUGUGUCUACUUGCAAAAGCUUCAGAAGGCUGGCUAUGGCAUCGACGACUUGGUCACGCAGGCAUGAGGAAUUUGCAUACGCUUGCGAAGAAGAAGCAUGUCAUUGGCAUUGAGAAUGUCAAAUUCCUCAAGGAUCACUUAUGCGGAGCAUGUGAAGCUGGGAAAAUGACCAAGGCCAAGCAUCCAGCGAAGACUAUCAUGACCACUACUCGUCCAUUCGAAUUGCUUCACAUGGACCUCUUCGGACCUAACCAUUACUCAGCAGUCACUAAUGAUGCAUCUCUAUAUGGUUUUGUCAUUGUUGAUGAUUACUCUCAAUACACAUGGGUACACAUUGUUACUUACAAACAUGAAGUGCAGGAAGUCUUCAAACAAUUUUCCUCGAGGGCUUCAACCAACGUUGGUGUGAAGAUCAAGCAUAUCAGAAGUGACAAUGGAACUGAGUUCAAGAAUUCCGGUCUUGAUGACUAUCUUGAUGAACUUGGUAUUACUCAUGAAUUAUCUGCUCCCUAUACUCCUCAGCAAAAUGGCGUCGUGGAGCGCAAGAACAGAACUCUUGUUGAGAUGGCUCGCACUAUGCUUGAUGAAUACAAAACGCCUCAGCGUUUUUGGAUUGAUGCAAUUGAUACUGCGUGCCACAUCAUCAACAGAGUAUAUCUUCACAAAUUCUUCAAGAAGACGGCCUAUGAACUCCUCACUGACAAGAAACCCAAUGUGAGUUAUUUCAAAGUCUUCGGUGCUAAAUGUUGGAUUAGAGAUCCUCACCACAACUCUAAAUUUGCACCGAAAGCACAUGGAGGCUUUAUGCUUGGUUACGGAAAGGACUCGCACACCUACAGAGUCUUCAACAUUAUUCUUCACAAGAUUGUUGACACUGUAUAUGUGCGGUUCAAUGAAACUAAUGGCUCGCAAAGAGAGCACCUCCCUUCUGUGUUAGAUGAACUAGCACCUGAGGAUUCUAUCAAGUUCAAGGCAACUGAGGAUGUCAUUCCUACUGAAGAAUCUGCUGAAGAAUUCAUCCCAGUUCAUGAAGAUCGUCGAGCUGAUGCACCUGAAGAACAUGCUGAGGAAAAUGGUGCUGAAGAAAAUGCUGAUCAAAUUCCUCAGCGACAACCAGCUCAUCCUCGCGUUGCAAAAGAAGUGCAAGUGGAAAAGAUCAUCGAUGACAUUAGCGCACCACGUCCUCUCACACGCUCAAAAGCUUCACAUUUAUCUAACUUCUGUGGGCACUAUGCUUUUGUCUCUAUCACAGAGCCCACUAAGGUAGAUGAAGCAUUUAUGGAGCCGGAGUGGAUUCAGGCUAUGCAAGAAGAAUUACAUCAGUUCGAGCUUAACAAUGUCCGGGAACUGGUCAAUCGUCCAGAUCCUUGCAAGCAUAAUAUCAUUGGCACAAAGUGGAUCUACCGCAACAAGCAAGAUGAAAAUGGCCUUGUGGUGAGGAAUAAGGCACGACUGGUAGCUCAAGGCUACACACAGAUUGAAGGAAUUGAUUUCGAUGAAACUUUUGCACCUGUUGCUAGACUUGAGGCUAUCCGCACAUUACUUGCUUAUGCUAACCAUCAUGAUAUCAUCUUAUAUCAAAUGGAUGUGAAAAGUGCAUUCCUCAAUGGUAAGCUUGAGGAAGAAGUAUAUGUUGCUCAACCCCCCCGGUUUUGAAGAUCCAAAGAAUCCUGACAAAGUCUUCAGACUUAACAAGGCCCUCUAUGGCCUCAAGCAAGCCCCUCGGGCGUGGUAUGAUACAUUGAAGGAAUUCUUCGUGAAGAAUGGCUUCACACCCGGUUCACUCGACCCUACUCUCUUUACUAAAUCUUAUGAUGGUGAACUGUUUGUGUGCCAAAUAUAUGUUGAUGAUAUUAUCUUUGGUUGUACUGACCAACGUUAUAGUGAUGAAUUUGCCUAUAUGAUGAGUGAAGAAUAUCAAAUGUCUAUGAUGGGAGAGUUGAAAUUCUUCUUAUGUCUUCAAAUUCGUCAGCAGCACAAUGGCAUAUUCAUAUCUCAAGAGAAAUACCUCAAAGAUGUACUGAGGAAAUUCGGCAUGCAAGAUUGCAAAGGCGUCAAAAUUCCUAUGCGCACAAAUGGCCAUCUAUGCACUGAUGAAAAUGGUAUUGACUUCGAUCACAAGGUAUACAGCUCCAUGAUUGGUUCUUUAUUGUACUUAUGUGCAUCUAGGCCAGAUAUAAUGCUUAGUGUUUGCAUGUGUGCCCGAUUUCAAGCUGCACCGAAGGAAUCACACCAUAAGGCUGUGAAGCAUAUUCUUCGAUAUCUAGCUCACACACCAACACUAGGAUUAUGGUACCCCAAGGGCUCUGCCUUUGAUCUCAUUGGAUAUUUUGACUCUAACUAUGCUGGUGAUCGUGUGGACCGCAAGUCAACAUCUGGCACUCGUCAUUUCCUCGGACGAUCUUUGGUCUGUUGGUCCUCGAAGAAACAGAACUGCGUAUCACUAUCUACUACGGAAGCUGAAUACAUUACUGCUGGCUCUUGCUGUGCUCAACUGCUUUGGAUGAACCAAACCCUUAAGGACUAUGGCGUCAACGUGAAGAAUGUGCCUCUCCUCUGCGACAAUGAGAGUGCCAUCAAGAUUGCUCACAACCUAGUUCAGCACUCGAAGACAAAGCACAUUCAGAUUUGUCAUCAUUUUCUUCGUGAUCAUGUGUUGAAGGGCGACAUCUCCAUCGAGCACGUGAAGACUGAAGAACAGCUAGCUGAUAUCUUCACUAAGCCCUUGGAUGAGAAGAGAUUUAGCAAGUUGCGGUGUGAGCUAAAUAUCUUAGAGUCUUCGAAUGUUCUUUGAAAAGGACACACAUCCUAACACUUAUGCAAAAUUGAUGACUUAGAUGUGCAACAUAUGAAGAAAUGUUUUUCUUCAAUCAAUGAAGAAUAACACUCUAAGUGUGAAGAAAUUAAUGAAGAAUUUGAUUCUCAGAACCCUACGACAAUUGUACGCGGUGUCUGAAAUCAUCAUUCUUAUACGGUGGGUCACGCCACCACAAAAAGUUGAAAAUCUUCAAUUUGAGUUUUUCCUCAGUUUUGAAAUUCUUCAGUUUUUCAAAUUCUUCAACUUUGCAAAAUCUUCACUAGUUCCGUCGUUUUUCUUCAUUGGCUAUCUAUAUAUAUGAGUUUAUGUCCUCUACAGCAUUCACUUAUAGCUACUUCUUCAAGUUGUUUUUUUUCUGCUAAGUGAAUGUGAUCGGACCCUUCCCCCUCUAUGCUAUACUCAACCCAAUCUAUUCACAAAUUCUUCAUGUGCGUUCUAAUUGAAACUCGUUCAAAAUCUUCACUGUGUCCUUGUCAGCUGAAGAAUUUGCGAACGAAACUUUAAAACAAAUCUUAUCCAGAUUUUCGGUUUUGCCGCUCAAACCGUUCCGCAUCCCAUGAUGCAUUAUUCUAUUCACCCACGAUCUUACACAAUCUCAUCUACACAGUACGUGGGUGACACAUGUCGCGUGAAGGAGAAAGGGCAGGGGCAUGUUUGUCCCAAAAUCUUCGGGCGAACAGUUUUUCACCGUGGCUAUAAAUACCCCUCUCCCCUUCCUCACUUCAUUUACUCUGCUCGACCGUUCUCUCUCACUCGAGCUCCUCAAACCCUAGCGCUGCCGCUACUCCAUCGUCGCCGGUGAGGAAGAGCUUCGCUGCCUCGACCUUGUCGCCGUCGUACUCGCGCCGGUUGCGGAAAUCUUCACUCCGCCGCCACCGUAGCCGUCUCCCUCUGCCAAGUUAGGGCGUGGGAGAUCUAACCUGACGAACUUCUCAACUGUUCUUCUUAGUUCGUCGUGUUCUUCACUUCGGGUAAUUAAAAGUCACUUUUAUUACUCACUUUGAUUCUCAAACUUUCUUGAAAAUCUUCAAAGGUGUUUUAUUCUUCAAAUCUUCACACAUAUGAACACCUCACGGAUCAUAUGAUCUUGAACCAUUUCUCUAAGCAAUCAUUUUCUUCAAGAUUACCUAAUUGUGUGGAUCCUCGAUCUGUACAAAUAUGAAACCUAAGACAAGAACGCUUAGUGAAAUUCCUCAAGGUUCAUCUGGUCAAAUUCCUCAAAACUUGUUCUUUUCGAAAAACCUUCUGAGAACGCAUAUGACCUCUCCAAAUUCCUCGCACCUAUAAUCUGUUCACAGGUACUCAUGUCCGCUGCUGAAUCACUAGGUUCUCAUCAACUUAACUCAUUUGCAGUGUUCCUUGAAGAAAAAUUGCAUACUUCUUCAGAGUGUUCAAUUGUUCAAAUUCCUCAUCUGAAGAAUAUGGCUGAAGUUAAGAGACCGCAGAAAGGAGGAAAGAAACAUGAGGUCAUGACUGCUUUCGAGAUCCCUGAUGACAUUUAUAAGGACUAUUGCACACCUGACGAAGCCAAAUUUGGCAAAGAAAACAAAAAUCAGCACAAGGUGCGCAUACAGAGGAUUGAAAGAAGAUGGGCAAGUGAAUGGAGGGAGUAGAGAUAUGUGACUCCAAAGUACAUGAAGAAAUUCGCCCUCAAUCCUCCAUGCCCAAGAGCUCCAUUGGCACCUGGCCAAGUAGCUGAUCCCACCAGCAUCAAGAGUGGUGAGGACUUUCCUGAAGAAUGGGCUAAGCGCCAAGCAAAAUUGGCAAGACAAGCAAAGGAGGCAGUGAAGAAAUCCAAUGAGGAUUCUGCCACUGCUGCUGCAACUGAGGCCUCGGUCAGGCCGAGGAAAUCCAUGCCAAAGAAGCCUACUCGUAAGCCAAGUGCUUCACCAACAGCGCCCUCACGGCCAAGUUCCUCAGCAAUUCCCUCACGGCAAAUUCCUCAGACUUCUCGAUUGCCUCUGGUGUCUCAGCAAGUUCCUCAGCUGCACCAAUUUCCUCAUCAGGCCCGACACUGUUGAAGACCAAAGCAACAGCUGGACGCGGUCCUCGGCCAAGUCCAAGGAAGAAACAGGUUGCAUUCCAUGUGCCCUCUGAUGAUGAAGCUUCUGAUGAUGAACUUGCAGAAAUCAUCAGAGACCGACAAGUGAAGGCCGCUAGAGCCAAAGGCACAUCUGUGCCACUGCUUUUGGAUCCGAGGAAGAUCCUCGACUAUAUUGACCUCUGGCACAAGGAUCCAAACACCCCAAUGUCUGAUUUUCAUCUGACUCCUGGUCAAAGUCACAUGCUGACCCAUUUCAUCACUCAAGAGAAAUGGAAAUUUGAAAAGGCAAGAGAGAUCAAGAAAGCUCAAUACAGAAAGGAGAAGCUCCUGAAGAAAAAUGUUGUCAGAAUGACUGAAAGUGCGUUAUAUCGACUAGAGGGGGGGUUGAAUAGGCGAUUUUUAUGAAUUCUUCACUGAGGAAUUUGCUGGUGAGGAAAUUCCUUAGCGAAGAACUACUUGCAGUGGAAUAAGUACUCAGAAGUAAACAUAACAUGAUACUAGCAUGGUCAUCAUGAUGAAAUGAAGACAAGCACAGAGUACAGAAAGCGUAAUCACAGGACAAGAUGAAGACAAACAGAUUGAAGAAAUUGAACUGAGGAAUUUCAGAAAGUCUUCAGUCAAAGUCUUCAAGCACAGAUAUGAACAAACACUCAACACAGUAAUGAGGAAAUGAAAGGGUUGAGGGGAUAGAACCAGUUAGUUGGUGAAGACAAUGAUUUGGUAAACCAGUUCCAACUGCUGUCUCAGUUGUACGCCUGGCUGGAGCGGCUGAGUAUUUAAACUCGAGGACACGCAGUCCCGGACACCCAGUCACUGAGCCGCAACUCAGGACACCCAGUCCUCACCGUAUUCUCCUUGAACUAAGACCACGCAGGCCUCGUCCAAUCACUCGUGGUAAGUCUUCAGGUGACUUCCAAACCUUCACAGACUUGGUCACUCGGCAAUCCACAAUUCCUCUUGGAUGCUCUAGACCUUGACGCCUAACCGUCUGGAAGAAGCACAGUCUUCAAAGGUAACAAGCGUCGGAUCCACGUGGGAUCAAUUUCUUCAGUGAUGCUCAAUCACUUUGGGUUUGUGGGGGUUUGGUUUUGGGAUUUUCCUCACUUGAUGAUUUUUGCUCAAAGUCCUCGGAGGAUGGGUUGCUCUCAAAUGACAAGUGUCAGGUUCUCUCGGAGCAGCCAACCAGCUAGUGGUUGUAGGGGGCGGCUAUUUAUAGCCUAGGGAGCAGCCCGACAUGAUAAGACAUAAAUGCCCUUCAAUGAUAUGACCGUUAGGUGGAUAAGAUAUUUUGGGACAGCCGGCGCGCAGCACAGCAACGGUCGGAAAUUUGACUCUCAAAUUCCUCAGGGCUAUCAUGUUCCUCACUGUGUAGGCAAUUCGCACUGGCGAAUUCCUAACUCCUCAGUCAGAGCAAAGUCCUCAGUGACCAGAAGAACUGCGUCUCUGUCACUGAAGAAAAUGAUUGAACUGUAUGAGAUUUCCAAUGGCUUCACUCGAAGGGAUUGGUAGGUGUAGGAUUUUGAGUUGAGCAUCACAUGGAAAUUUUUCCUUAGUAUUUCCUCGACCCCCUUUAACAGUACGGUGUUUCCUAUUACUCAAGAAAGAGAAAAUGAAACUGCGAAAACAAAAGUCUUCACGCUCCAUGUUCCUCAAGUGAAUAUCAAGUCUUCAAGGUCACAACAUUUUCUUCACUUUCAAAGUCUUCAGAAAGUCUUCAGAAUAUCAAAGUCUUCAGUCGAAGAACUUCAUUUUUAGGGGUCGACUUUCUCUGUAAAUAUCAAACUCCUCAAAGACUUAUAGACCUGUGUACACUCACAAACGCAUCAGUCCCUUAACCUAUAAGUCUUCAAUACACCAAAAUCACUAAGGGGCACUAGAUGCACUUACAAUCUCCCCCUUUUUGGUGAUUGAUGACAACAUAGGUUAAGUUUUUAACGGGGAUAAACAUAUGAAGUGUAAAUACUGAUAUUGAGGAAUUUGAUUGCAAGAUAUAGAAGAACUCCAGCUGAAGAUGUGCAUAGUGAGGAAUUUGCUUUUGAGGCAAUGCACAUUUGAAGAGUUGAAUCAUGGGAACUCCCCCUAUAUCUUGUAAUUCAUACACGCAUUUGAUAUAUAAUAUGAAGAAUUUGAAAUGCAUGAUGAAAUAUGGUGCCUGAUGAAAUUCAGCAUGCGUGCAAUAAUAUUAACGAGGAAUAAUCAUGCCGAAAGCAUCAAAAGUAUCGGAGCAUAGUGCAACAAAAGCACCAUCCAAAAGUAUCAGAGCACCAUCGGGUUUAAGAUUACAACUCGAUCCAAUAAAAGUUUCGGAAGAACGAGAGUUGCAACUUAAAAAAAAUGCCCAUAAUAUAAACCCGCUUGAAGACUAACUCAGAUUUCUCCCCCUUUGUCAUCAAAUGACCAAAAGGAUUGAAACUGAGGACUAACGCCCCUGAAGAAUUUCAAGUUGAUGGAGGAGCGCCAGCGUUGUCAGGGUUGUUUGUUGUAGCAGGGCCUGCCGCAGUGUCGUCCAAAUCUUCAUACUCAUCAGUUUCACGCGAUGAAGAAUAAGAGCUGGCCACCAGAUCAGGAACUUUGACCCUCUUGAAUUUCUUCGGAGGAGGUGCAGACCAGUCAAAUGCUUCCUGGAGACCCAUAGUCUUCAGUUCUUCCGCGCUAUAGGCAUGUGUGAGGACAGCCCAGGUGCGGUUGAGGGUUUGAUGAAGAUGAUAAUGAUUUUUCUUCACUGCAUUAUGGGUUGAGGUCAUGUUGUGAAGAAUUGCAGCAAACUGACGCUUUACCCAUUUGUGAUUGCGAUGAACCUUCUGAUGAAGACUAGGAGUAACUCACGAUCAGUCAUCACCCUGGGUGCUGUGGCUUGAGGAUUUUGCUUGGCUGAGGUAUUUGCGGCAGUGUCAUGUGUGGCAGAAUCGUCAUUGAUAGAGUAAGAUGUAGCCAGGCGAAAUUGACCAUCCAAUGGACGAAUGCCUUCAUCGAUCACAGCAGCUGCCUUGCCUUUGUCAUCAGAUGAUGAAACUGGUCGCUUGAGGACUUCAAUGGGAGGCAAGUAGCUACCAUGGUUCAGAGUGUCAGCUUUGUAAUUCAGUGAAGAUCUUGCCCUUAUGAAUCUCAUGAUCCAAGGCGCAUAGGGCUUCAACUCGAAAGGUGACAUAGCAACAUUGGCCAGAGUCCUCAUGAAGAAAUCAUGGAAGUUGACGGGAACGCCAUGAAUGAUGUUGAAAAGCAUAUUCUUCAUGAUGCCAACGACAUCUUCAUCAUUUGAGUCAUGGCCUUUGAUAUGACUCAUUGUCUUCGUCAGGAUGCGAUAGACAGUCCGAGGCACAUAUAGCAAUUCCUUGACGAGGAAUUUGGUUCGUGGGGCCUGCCCUGGCUUCAAAGGCUUCAUGAGCACUUGCAUAUAAUGAUUUGUCAGUUCAGGGUCAUUGUAGAUGCAACGUGCACUUUCAUGGGGAGGAUCAAGAGGAAGGACACGAAGCAAUUCAGUUGCCGGUGCCUUGUAGUGAGUGUUUUCAGUCAUCCAAUCCAACACCCAUGAAUUAACAUCUUCAACGUCUCCAGUGAUAUGCAGUGUGGCGUAGAACUGAAGAAUGAGUUCUUCAUUCCAAUCACAGAUGUCAUUGCAGAAAUUGAGCAAUCCCGCAUCGUGAAGAACACUGAGGACUGGCUCAAAGCAUGGCAGAGAUUCCAUAUCCACGUGAGGAAUAUGUUCAUGAUCGAAGAUUUUGUCCUUGUCAAACAGCACUGAGGAAUAGAAGUUGGCUUGGCUAGCUGUCCAGAAACGCUUCUUCCUUAUGCGAGCAGAGUCAUAUGGGUUGUAGUCAGUGAAGAACACAUGCUCAGAAAAGAAGUCUUCAGCCUUGAACUUCUGUUUGCUUGAGAACGGAUUCUUUGGCUUCGACAGAGGAAUGUCAGUGAUUUGCAGUACUACCUCAGGAAUCGCGAGCUCAGGUGCUUCAGGCUGAGGAAUUUCUAGUUCCUCUUCUUGUGCAAUCUGUGGAUCAGCAGUAGGAGGUUCUUCAGCACUAGUGGCUGGAAUUUCUUCAUGAACAGAGGAAGUGGGAUGAGUUUCUUCAGAGCCCAUUUGAACAGUUAUAGCCGGGGACUGAGGAAUUUGUUGAAUAGGAGUGAAGAGAGGAGUAUUGGGAUGCUGACUUUCCCAAAAGUCAUCAUUACUGGUGUGGAGCAUCCAAUAUCCACAUCUUCAUCUUCAAUUUCCUCAACACCAGCCUCUUCAGCUGUGAACUGAGGCAUAGGUGAGGAAUUGACUGUCGUUGAAGGGACUGUAUCCACUUCAAUUUCUUCAUCAAUCUGCUCUGACGAAGCAGCAGAAUGAUUUUCUUCAUCAGAUCCGCUUGGAAUCUUGUAGUCUUCUCCAAAAGGAACAAUUUCCUUUGAUGACAUGGAGGAAAUCGGAACGGCAUCAAUUGGAUGUUCAAGUGAGCUGGUCAUAGGCUUCAUUUUCUUCGCAGCCGAAGAAUUUGACGUAGCUGAUGCCUUUCCAUUUUGACUCUCCUUUUGGGAAUAACAAUAGAGGUACUCGUAAUUGUGUGGUUAGAAAGAGAAAUAUCUUCUUUUCUUCACUGCAGCUCGCUCUGCAGCCUUGGUCUUCUUCACUUCAUAGGCAGAAGGGAGAAUAGGAGUUGGUGUAGGUGCGGGAGGAGCUGAGGUCUUUGGUUGAUUUUCUUCAGGCGCAACUGAUGCAGUUGCCCUGAUCUCUUCAGUUUCUUCAGGCGCACCACUAGUGGAUGCCCUGACAAUUUCUUCAGCGGCUGGGAUGGAGUCAUCAGCCCUGGAACUUACAUUUUCAUCAGCAGGCUGAAAGUCAUCAGCGGUGCUGGCAUGUUCUUUAGCAGGCUGAGCAGAGUCUGCAGCCUGAGGAUUUUCUUGUUGCGAUGGGGCUGCAACAGUUGACAUUUUUUCGUCAGGUUGACGAAUCUCACUUUGGCUCCUUGCCAAUCAGCAUAGUAUGCAUCAAAGUCCUUGCUGAGGGCUUGGAUUUCAGACUGAGCCUGGAGAAGUUCCUCAGGUGUCAUUCUGACAACAUUUUUCUUCAGGAGCUUCUCCUUCCUGUAUUGAGCCUUCUUGAUUUCACGUGCCUUUUCAAACUUCCAUUUCUCUUGAGUGAUGAAAUGGGUUAGCAUGUGACUUUGACCAGGAGUCAGUUGAAAGUCAGGCAUGGGGGUGUUUGGAUCCUUAUGCCAUAGGUCAAUGUAGUCGAGGAUUUUCCUCGGAUCCAAAAGCAGUGGCACAGAUGUGCCUUUGGCUCUAGCGGCCUUCACUUGCCUGUCUCUGAUGAUUUCUGCAAGUUCUUCAUCAGAAGCUUCAUCAUCAGAGGGCACUUGGAAUGCAACCUGUUUCUUCCUUGGACUUGGCCGAGGACCGCGUCCAGCUGUUGCUUUAGUCUUCAACAGUGUGGGGCCUGAUGAGGACAUUGGUGCAGCUGAGGAACUCGCUGAGACACCAGAAGCAAUAGAAAAGCCCGUAGUCCUUUGACAUGUAGCCAGAUGCACAGGAGUUGAGGACUUUGGUGGAGCAGUAGCGGUCUGAGGAAUUUGCCGUGAGGGCAUAGCUGAGGAACUUGGCCGUGAGGGCGUUGUUGGUGAAGCACUUGGCUUGCGAGCAGGCUUCUUUGGCAUUGAUUUCCUCGGCUUGACCGAGGUCUCAGCAGCAGCAGCAGCAGCGGCAGAAUCCUCAUUGAAUUUCCUCACUGCCUCCUUGGCUUGUCUUGCCAAUUUUGCUUGACGCCUAGCCCAUUCUUCAGGAAAGUCCUCACCACGCUUGAUGCUGGUGGGAUCAGCUACUUGGCCAGGUGCCAAUGGAGCUCUUGGGCAUGGAGGAUUUAAGGCGAAUUUCUUCAUGUACUUUGGAGUAACAUAUCGAUAUUCCCUCCAUUCUCGUGCCCAUCUUCGUUCAAUCCUAUGAAUGCGCACUUUGCGCUGAUUUUUGUUCUCUUUGCCAAAUUUGGCUUCAUCAGGUGUGCGAUAAUCCUUGUAUAUGUCAUCAGGGAUCUCGAAAGCAGUCAUGACCUCAGGUUUCUUUCCUCCUUUCUGCGGUCUCUUUCCUUCAGCCAUAUUCUUCAGAUGAGGAAUUUGAACAAUUGAACACUCUGAAGAAGUAUGCAGUUUUUCUUCAAGGAACGCUGCAAAUGAGUUAAGUUGAUGAGAACCUAGUGAUUCAGCAGCGGACAUGAGUACCUGUGAACAGAGUGUAGGUGCGAGGAAUUUGGAGAGGUCAUAUGCGUUCUCAGAAGAUUUUUCGAAAAGACAAGUUUUGAGGAAUUUGACCAGUUGUGCCUUGAGGAAUUUCACUAAGCGUUCUUGUCUUAGGUUCCAGAGUUGUACAAAUCGAAAAUCCACACAAUUGAGGAAUCUUGAAGAAAAUGAGUGCUUAGAGAAAUGGAUCAAGAGCAUACAGUGUGUGAGGUGUUUAGAUGUGUGAAGAUUUGAAGAAUAAAACACCUUUGAAGAUUUUCAGGAAAGCUUGAGAAUCAAAGUGAGUAAUAAAAGUAACUUUUAAUUACCCGAACUAAAGAACACGACGAACUGUGAUGAACAGAGGUGAAGUUUGUCAAGUUAGAUCUCCCACACCCUAACUUGGCAGAGGGAGACAGCUACGGCGGCGGCGGAGUGAAGAUUUCCGCAACCGGCGCGAGUACGACGGCGAUGAGGUCGAGGCACUCUUCCUCACCGGUGACGAUGGGGUAGCGGCGGCGCUAGGGUUUGAGGAGCUCGAGCGAGAGAGAGAGCGCGGUCGAGCGGAGUAAAUGAAGUGAGGAAGGGGAGAGGGGUAUUUAUAGCCACGGUGAAAAAAUGUUCGCCCGAAGAUUUUGGGACGAACAUGCCCCUGCCAUUUCUCCUUCACGCGACAUGUGUCACCCACGUACUGUGCAGAUGAGAUUGUGUAAGAUCGUGGGUGAUUAUAAUAAUGCAUCAUGGGAUGCGGAACGGUUUGAGCGGUAAAACCGAAAAUCUGGAUAAGAUUUGUUUUAAAGUUUCGUUCGCAAUUUCUUCAGCUGACAAGGACACAGUGAAGACUUUGAACAAGUUUCAAAUAGAACGCACAUGAAGAAUUUGUGAAUAGAUUGGGUUGAGUAUAACAUAGAGGGGGAAGGGUCUGAUCACAUUCACUUAGUAGAAAACGCAACUUGAAGAAAUAGCCAUAAGUGAAUGCUGUAGAGGACAUAAACUCAUAUAUAUAUAGCCAAUGAAGAAAAAUGACGGAAACAGUGAAGAUUUUGCAAAGUUGAAGAAUUUGAAAAACUGAAGAAUUUCAAAAACUGAGGAAAAACUCAAAUGGAAGAUUUUCAACUUUUUGUGGUGGCGUAACCCACCGUAUAAGAAUGAUGAUUUCAGACAUCGCGUACAAUUGUCGUAGGGUUCUGAGAAUCAAAUUCUUCAUUAAUUUCUUCACACUUAGAGUGUUAUUCUUCAUUGAUUGAAAAAAAAACGUUUCUUCAUGUGUUGCACAUCUAAGUCAUCAAUUUUGCAUAAGUGUUAGGAUGUGUGUCCUUUUCAAAGAACAUUCGAAGACUCUAAGAUAUUUAGCUCACACCGCAACUUGCUAAAUCUCUUCUCAUCCAAGGGCUUAGUGAAGAUAUCAGCUAGCUGUUCUUCAGUCUUCACAUGCUCGAUGGAGAUGUCGCCCUUCAACACAAGAUCACAAAGAAAAUGAUGACAAAUCUGAAUGUGCCUUGUCUUCGAGUGCUGAACUGGGUUGUGAGCAAUUUUGAUGGCACUCUCAUUGUCACAGAGGAGAGGCACAUUCUUCACGUUGACGCCAUAGUCCUUGAGGGUUUGCUUCAUCCAAAGCAGUUGAGCACAGCAUGAGCCAGCAGCAAUGUAUUCAGCUUCCGUAGUAGACAGUGAUACGCAGUUCUGUUUCUUCGAGGACCAACAGACCAAAGUGUUGGGGAACGUAGUAAUUUCAAAAAUUUCCUACGCACACGCAAGAUCAUGGUGAUGGCAUAGCAACGAGAGGGGAGAGUGUUCGUCCAUGUACCCUCGUAGACCGUAAGCGGAAGCGUUAUCACAACGCGGUUGAUGUAGUUGUACGUCUUCACGAUCCGACCGAUCCAAGUACCGAACGUACGGCACCUUCGAGUUCAGCACACGUUCAACUCGAUGACGAUCUCCGGACUCCGAUCCAGCUGAGCUCCGGAGAUGAGCUCCGUCAGCACGACGGCGUGGUGACGAUGAUGAUGUUCUACCGGCGCUGGGCUUCGCCUAAGCUUCGCGACGGUAUGACCGAGGUGGAAUAUGGUGGAGGGGGGCACCGCACACGGCUAAGGAACGAUCCGUAGAUCAACUUGUGUCUUGUUGUUAGAGGUGCCCCCCUGCCCCCGUAUAUAAAGGAGCCAUGGGGAGGGGUUCGGCCGGCCAGGAGAGGCGCGCCAGGAGGAGUCCUCCUCCCACCGGGAGUAGGAUUCCCCCCCUUCCUUGUUGGAGUAGGAGAGAAGGAAAGAGGGGGAGAGGAGGAAGGAAAAGGGGGCUGCAUCCCUUGUCCAAUUCGGACUAGAGGGGGGCUGCGCCCCUCCUUCCUUUCGGCCUCUCCCCUCUAUUCCUGUAUGGCCCAAUAAGGCCCAUAUACUCCCCGGCGAAUUCCCGUAACUCUCCGGUACUCCGAAAAAUACCCGAAUCACUCUGAACCUUUCUGAACUCCGAAUAUAGUCGUCCAAUAUAUCGAUCUUUACGUCUCGGCCAUUUCGAGACUCCUUGUCAUGUCCCCAAUCUCAUCCGGGACUCCGAACUCCCUCGGUACAUCAAAACUCAUAAACUCAUAAUAUAACUGUCAUCGAAACCUUAAGCGUGCGGACCCUACGGGUUCGAGAACUAUGUAGACAUGACCUAGAACUAUUCUUAGUCAAUAACCAAUAGCGGGACCUGGAUGCCCAUAUUGGCCCCUACAUAUUCUACGAAGAUCUUUAUCGGUCAAACCGCAUAACAACAUACGUUUUUCCCUUUGUCAUCGGUAUGUUACUUGCCCGAGAUUCGAUCGUCGGUAUCCAAUACCUAGUUCAAUCUCGUCACCGGCAAGUCUCUUUACUCGUUCUGUAAUGCAUCAUCCCGUAACCAACUCAUUGGUCACAUUGCUUGCAAGGCUUAUAAUGAUGUGCAUUACCGAGAGGGCCCAGAGAUACCUCUCCGACAAUCGGAGUGACAAAACCUAAUCUCGAAAUACGCCAACUCAACAUGUACCUUCGGAGACACCUGUAGUACUCCUUUAUAAUCACCCAGUUACGUUGUGACGUUUGGUACUACCCAAAGUGUUCCUCCGGUAAACGGGAGUUGCAUAAUCUCAUAGUUACAGGAACAUGUAUAAGUCAUGAAGAAAGCAAUAGCAACAUACUAAACGAUCAAGUGCUAAGCUAAUGGAAUGGGUCAAGUCAAUCACAUCAUUCUCCUAAUGAUGUGAUCUCGUUAAUCAAAUGACAACUCUUUUGUCCAUGGCUAGGAAACAUAACCAUCUCUGAUAAACGAGCUAGUCAAGUAGAGGCAUACUAGUGACACUAUGUUUGUCUAUAUAUUCACACAUGUAUUAUGUUUCCGGUUAAUACAAUUCUAGCAUGAAUAAUAAACAUUUAUCAUGAAAUAAGGAAAUAAAUAAUAACAUUAUUAUUGCCUCUAGGGCAUAUUUCCUUCAGUCUCCCACUUGCACUAGAGUCAAUAAUCUAGUUCACAUUGUCAUGUGAUUUAACACCAAUAUUCAUAUCUGUAUAUGAUUAACACCCAUAGUUCACAUCAUCAUGUGACCAACACCCAAAAGGUUUACUAGAGUCAAUAAUCUAGUUCACAUCGCUAUGUGAUUAACACCCAAAGAGUACUAAGGUGUGAUCAUGUUUUGUUCGUGAGAGAAGCUUAGUCAAUGGGUAUGUCACAUUCAGAGCCGUAUGUAUUUUGCAAAUAUUCUAUGUCUACAAUGCUCUGCACGGAGCUACUCUAGCUAAUCGCUCCCACUUUCAAUAUGUAUCCAGAUUGAGACUUGGAGUCAUCUGGAUCGGUGUAAAAGCUUGCACCUAUGUAACUCUUUACGACGGGCUCUUUUAUCACCUCCAUAAUCGAGAAAUAUUUCCUUAGUCCUCACUAAGGAUAUUCUUGACCAAUGUCCAGUGAUCUACUCCUAGAUCACUAUUGUACUCCCUUGCCAAAUUCAGAGCAAGGUAUACAAUAGGUCUGGUACAUAGCAUAGCAUACUUUAUAGAACCUAUAACUGAGGCAUAGGGAAUGACUUUCAUUCUCUUUUCUAUUUUCUGCCGUGGUCGGGAUUUGAGUCUUACUCAAUUUCAUACCUUUGCAACACAGGCAAGAACUCUUUCUUUGACUGUUCCAUUUUGAACUACUUCAAAAUCUUGUCAAGGUAUGUACUCAUUGAAAACCUUAUCAAGCGUCUUGAUCUAUCUCAAUAGAUCUUGAUGCUCAAUAUGUAAGUAGCUUUACUGAAGUCUUUCUUCGAAAAACUCCUUUCAAAUACUCCUUUAUGCUUUGCAGAAUAAUUCUAUAUUACUUCCGAUCAACAAUAUGUCAUUCACAUAUACUUAUGAGAAAUGUUGUAGUGCUCCCACUCACUUUCUUGUAAAUACAGGCUUCACCAUAAGUCUGUAUAAAACUAUAUGCUUUGAUCAACUUAUCAAAGCGUAUAUUCCAACUCCGAGAUGCUUGCACUAGUCCAUAGAUGCACAAUUUGUUAACACCUUUAGGAUCGACAAAACCAGUUGGUUGGAUCACAUACAACUCUUCUUUAAUAACUCCAUUAAGGAAUGCAGUUUUGUUUAUCCAUUUGCCAGAUUUCAUAAAAUCCGGCAAUUGCUAACAUGAUUCGGACAGACUUAGCAUCGAUACGAGUGAGAAAAUCUCAUCGUAUUCAACCCCUUGAACUUGUUGAAAACCUUUUGCAACAAGUCGAGCUUAGUGGAUAGUAACACUACUAUCAGUGUCCGUCUUCCUCUUGAAGAUCCAUUUAUUUAACAUGGCUUGCUAAUCAUCGAGCAAGUCAAUCAAAGUCCAUACUUUGUUCUCAUACAUGGAUCAUAUCUCAGAUUUUAUGGCCUCAAGCCAUUUCGCGGAAUCUGGGCUCAUCAUCGCUUCCUCAUAGUUCGUAGGUUUAUCAUGGUCUAGUAACAUGACUUUUAGAACAGGAUUACCGUACCACUCUGGUGCGGAUCUUACUCUGGAAGACCUACGAGGUUUGGUAGCAACUUGAUCUGAAGUUUCAUGAUCAUCAUCAUUAACUUCCUCACUAAUUGGUGUAGGAAUCACUGGAACUGAUUUCUGUGAUGAACUACUUUCCAAUAAGGGAGAAGGUACAAAUUACCUUAUCAAGCUCUACUUUCCUCCCACUCACUUCUUUCGAGAGAAACUCCUUCUCUGGAAAGGAUCCAUUUUAGCAACGAAUAUCUUGCCUUCGGAUCUGUGAUAGAAGGUGUACCCAACAAUUUCCUUUGGGUAUUCUAUGAAGACGCACUUCUCCAAUUUGGGUUUGAGCUUAUCAAGAUGAAACUUUUUCACAUAAGCAUCGUGUCCCCAAACUUUAAGAAACGACAGCUUAGGUUUACUGCUAAACCAUAGUUCAUACGGUGUCGUCUCAACGGAUUUGGAUGGUGCCCUAUUUCAAGUGAAUGCAGUGGUCUCUAAUGCAUAACCCCAAAACGAUAGUGGGAGGCAUCAUAGAUCGCACCAUAUCUUAUAAAGUACGAUUACGACGUUUGGACACACCAUAAUGUUGUAGUGUUCCAGGUGGCGUGAACUGUGAAACUAUUCCACAUUGUUUUAUAUGAAGGCCAAACUCGUAACUCAAAUAUCCGUCUCCACGAUCAGAUCGCAGAAACUUUUAUUUUCUUGUUACGAUGAUUUUUCCACUUCACUCUGAAAUUCUUUGAACCUUUCAACUAUCUCAGACUUAUGUUUCAUCAAGUAGAUAUACCCAUAUCUGCUCAAAUCAUCUUGUGAAGGUCAGAAAAUAACGAUACUUGCCACGAGCAUCAACACUCAUUGGAUCGCAUACAUCGGUAUGUAUUAUUUCCAACAAGUUAGUAGCUUGUUCCAUUGUUCCAAAGAACGGAGUUUUAGUCAUCUUGCCCAAAAGGCACGGUUCGCAAGCAUCAAAUGAUUCAUAACCAAGUGAUUCCGAAAAUCCAUCUUUAUGGAGUUUCUUCAUGCGCUUUACACCGAUAUGACCUAAACGGCAGUGCCACAAAUAAGUUGCACUAUCUUAUUAACUUUGCAUCUUUUGGCUUCAAUAUUACGAAUAUGUGUAUCACAUGAUCGAGAUCCAACAAACCAUUUUCAUUGGGUGUAUGACCAUAGAAGGUUUUAUUCAUGUAGACAGAACAACAAUUAUUCUCUAACUUACAUGAAUAACCGUAUUGCAAAAUAUGAUCAAAUCAUAUUCAUGCUCAACGCAAACACCAAAUAACACUUAUUUAGGUUUAACACUAAUCCCGAAAGUAUAGGGAGUGUGCGAUGAUGAUCAUAUCAAUCUUGGAACUAUUUCCAACACACAUCGUCACUUCACCCUUAACUAGUCUCUGUUUAUUCUGCAACUCCCAUUUCGAGUUACUAAUCUUAGCAACUGAACUAGUAUCAAAUACUGAGGGGUUGCUAUAAACACUAGUAACGUACACAUCAAUAACAUGUAUAUCAAAUAUGCUUAUGUUCACUUUGCCAUCCUUCUUACCCACCAAAUAUUCAGGGCAUUUCCGCUUCCAGUGACCAUUUUCUUUGCAGUGUAAGCACUCAGUUUCAGGCUUUGGUCCAACUUGGAGCUUCUUCGCGGGAGUGACAACUUGCUUGUCUUUCCACUUGAAGUUCCCUUUCUUUCCCUUUGCCCUUUUCUUGAAACUAGUGGUCUUGUCAAUCAUCAACACUUGAUGUUCUUUCUUGAUUUCUACCUUUGUCGAUUUCAACAUCACGAAGAGCUCGGGAAUCGUUUUCUUCAUCCCUUGCAUAUUAUAGUUCAUCACGAAGUUCAGUAACUCGGUGAUGGUGACUAGAGAAUUCUGUCAAUCACUAUCUUAUCUGGAAGAAUAACUCCCACUUGAUUCAAGCGAUUGUAGUACCCAGACAAUCUGAGCACAUGCUCACUAGUUGAGCGAUUCUCCUCCAUCUUUUAGCUAUAGAACUUGUUGGAGACUUCAUAUCUCUCAACUCGGGUAUUUGCUUGAAAUAUUAACUUUAAUUCCUGGAACAUCUCAUAUGGUCCAUGACGUUCAAAACAUCUUUGAAGUCCCGAUUCUAAGCCAUAAAGCAUGGUGCACAAAACUAUCAAGUAGUCAUCAUAUUGAGCUAGCCAAACGUUCAUAACGUCUGCAUCUGCUCCUGCAAUAGGUCUGUCACCUAGCGGUGCAUUAAGGACAUAAUUCUUCUGUGCAGCAAUGAGGAUAAACCUCAGAUCACGGAUCCAAUCCGCAUCAUUGCUACUAACAUCUUUCAACAUAAUUUUCUCUAGGAACAUAUCAAAAUAAACAUAUGAAAGCAACAACGCAAGCUAUUGAUCUUACAACAUAAUUUGCAAAAUACUACCAAGACUAAGUUCAUGAUAAAUUUAAGUUCAAUUAAUCAUAUUACUUAAGAACUCCCACUUAGACAGACAUCUCUCUAGUCAUCUAAGUGAUCACGUGAUCCAAAUCAACUAAACCAUGUCCGAUCAUCACGUGAGAUGGAGUAGUUUCAAUGGUGAACAUCACUAUGUUGAUCAUAUCUACUAUAUGAUUCACGCUCGACCUUUCGGUCUCCGUGUUCCGAGGCCAUAUUUGUAUAUGCUAGGCUCGUCAAGUAUAACCUGAGUAUUCCGCGUGUGCAACUGUUUUGCACCCGUUGUAUUUGAACGUAGAGCCUAUCACACCCGAUCAUCACGUGGUGUCUCAGCACGAAGAACUUUCGCAACGGUGCAUACUCAGGGAGAACACUUCUUGAUAAUUAGUGAGAGAUCAUCUUAAAAUGCUACCGUCAAACAAAACAUAAUAAGAUGUAUAACAGAUAAACAUCAUAUGCAAUCAAAAUAUGUGACAUGAUAUGGCCAUGAUCAUCUUGCGCCUUUGAUCUCCAUCUCCAAAGUACUGUCAUGAUCUCUAUUGUCACCGGCACGACACCAUGAUCUUCAUCAUCUUGAUCUAUAUCAAUGUGUCAUCACAUGGUCGUCUCACCAACUAUUGCUCUUGCAACUAUUGCUAUCGCAUAGCGAUAAAGUAAAGCAAUUAUUUGGCAUUUGCAUCUUAUGCAACAAAGAGACAACCAUAGAGCUUCUGCCAGUCGCCGAUAACUUCAACAAAACAUGAUCAUCUCAUACAACAACUUAUAUCUCAUCACGUUUUGACCAUAUCACAUCACAACAUGCCCUACAAAAACAAGUUAGACGUCCUCUACUUUGUUGUUGCAAGUUUUACGUGGCUGCUACGGGCUUAAGCAAGAACCAAUCUCACCUACGCAUCAAAACCACAACGAUAGUUUGUCAAAUAGACUCCGUUUUAACCUUCGCAAGGACCGGGCGUAGCCACACUCGGUUCAACUAAAGUUGGAGAAACUGACACCCGCCAGCCACCUGUGUGCAAAGCACGUCGGUAGAACCAGUCUCGCGUAAGCGUACGCGUAAUGUCGGUCCGGGCCGCUUCAUCCAACAAUACCGCUGAACCAAAGUAUGACAUGCUGGUAGGCAGUAUGACUUAUAUCGUCCACAACUCACUUGUGUUCUACUCGUGCAUAUAACAUCAACGCAUAAAACCUGGCUCGGAUGCCACUGUUGGGGAACGUAGUAAUUUCAAAAAUUUCCUACGCACACGCAAGAUCAUGGUGAUGGCAUAGCAACGAGAGGGGAGAGUGUUCGUCCACGUACCCCCGUAGACCGUAAGCGGAAGCGUUAUCACAACGCGGUUGAUGUAGUCGUACGUCUUCACGAUCCAACCGAUCCAAGUACCGAACGUACGGCACCUCCGAGUUCAGCACACGUUCAGCUCGAUGACGAUCUCCGGACUCCGAUCCAGCUGAGCUCCGGAGAUGAGCUCCGUCAGCACGACGGCGUGGUGACAAUGAUGAUGUUCUACCAGCGUUGCGCUUCGCCUAAGCUUCGCGACGGUAUGACCGAGGUGGAAUAUAGUGGAGGGGGGCACCGCACACGGCUAAGGAACGAUCCGUAGAUCAACUUGUGUCUUGUUGUUAGAGGUGCCCCCCUGCCCCCGUAUAUAAAGGAGCCAUGGGGAGGGGUUCGGCCGGCCAGGAGAGGCGCGCCAGGAGGAGUCCUCCUCCCACCGGGAGUAGGAUUCCCCCCCUUCCUUGUUGGAGUAGGAGAGAAGGAAAGAGGGGGAGAGGAGGAAGGAAAAGGGGGCUGCACCCCUUGUCCAAUUCGGACUAGAGGGGGGCUGCGCCCCUCCUUCCUUUCGGCCUCUCCCCUCUAUUCCCGUAUGGCCCAAUAAGGCCCAUAUACUCCCCGGCGAAUUCCCGUAACUCUCCGGUACUCCGAAAAAUACCCGAAUCACUCGGAACCUUUCCGAACUCAGAAUAUAGUCGUCCAAUAUAUCGAUCUUUACGUCUCGACCAUUUCGAGACUCCUCGUCAUGUCCCCGAUCUCAUCCGGGACUCCGAACUCCUUCGGUACAUCAAAACUCAUAAACUCAUAAUAUAACUGUCAUCGAAACCUUAAGCGUGCGGACCCUACGGGUUCGAGAACUAUGUAGACAUGACCUAGAACUAUUCUUGGUCAAUAACCAAUAGCGGGACCUGGAUGCCCAUAUUGGCUCCUACAUAUUCUACAAAGAUCUUUAUCGGUCAAACCGCAUAACAACAUACGUUGUUCCCUUUGUCAUCGGUAUGUUACUUGCCCGAGAUUCGAUCGUCGGUAUCCAAUACCUAGUUCAAUCUCGUCACCGGCAAGUCUCUUUACUCGUUCUGUAAUGCAUCAUCCCGUAACCAACUCAUUGGUCACAUUGCUUGCAAGGCUUAUAAUGAUGUGCAUUACCGAGAGGGCCCAGAGAUACCUCUCCGACAAUCCGAGUGACAAAACCUAAUCUCGAAAUACGCCAACUCAACAUGUACCUUCGGAGACACUUGUAGUACUCCUUUAUAAUCACCCAGUUACAUUGUGACGUUUGGUAGUACCCAAAGUGUUCCUCCGGUAAACGGGAGUUGCAUAAUCUCAUAGUUACAGGAACAUGUAUAAGUCAUGAAGAAAGCAAUAGCAACAUACUAAACGAUCAAGUGCUAAGCUAACGGAAUGGGUCAAGUCAAUCACAUCAUUCUCCUAAUGAUGUGAUCUCGUUAAUCAAAUGACAACUCUUUUGUCCAUGGCUAGGAAACAUAACCAUCUCUGAUAAACGAGCUAGUCAAGUAGAGGCAUACUAGUGACACUAUGUUUGUCUAUAUAUUCACACAUGUAUUAUGUUUCCGGUUAAUACAAUUCUAGCAUGAAUAAUAAACAUUUAUCAUGAAAUAAGGAAAUAAAUAAUAACUUUAUUAUUGCCUCUAGGGCAUAUUUCCUUCACAAAGAUCGUCCGAGAAAAUGACAAGUACCAGAUGUUGACUUGCGGUCCACACGAUCACCAGCAUAGUCAGAGUCAGAAUAUCCAACGAGAUCAAAAGCAGAGCCCUUGGGGUACCAUAAUCCUAGUGUUGGUGUGUGAGCUAGAUAUCGAAGAAUAUGCUUCACAGCCUUAUGGUGUGAUUCCUUCGGUGCAGCUUCAAAUCGGGCACACAUGCAAACACUAAGCAUUAUAUCUGGCCUAGAUGCACAUAAGUACAAUAAAGAACCAAUCAUGGAGCGGUAUACCUUAUGAUCGAAGUCAAUACCAUUUUCAUCAGUGCAUAGAUGGCCGUUUGUGGGCAUUGGAAUUUUGACGCCUUUGCAAUCUUGCAUGCCGAAUUUCCUCAGUACAUCUUUGAGGUAUUUCUCCUGAGAUAUGAAUAUGCCAUUGUGGUGCUGACGAAUUUGAAGACCUAAGAAGAAUUUCAACUCUCCCAUCAUAGACAUUUGAUAUUCUUCACUCAUCAUAUAGGCAAAUUCAUCACUAUGACGUUGGUCAGUACAGCCAAAGAUAAUAUCAUCAACAUAUAUUUGGCACACAAACAGUUCACCAUCAUAAGAUUUAGUAAAGAGAGUAGGGUCGAGUGAACCGGGUGUGAAGCCAUUCUUCACGAAGAAUUCCUUCAAUGUAUCAUACCACGCCCGAGGGGCUUGCUUGAGGCCAUAGAGGGCCUUAUUGAGUCUGAAGACUUUGUCAGGAUUCUUUGGAUCUUACAAACCUGUGUGUAGCCUUGAGCUACUAGUCGUGCCUUAUUCCUCACCACAAGGCCAUUUUCAUCUUGAUUGUUGCGGUAGAUCCACUUUGUGCCAAUGAUAUUAUGCUUGCGAGGAUCUGGGCGAUUGACCAAUUCACAGACAUUGUUAAGCUCGAACUGAUGUAAUUCUUCUUGCAUAGCCUGAAUCCACUCCGGCUCUAGAAAUGCUUCAUCUACCUUAGUGGGCUCUGUGAUAGAGACAAAAGCAUAGUGCCCACAAAAGUUAGAUAAAUGUGAAGCUUUUGAGCGUGUGAGAGGACCUGGUGCGCUAAUGUCAUCGAUGAUCUUCUCCACUUGUACUUCUUUUGCAAUGCGAGGAUGAGCUGGUUGUCGCUGAGGAAUUUGAUCAACAUUUUCUUCAGCACCAUUUUCCUCAUCAUGUUCUUCGGGUGCAUCAGCUCGACGUUCUUCAUGAAUAGGAGUGAAUUCUUCAGCAGAUUCUUCAGUAGGAAUGACAUCCUCAGUUGCCUUGAACUUGAUAGAAUCCUCAGGUGCUGGUUCAUCUAACACAGAAGGUAGGUGAUCUCUUUGCGAGCCAUUAGUUUCAUCGAACCACACAUCUACAGUGUCAACAAUCUUGUGAAGAACAAUGUUGAAGACUCUGUAGGUGUGCGAGUCCUUUCCGUAACCAAGCAUAAAACCUUCAUGUGCUUUCGGUGCAAAUUUGGAGUUCUGGUGAGGAUCUCUAAUCCAACAUUUAGCACCGAAGACUUUGAAAUAACUCACAUUGGGUUUCUUGUCAGUGAGGAGUUCAUAGGCCGUCUUCUUGAAGAAUUUGUGAAGAUAUACUCUGUUGAUGAUGUGGCAUGCAGUAUCAAUUACAUCAAUCCAAAAACGCUGAGGCGUUUUGUAUUCAUCAAGCAUAGUGCAAGCCAUCUCAACAAGAGUUCUGUUCUUGCGCUCCACGACGCCAUUUUGCUGAGGAGUAUAAGGACCAGAUAACUCAUGAGUAAUACCAAGUUCAUCAAGAUAGGCAUCAAGACCGGAAUUCUUGAACUCAGUUCCAUUGUCACUUCUGAUGUGCUUGAUCUUCACACCAAAGUUGGUUGAAGCCCUCGAGGAAAAUCGUUUGAAGACUUCCUGCACUUCAUGUUUGUAAGUAACAAUGUGUACCCAUGUAUAUCAAGAAUAAUCAUCAACAAUGACAAAACCAUAUAGAGAUGCAUCAUUAGUGACUGCUGAGUAAUGAUUAGGUCCAAAGAGGUCCAUGUGAAGCAAUUCGAAUGGACGAGUAGUGGUCAUGAUAGUCUUCGCUGGGUGCUUGGCCUUGGUCAUUUUUCCAGCUUCACAGGCUCCGCCUAAAUGAUCCUUGAGGAAUUUGACAUUCUCAAUGCCAAUGACAUGCUUCUUCUUCGCAAGCGUGUGCAAAUUCCUCAUGCCUGCGUGACCAAGUCGUCGAUGCCAUAGCCAGCCUUCUGAAGCUUUUGCAAGUAGACACACGGCUGGUUGUGGUCCUGUAGAGAAAUCAACAAUAUAUAGAUCUCCUCUCCUAAAGCCUUCGAAGACUUUGGAAUUGUCAGCUUCCAUAAUCACAACACAGCGAUACUUGCCAAAGACAACAACCAUAUCAAGAUCACAAAGCAUUUAGACUGACAUGAGAUUGUAUCCUAAGGACUCAACUAGCAUGACUUUGUCCAUGUGUUUAUCCUUAGAGAUUGCAACCUUACCAAGACCCAAUACCUGACUUUUGCCUUUGUCAGCAAAGAUGAUAUGCUUCAGAGGUGACGGUGAUAAAGGAGCAUCCAUCAAUAGAUUCUUGUCACCAGUUAUGUGAUUCGUACAUCCACUAUCGAGGACCCAUUCAGUAGUUUUGGGUUGAUCAUCCUGCAGAUGAAUUAGUGUAGCUUACAAUCUCAUAUGCUUCAUUAGUGACGAAUAUGAUAUCAAGUUCAUCAGAUGAAUUUCAUCAAGCAGUAAAUAGAUAUAGCAGUAUGAGGACGUGUGAAAUGAAAGUUCAUUUCAUCAUGAUUCGCCUGCGUCCUUUCAGGCAAUUUCGUCAGGUCCCCAGCAAAUUCUUCAGACGUUAAAGCACGUCUGGAGACCUGACCCUGCAGAAGAGAUUAGUUCUUUUUCUUCACCACCCACAUCUGGAGGGGUGGCAAAGAAUUCAUCACUCUGCGAGCACCAUAUGAGAAUGGAGGCAAAGAUGCCAAACCAUUUCGUUUCACAUAAGAGGGGUUAGGGUAAGCAUAUGAAUAAGCAGAGUAAUUCUUUGAGGACUUAUGAACAUAAUGGUUUGAAGAAUAAUGCACAUAUUCAUAGCCCUUAGCUCUACCGUGCGAGACAGAAUUGUUAGCACGAUGAUAAUCAUAUGAGGACUUUGAUCCUUUUGAGGAAUUUGAUCCAUGUGAGGAAUUUGGUCCGUAUGAGGACUUGGAUCCAUAUGAAUAAUUUGGUCCAUAUGAAGAGUUUGAUCUGGGGUUCCUGUUCUUCACUGGUGGUGUCAUGAGGACAUUCACCUGAAGACUUUCAACAUAACUUUUGGGAACCCAGAUUUUCUUCAUAGGGGAACCGUUCCUGUAGUUAGUGCCAACAUAUCUAGCAAAUACUUCACCAUUCUGAUUUUUGAACAGUUUAUAGUUGGAGUCAAAUGACUCAUCAGAAGAAUGAGGAGAUUCACAUGUAAAGCCAGAUAAGUUAGAUGGAUCAACUGGAGGUCCAUUUGCAACAACCCAUGAGGCUUUGGGGUACUGCUCAGGCUUCUAAUAUGUUCCAUCAGCAUUGAGUUUCCUCUCAAAGGCAAUACCCUCUUUCCUAGGGUUUCUGUUGAGAAUCUGCUUUUUAAGCACAUCACAAAGAGUCUGAUGCCCUUUGAGGCUUUUGUACAUGCCUAUCAUGUACAAUUCCUUUAGCCCUGCAUUGUCAGUGAUACUAGCAAUGUCCUCAAAUGAGGAAUUAGUGAUAGCAGAGGCAGAUGAAGAAUUUGCAACAGUUGAAGCAUUUGAACGUUCAGGUGAAGAAUUAGCAGAUUCACAUCCAAUGCACUUUAAGCAUGGAGGAACAAAUUCUUCCUGAGAAGCGCUGAUUUGUUGAGCUAGUAAUGAAUCGCGCUCCUUCUGAAGAUCUUCAUAACACACUCUUAACUUUUCAAGAUCUUCCUUUCUUUGAAGAGAUUCAGAGGAAAGCUUCUCAUGAUCAGUCAAGAGGGUAUUAUGUUGAUCUUGAAGAGCGUCAAACUUGGAGUGAAUUCUCUGAAGACAUUCACCCAAUUCUUUUGACUGAUCCAUUUCUUUACGCAACAUAUCAUCACUUUUGUCUAGCAUGUUUUGAACUUGUUCCAAAGCAGUUUGUUGUUUAGUGGCAAUGCAAACAAGUUUGGUAUAACAAGAUUCAAUAUUAUCAUCAGAUUCAUCAUUAUCAGAUUCAUCGUCACAAAACUCAGAUGAGGAGCAUUCGGUUACCUCAGCACCGUCUACCAUGAGACAUGAUGCAGAAGAUGAUGAUUCUGGCUCAAAAGUCAUCGUUUUGAGAGAUUCCUUAAAGUCCUCAAACCAGGGAUCAUGACGGGUUCGAUGACCUUCAUAUACAUCAGAGAUUCGGUCCCAGAUAAGCUUCGAAUUGCAAAGAUGCAUAAUGCGCCCGAAUUGAUCUCUGGAUAGGCAGGAACAGAUGAUAUCCUUCGCCAUGAGGUCAAGUCGAGUGUACUUGUGAAUAUCAUCAGCGUCCGCCAUCUUGCAUAGAUCAGUAAGACCAAUCUUAGUGAUGGUCCACAGCUUGCUGUUCAUUGCCAUGAGGCGCUUCUUCAUCAUGGCCUUCCACUUGGGAUAGUCGUGACCGUCAAAGAUAGGGCAUGUCACUUUCUUCAUACCUGCAGUCGACAUAACUAAAACUCCAGGCGGUUAAACCAAAAUCACACAGAACAAGGGAGUACCUCGCUCUGAUGCCAAUUGAAAGUGCGUUAUAUCGACUAGAGGGGGGGUGAAUAGGCGAUUUUUGUGAAUUCUUCACUGAGGAAUUUGCUGGUGAGGAAAUUCCUUAGCGAAGAACUACUUGCAGCGGAAUAAGUACUCAGAAGUAAACAUAACAUGAUACUAGCAUGGUCAUCAUGAUGAAAUGAAGACAAGCAGAGAGUACAGAAAGCGUAAUCACAUGACAAGAUGAAGACAAACAGACUGAAGAAAUUGAACUGAGGAAUUUGAGAAAGUCUUCAGUCAAAGUCUUCAAGCACAUAUAUGAACAAACACUCAACACAGUAAUGAGGAAAUGAAAGGGUUGAGGGGAUAGAACCAGUUAGUUGGUGAAGACAAUGAUUUGGUAAACCAGUUCCAACUGCUGUCUCAGUUGUACGUCUGGUUGGAGCGGCUGAGUAUUUAAACUCGAGGACACGCAGUCCCGGACACCCAGUCACUGAGCCGCAACUCAGGACACCCAGUCCUCACCGUAUUCUCCUUGAACUAAGACCACGCAGGCCUCGUCCAAUCACUCGUGGUAAGUCUUCAGGUGACUUCCAAACCUUCACAGACUUGGUCACUCGGCAAUCCACAAUUCCUCUUGGAUGCUCUAGACCUUGACGCCUAACCGUCUGGAAGAAGCACAGUCUUCAAAGGUAACAAGCGUCGGAUCCACGCGGGAUCAAUUUCUUCAGUGAUGCUCAAUCACUUUGGGUUUGUGGGGGUUUGGUUUUGGGUUUUUCCUCACUUGAUGAUUUUCGCUCAAAGUCCUCGGAGGAUGGGUUGCUCUCAAAUGACAAGUGUCAAGUUCUCUCGGAGCAGCCAACCAACUAGUGGUUGUAGGGGGCGGCUAUUUAUAGCCUAGGGAGCAGCCCGACAUGAUAAGACAUAAAUGCCCUUCAAUGAUAUGACCGUUAGGUGGAUAAGAUAUUUUGGGACAGCCGGCGCGCACCACAGCAACGGUCGGAAAUUUGACUCUCAAAUUCCUCAGGGCUAUCAUGUUCCUCACUGUGUAGGCAAUUCGCACUGGCGAAUUCCUAACUCCUCAGUCAGAGCAAAGUCCUCAGUGACCAGAAGAACUGCGUCUCUGUCACUGAAGAAAAUGACUGAACUGUAUGAGAUUUCCAAUGGCUUCACUCGAAGGGAUUGGUAGGUGUAGGAUUUUGAGUUGAGCAUCACAUGGAAAUUUUUCCUUAGUAUUUCCUCGACCCCCUUUAACAGUACGGUGUUUCCUAUGACUCAAGAAAGAGAAAAUGAAACUGCGAAAACAAAAGUCUUCACGCUCCAUGUUCCUCAAGUGAAUAUCAAGUCUUCAAGGUCACACCAUUUUCUUCACUUUCAAAGUCUUUAGAAAGUCUUCAGAAUAUCAAAGUCUUCAGUCGGAGAACUUCAUUUUUAGGGGUCGACUUUCUCUGUAAAUAUCAAACUCCUCAUAGACUUAUAGACCUGUGUACACUCACAAACGCAUCAGUCCCUUAACCUAUAAGUCUUCAAUACACCAAAAUCACUAAGGGGCACUAGAUGCACUUACAAUGACACUUGAGGAACUUCUCAAGGCUCAGUCUGAAAUUCAAGCCCUCAGCAAAGACUUUGAUGCCUACUAUGCUGAUUGGCAAGGAGCCAAAGUGAGAUUCGUCAACCUGACGAAGAAAAUGACAAAUGUUGCAGCUCCAUCGCAACAAGAAAAUCUUCAGGCUGCAGACUCUGCUCAGCCUGCUGAAGAACAUGCCAGCACCGCUGAUGACUUUCAGCCUGCUGAAGAAAAUGCUAGUUCCAGGGCUGGUGAUGAAAUUCUAGCCGCUGAAGAAAUUGUCAGGGCAUCCACUAAUGGUGCGCCUGUAGAAACUGAAGAGAUCAGGGCAACUGCAUCAGUUGCGCCUGAAGAAAAUCAACCAGAUUCCUCAGCUCCUCCCGCGCCUACACCAACUCCAAUUCUUCCAUUUGCCUAUGAGGUGAAGAAGACCAAGGCUGCAGAGCGAGCUGCAGUGAAGAAAAGGAAGGCAUCAGCUGCGUCUAAUUCUUCGACUGCGAAGAAGAUGAAGCCAAUGACCAGCUCACUCGAAAAUCCGAUUGAUGCUGUUCCAAUUUCCUCCAUGCCAUCAAAGGACCUUGUUCCUUUUGGAGAAGACUAUGUGAUCCCAAGCGGAUCUGAUGAAGAAAAUCAUUCUGCUGCUUCGUUAGAGCAGAUUGAUGAAGAAAUUGAAGUGGACGCAAUCCCUUCAACGCCAGUCAUUUCCUCACCUAUGCCUCAGUUCACAGCUGAAGAGGCUGGUGUUGAGGAAAUUGAAGAUGAAGAUGUGGAUAUAGGAUGCACCUCACCUGUGAUGAAUGAUGACUUUUGGGAAAGUCAGCAUCCCAAUACUCCUCUAUUCACACCUAUCCAACAGAUUCCUCAGUCCCCGGCAACAACGGUUCAACUGGGCUCUGAAGAAACUCAUCCCACUCCCUCUGCUCAUGAAGAAAUUCCAGCCACUAGUGCUGAAGAACCUGCUGUUGUUGAUUCUCAGGUUGCACAAGAAGAGGAACCAUAAAUUCCUCAGCCUGAAGAACCCGACCUCGCGAUUCCUGAGGUGGUGAUGCAACUCACUGACAUCCCUCUGCCAAAACCGAAGGAUCCGUUCUCAAGCAAACAGAAGUUCAAGGCUGAAGGCUUCUUCUCCGAGCAUGUAUUCUUCACUGACUACAACCCCUAUGACUCUGCUCGCAUAAGGAAGAGGCGUUUCUGGACUGCUAGUCAAGCCAAUUUCUAUUCCUCAGUGCUGUUUGACAAAGACAAAAUCUUCGAUCAUGAACAUAUUCCUCACGUGGAUAUGGAAUCUCUGCCAUGCUUCGAGCCAGUCCUCAGUGUUCUUCAUGAUGCAGGAUUACUCAAUUUCUGCAUUGACAUCUGUGAUUGGAAUGAAGAACUCAUUCUUCAGUUCUACGCUACACUGCAUAUCACUGGAGACGCUGAAGAUGUCAACUCAUGGGUGUUGGAUUGGAUGACUGAAAACACUCACUACAAGGCACCGGCAACUGAAUUGCUUCGUGUCCUUCCUCUCGAUCCUCCCCAUGACAGUGCACGUUGCAUCUACAAUGACCCUGAACUGACAAAUCACUAUAUGCAAGUGCUCAUGAAGCCUUUGAAGCCUGGGCAGGCCCCACGAACCAAAUUCCUCGUCAAGGAAUUACUCUAUGUGCCUCGGACAGUCUAUCGCAUUCUGACGAAGACAAUGAGUCCUAUCAAAGGCCACGACUCAAAUGAUGAAGAAGUCGUUGGCAUCAUGAAGAACAUGCUUUUCAACAUCAUUCAUGGCGUUCCCGUCAACUUCCAUGAUUUCUUCAUGAGGACUCUGGCCAAUGUUGCUAUGUCACCAUUCGAGCUGAAGCCCUAUGCGCCUUGGAUUAUGAGAUUCAUCAGGGCAAGAUCUUCACUGAAUUACAAAGCUGACACUCUGAACCACGGUAGCUACUUGCCUCCCAUUGAAGUCCUCAAACGGACAAUUUCAUCAGCUGAUGAUAAAGGCAAGGUAGCCGCUGUGAUCGAUGAAGGCAUUCGUCCAUUGGAUGGUCAAUUUCGCCUUGCUGCAUCUUACUCUACCAAUGACGACUCUGCCACACAUGACACUACCGCAAAUACCUUAGCCAAGCAAAAUCCUCAAGCCACAGCACCCAGGGUGAUGACUGACCGUGAGUUACUCCUUAGUCUUCAUCAGAAGGUUGAUCGCAAUCACAAAUGGGUAAAGCGUCAGUUUGGUGCACUUCUUCACAAUAUGACCUCAACACACAAUGCAGUGAAGAAGAACCAUUACUAUCUUCAUGAAACCCUCAACCGCACAUGGGCUUUCCUCACACAUGUCUAUAGCGCUGCAGAACUGAAGACUAUGGGUCUCAAGGAAGAAUUUGACUGGUCUGCACCUCCUCCGAAGAAAUUCAAGAGGGUCAAAGUUCCUGAUCUGGUGGCCAGCUCUUAUUCUUCAUCGCGUGACACUGAUGAGUAUGAAGAUUUGGACGACACUGCGGCAGGCCCUGCUACAACAAACAACCCCGACAACGCUGGCGCUCCUCCAUCGACUUGAAAUUCUUCAGGGGCGUUAGUCCUCAGUUUCAAUCCUUUUGGUCAUCUGAUGACAAAGGGGGAGAAAUCUGAGUUAGUCUUCAAGCGGGUCUAUAUUAAGGGCGUUUUUUUCUAAGUUACAACUCUUGUUCUUCCGAAACUUUUAUUGGAUCGAGUUGUAAUCUUAAACCCAAUGGUGCUCUAAUACUUUUGGAUGGUGCUCUGAUACUUUUGAUGCACUGUGCUCUGAUACUUUUGAUGUGCUAUUCUGCAUGCUUAUUCCUUGGUAAUAUUAUUGCACGCAUGCUGAAUCUCAUCAGGCACCAUAUUUCAUCAUGCAUUUCAAAUUCUUCAUAUUAUAUAUCAAAUGCGUGUAUGAAUUACAAGAUAUAGGGGGAGAUCUCCAUGAUUCAACUCUUAAAAUGUGCAUUGCCUCAAACGCAAAUUCCUCACUAUGCACAUCUUCAGGGGGAGUUCUUCUAUAUCUUGUAAUCAAAUUCCUCAAUAUCAAAUUUACACUUCAUAUGUUCACCAAAAAGGGGGAGAUUGUAAGUGCAUCUAGUGCCCCUUGGUGAUUUUGGUGUAUAGAAGACUUAUAGGUUAAGGGACUAAUGCGUUUGUGAGUGUACACAGGUCUAUAAGUCUAUGAGGAGUUUGAUAUUUACAGAGAAAGUCGACCCCUAAAAAUGAAAUUCUUCGACUGAAGACUUUGAUAUUCUGAAGACUUUCUGAAGACUUUGAAAGUGAAGAAAUUGGUGUGACCUUGAAGACUUGGUAUUCAUUUGAGGAACAUGAAGCGUGAAGACUUUUGUUUUCGUAGUUUCAUUUUCUCUUUCUUGAGUCAUAGGAAACACCGUACUGUUAAAGGGGGUCGAGGAAAUACUAAGGAAAAAUUUCCAUGUGAUGCUCAACUCAAAAUCCUACACCUACCAAUCCCUUCGAGUGAAGCCUUUGGAAAUCUCAUACAGUUCAGUCACUUUCUUCAGUGACAGAGACGAAGUUCUUCUGGUCACUGAGGAAUUUGUUCUGACUGAGGAGUUAGGAAUUCGCCAGUGCGAAUUGCCUACACAGUGAGGAACAUGAUAGCCCUGAGGAAUUUGAGAGCCAAAUUUCUGACCGUUGCUGUGCUGCGUGCCAGCUGUCCCAAAAUAUCCUAUCCACCUAAUGGUCAUAUCAUUGAAGGGCAUUUAUGUCUUAUCAUGUCGGGCUGCUCCCUAGGCUAUAAAUAGCCGCCCCCUACAACCACUAGCUGGUUGGCUGCUCCGAGAGAACUUGACACUUGUCAUUUGAGAGCAACCCAUCCUCCGAGGACUUUGAGCGAAAAUCAUCAAGUGAGGAAAACCCAAAACCAAACCCCCACAAACCCAAAGUGAUUGAGCAUCACUGAAGAAAUUGAUCCUGCGUGGAUCCGACGCUUGUUACCUUUGAAGACUGUGCUUCUUCCAGACGGUUAGGCGUCAUGGUCUAGAGCAUCCAAGAGGAAUUGUGGAUCGCCGAGUGACCAAGUCUGUGAAGGUUUGGAAGUCACCUGAAGACUUACCAUGAGUGAUUGGACGAGGUAUGCGUGACCUUAGUUCAAGGAGAAUAUGGUGAGGACUGGGUGUCCUGAGCUGCGUGCUCAGUGACUGGGUGUCCGGGACUGCGUGUCCUCGAGUUUAAAUACUCAGCCGCUCCAACCAGACGUACAACUGAGACAGCAGUUGGAAUUGGUUUACCAAAUCAUUGUCUUCACCAACUAACUGGUUCUAUUUCCUCAACCCUUUCAUUUCCUCAUUACUGUGUUGAGUGUUUGUUCAUAUCUGUGCUUGAAGACUUUGACUGAAGACUUUCUCAAUUGCCUCAGUUCAAUUUCUUCAGUCUGUUUGUCUUCAUCUUGUGUUAUCCUGUGAUUACGCUUUCUGUACUCUGUGCUAGUCUUUAUUUCAUCAUGAUGACCAUGCUUGUAUUCUGUUAUGCUUACUUCUGAGUACUUAUUCCGCUGCAAGUAGUUCUUCGCUAAGGAAUUUCCUCACCAGCAAAUUCCUCAGUGAAGAAUUCAUAAAAAUCGCCUAUUCACCCCCUCUAGUCGAUAUAACACACUUUCACGUACUUAAGCCCCUGGUGUAUUUGGCCGUACCAAAGCGUACGGAUGCAACAUGUCAUAAGUGAACAUAUAUAGAUAAGCUGUGCAUUGUUUAUUAAAAAAGCUGCGGUAAAAGCAGAACGAUACAAAUAGUGCGAUAAGCAAGGGACGGGACUAUUUGACAUGUCCCCCUCCAGGAGCGAGCUGCGGGAUGAUAUGUAAAACAAGUAUACUGCUUGUUAUAGAGACCACCUGGACACUCGACGUAGCUUUCUGCUUCCCUGGCUGUUGCAUCGUGUGUUCGGCGGUUCUACUACCGGACAGGGCUUCUUGAUAAAAGAGUCCUGAAAGUAAGAAAAAAGAAUUAUACAAUCGGGCCCCUGGUGCGGUUGAGCCGCAUUCUGGGCCUGCCGUGGUCGUGCCCCUCCCCCUAUGCCCAUGGUAUUUCCAGAGCGUAAUUAUGUACGCGUAGUACUGGUUUCGCAAUUUCGCAAGGGCUGGGGUUGGGGCCACAUUGCUACGCGUGCUCGGGACGUGCCAGGCGGUCUUGUUGUAGGUUACUCCGGGCGCGCUUGAUGGUGUCCGGACAUUUAAUAGCCGGAUUCGAGAAUUGCCUUGAGAGGCUGCUUUGUACUUCCGCCGCGAGAGCCGCCGUAUGCUCCUCCGUUCGGAGAGAGCGUUUGGCUCCUCCGUUCGGAGAGAGCGUUUGGUGUUUCCAUUGACCGUAAUGACUCCUCGAGGGCCUGGCAUCUUGAGCUUGAGGUAUGCGUAGUGCGGCACCACAUUGAACUUUGCAAAUGCGAUUCGUCCGAGCAGCGCGUGAUAGCCACUGCGGAACGGGACUAUGUUGAAGAUUAACUCCUCGCUUCGGAAGUUAUCCGGGGAUCCGAAGACCACUUCAAGUGUAACUGAGCCUGUACAGUUGGCCUCUACACCUGGUAUGACGCCUUUAAAGGUCGUCUUUGUGGGUUUAAUCCUUGAGGGGUCUAUGCCCAUUUUGCGCACUGUAUCCUGAUAAAGCAGGUUCAGGCUGCUGCCGCCGUCCAUCAGGACUCUAGUGAGGUGAAAUCCGUCAAUGAUUGGGUCUAGAACCAAUGCGGCGAAUCCGCCAUGGCAGAUGCUAGUGGGGUGGUCCCUUCGAUCAAAAGUGAUCGAGUAGGAGGACCACAGAUUGAACUUUGGGGCGACUGGCUCCAUCGCAUAUGCGUUCCUUAGUGCACGCUUCCGCUCCCUUUUGGGUAUGUGGGUUGCGUAUAUCAUGUUCACCGUCUGCACUUGUAGGGGGAAGCCCUUCUGUCCUCUAUUGUUUGGCGGCCGGGGCUCCUCCUCGUUGUCGCUAUGCAGCCCCUUGUCAUUGUUUUCGGCAUUUAACUUGCCUGCCUGCUUGAACACCCAACAAUCCCUGUUGGUGUGGUUGGCUGGUUUUUCGGGGGUGCCGUGUAUCUGGCACGAGUGAUCGAGUAUUCGGUCCAAAUUGGACGGGCCCGAAGUAUUUCUUUUGAAUGGCUUUUUCCGCUGACCGGGUUUAGACCCUCUGAAUCCGGCAUUGACUGCCGUAUCCUCAGCAUUAUCGCCAUUAAUGCGGCGCUUGUGCUUCUUGCGACGCGACCUGCCAUUGUUGUCCUUGGUAUCCGAAUUACCAGGGCUCUUGGUCAUGUUGUUACUACGAGCUAGCCAGUCGUCCUCUCCCGCGCAAAAGCGGGUCAUGAGUGUUGUGAGGGCUGCCAUGGAUUUCGGCUUUUCCUGUCCUAGGUGUCGGGCAAGCCACUCGUCGCGGAUGUUAUGUUUGAAGGCUGCAAGGGCCUCUACAUCCGGAUAGUCGAUGAUUUGAUUUUUCUUGGUUAGGAACCAUGUCCAGAAUUGUCUGGCUGAUUCCUCUGGCUGCUGAAUUAUGUGGCUUAGGUCAUCGGCAUCUGGUGGUCGCACAUAGGUGCCCUGGAAGUUGUCGAGGAAUGCGGCUUCCAGGUCUUCCCAACAACCAAUUGACUCCGCUGGCAAGUUGUUAAGCCAAUGUCGAGCUGGUCCUUUAAGCUUGAGUGGGAGGUAUUUGAUGGCAUGUAGAUCAUCACCGCGGGCCAUGUGGAUAUGAAGGAGAUAGUCCUCGAUCCAGACCGCAGGAUCUAUCGUGCCAUCAUAUGAUUCAAUGUUUACGGGUUUGAAGCCCUCAGGGAUUUGAUGAUCCAUCACUUCGUCUGUGAAGCAUAGUGGGUGUGCGGCGCCUCUGUAUUGGGCUAUAUCACGACGCAGCUCAAAUGAGCUUUGUCUACUGUGUUUGGCCCGGCCGGAAUUGCCAUAUCCGGCGUGACGGUUAUCAUCACGUAUCGUGGGGCGCCCACGCGAUCUGUAGAUCGAUCUUGUUUGCCUUUCCUUGUCCUCCAGUAUAUCCCGCAGGUCUGGCGCAUUUUCCCGCGCCUUGGUAUUUUUUGAGCGGCGCCGGGGUGCGGCUUGAGUGGAGGGCCGAGACGCCUCUUUGUCGCGGCCACGAGGUGGCCGGUCGACCGUAUCAUGCGCUGGUGAUGUAGGUUCAGGUGCUUCCUCCUCUAAUCGGGGUAGCAGCCUGCGUUUUGGGUAGCUCUUGGAGGGGCGUUCGAGUUCAUACUCUUUGGCCGCAAGGACUUCAGUCCAUCUGUCGGCUAGCAAGUCUUGGUCAGCUCUAAGCUGUUGCUACUUUUUCUUGAGGCUGCUUGCCGUGGCCAUAAGCCUGCGUUUGAAACGCUCUUGUUCGACGGGAUCCUCAGGCACGACAAAUUCGUCGUCGUCGAGGCUUGCCUCGUCUUCAGAGGGAGGCAUGUAAUUAUCGUCCUCUACCUCUCUGUCUGCCGCUCUCUCAUGAGGGCUGGUUUCUCCAUCCUCCUGCGCUGAAUCCUACUGGAGGGGGUUGUCUUUGGCACUUUCCGAGGUGUUAUUGUCUCCCGUGCCGGAAUCACCGUCUUUUUGUGGCGGGAUUUAGAGCGGCGCCGCUGACGCCGGCGCUUAGGCUGUUUCUUGGAGGGGUCAUCCUCCGUUGUUCCAUCGCCAUUCCCAUCUUUUGGGAUGUCCACCAUGUAAAUGUCGUAUGACGAGGUGGCCUUCCAGUGCCCUGUAGCCGCUGGUUCUUGGUCGUCUCCUGCAUCGUCGUCCAUACCGUCGAUGUCUUCAGAGUCGAAGUCGAGCAUGUCGGUUAAAUCAUCGACAGUGGCUACGAAGUGGGUGGUGGGUGGGCUUUGAAUUUAUUCGUCGCCCGCAUCCCAACCUUCCUGACCAUAGUCUGGCCAGGGCUCUCCUGACAAAGAGAGAGACUUUAGUGAAUUCAGGAUGUCGCCAAAGGGCGAGUGCUGAAAGAUGUCUGCGGUGGUGAAUUCCAUGACCGGCGCCCAAUCGGAUUCGGCAGGGGCACGGAAGGUUCGGAGUCCGGAGAGGAAUCCGGCACCUUGGACUUACGAGCCUUGCAAAGGACAGGGAUGGUGUUCGGCUCAAUCGCCGUAGAGAUCGCAGCCCCCGAGGCGGUGUCCAGCCACCCAUCCUCGAUCGGCGUAGUCGGCUCUGAGCUAAGGGUCGGAGUGGACACUGGUGCGGCCUCCAGGGCACUGUUCGGCGGGAGAGCUAGAUCAUGCCCAUCGUGACAGUGCGGCGCGCUUGGCUGUGGCUCGAACCCGUCGAAGAUCAAGUCUCCGCGAACUUCAGCCGUAUAGUUCAAACUUCCAAAUCUGACCUGAUGGCCAGGGGCGUAGCUCUCAAUCUGCUCCAGAUGGCCAAGCGAAUUGGCCCGCAGUGCAAAGCCGCCGAAUACGAAGAUCUGUCCGGGGAGAAAAGUCUCACCCUGGACCGCAUCAUUGUUGAUGAUCGGAGGAGCCAUCGGGCCUAAAGAUGACGACACAGAGGAACUCUCAAUGAAAGCACCAAUGUCGGUGUCAAAACCGGCGGAUCUCUGGUAGGGGGUCCCGAAUUGUGCGUCUAGGUGGAUGGUAACAGGAGACAAGGGACAUGAUGUUUUUACCAAGUUUCGGGCCCUCUCGAUGGAGGUAAAACCCUACUCCUGCUUGAUUAAUAUUGAUGAUAUGGGUAGUACAAGAGUAGAUCUACCACGAGAUCAGAGAGGCUAAACCCUAGAAGCAAGCCUAUGGUAUGAUUGUUGUUCGUCCUACGGACUAAAGCCCUUCGGUUUAUAUAGGCACCGAAGAGGGUUAGGGUUACACAGAGUCGGUUACAAUGGUAGGAGAUCUACAUAUUCGUAUCGCCAAGCUUGCCUUCCACGCUAAGGAAAGUCCCAUCCGGACACGGGACGAAGUCUUCAAUCUUGUAUCUUCAUAGUCAAGGAGUCCGGCCAAAGGUGAUAGUUCAGCUAUCCGGACACCCCCUAAUCCAGGACUCCCUCAGGAUCCAUGUAUGAAAACAAAGUAUGGACUUUGGUUGACUUGCCCGAUGAUCGGCAAGCCAUAGAGAAUAAAUGGAUCUUCAAGAAGAAGACUGAUGUUGCUGGCAAUGUAAUUGUCUAUAAAGCUCGACUUGUUGCGAAAGGUUUUCGACAAGUUCAAGGGGUUGACUAUGAUGAGACUUUCUCGCCCUUAGUGAUGCUUAAGUCUGUCUGAAUCAUGUUAGGAAUUGCCGCAUUUUAUGAUUAUGAAAUUUGGCAAAUGGAUUUCUGGAAGAAGAGUUGUAUAUGAUGCAACAGGAAGGUUUUGUCGAUCCAAAAGGUGCUAACAAAGUGUGCAAGCUCCAGCGAUCCAUUUAUGGACUAGUGCAAGCAUCUCGGAGUUGGAAUAAACGCUUUGAUAGUGUGAUCAAAGCAUAUGGUUUUAUACAGACUUUUGGAGAAGCCUGUAUUUACAAGAAAGUGAGUGGGAGCUCUGUAGCAUUUCUGAUAUUAUAUGUAGAUGACAUAUUAUUAAUUGGAAAUGAUAUAGAAUUUCUGGAUAGCAUAAAGGGAUACUUGAAUAAAAGUUUUUCAACGAAAGACCUCGGUGAAGCUGCUUACAUAUUGGGCAUCUAGAUCUAUAGAGAUAGAUCAAGACGCUUAAUUGGACUUUCACAAAGCACAUACCUUGAUAAAGUUUUGAAAAGGUUCAAAAUGGAUCAGGCAAAGAAAGGGUUCUUGCCUGUAUUACAAGGUGUGAAGUUGAGUCAGACUCAAUGCCCAACCACAGCAGAAGAUAGAGAGAAAAUGAAAGAUGUUCCCUAUGCUUCAGCCAUAGGCUCUAUCAUGUAUGCAAUGUUGUGUACCAGACCUGACGUAUGCUUAGCAAUAAGCUUGGCAGGUAGGUACCAAAGUAAUCCAUGAGUGGAUCACUGGACAUCGGUCAAGAACAUCCUGAAAUACCUGAAAAGGACUAAGGAUAUGUUUCUCGAUUAUGGAGGUGACAAAGAGCUAGUCGUAAAUGGUUACGUUGAUGCAAGCUUUGACACUGAUCCGGACGAUUCUAAAUCGCAAACUGGAUACGUGUUUUUAUUAAACGGUGGAGCUGUAAGUUGGUGUAGUUCUAAACAAAGCGUUGUGGCGGGAUCUACAUGCAAAGCGGAGUACAUAGCUGCUUCGGAAGCAACAAAUGAAGGAGUCUGGAUGAAGGAGUUCAUUUCCGAUCUAGGUGUCAUACCUAGUGCAUCGGGACCAAUGAAGAUCUUCUGUGAAAAUACUGGUGCAAUUGCCUUGGCAAAGGAAUCCAGAUUUCACAAGAGGACCAAGCGCAUCAAGAGACGCUUCAAUUCCAUCCGGGACCAAGUCCAGGUGGGAGACAUAGAGAUUUGCAAAAUACAUACGGAUCUGAAUGUUGCAGACUCGUUGACUAAGCCUCUUCCACGAGCAAAACAUGAUCAGCACCAAGACUCCAUGGGUGUUAGAAUCAUUACUGUGUAAUCUAGAUUAUUGACUCUAGUGCAAGUGGGAGACUGAAGGAAAUAUGCCCUAGAGGCAAUAAUAAAGUUAUUAUUUAUUUCCUCAUAUCAUGAUAAAUGUUUAUUAUUCAUGCUAGAAUUGUAUUAACCGGAAACAUGAUACAUGUGUGAAUACAUAGACAAACUUAAAGUCACUAGUAUGCCUCUACUUGACUAGCUCAUUAAUCAAAGAUGGUUAUGUUUCCUAACCAUAGACAUGUGUUGUCAUUUGAUUAACGGGAUCACAUCAUUAGGAGAAUGAUGUGAUUGACUUGACCCAUUCCAUUAGCCUAGCACUUGAUCGUUUAGUAUGUUGCUAUUGAUUUCUUCAUGACUUAUACAAAGUUCCUAUAACUAUGAGAUUAUGCAACUCCCGUUUACCAGAGGAACACUUUGUGUGCUACAAAACGUCACAACAUAACUGGGUGAUUAUAAAGGAGCUCUAUAGGUGUCUCCAAUGGUACAUGUUGAGUUGGCGUAUUUCGAGAUUAGGUUUUGUCACUUCGAUUGUCGGAGAGGUAUCUCUGGGCCCUCUCGGUAAUGCACAUCACUAUAAGCCUUGCAAGCAAUGUGGCCAAUGAGUUGGUUACGGAAUGAUGCAUUACGUAAUGAGUAAAGAGACUUGCCGGUAACAAGACUGAACUAGGUAUUGGAUACCGACGAUCGAAUCUCGGGCAAGUAACAUACCGAUGACAAAGGGAACAACGUAUGUUGUUAUGCGGUUUGACCGAUAAAGAUCUUCGUAGAAUAUGUAGGAGCCAAUAUGAGCAUCCAGGUUCCGCUAUUGGUUAUUGACCGGGAACAGUUCUAGGUCAUGUCUACAUAGUUCUCGAACCCGUAGGGUCCGCACGCUUAACGUUACGAUGACAGUUUUAUUAUGAGUUUAUAAGUUUUGAUGUACCGAAGGUUGUUCGGAGUCCCGGAUGUGAUCACGGACAUGACGAGGAGUCUCGAAAUGGUUGAGACAUAAAUAUUGAUAUAUUGGAAGCCUAUAUUUGGAUAUCGGAAGUGUUUCGGGUGAAAUCGGGAUUUUACCGGAGUACCGGGAGGUUACCGGAACCCCCCAGGGGCUUAAUGGGCCUACAUGGGCCCUAGUGGAGAGGAAGAGAGGAGGCAAGAGGUGGGCUGCGCCCCCUCCCCUCCAUAGUCCGAAUAGGACAAGGAGAGGGGGCGGCGCCCCCCUUUCCUUCCCCUCUUCCUCCUCCUUCCCCCCUUCUCCUUCUCCAACUAGGAAAGAAGGGAGUCCUACUCCCGGUGGGAGUAGGACUCCCCCUUGGCGCACCCUCCUUGGCCGGCCGCCCCCUCCUCCUUGGCUCCUUUAUAUACGGGGGCAGGGGGGCACCUCUAGACACACAAGUUGAUCUUCGUGAUCGUUCCUUAGCCGUGUGCGGUGCCCCCCUCCACCAUAUUCCACCUCGGUCAUAUCAUUGCGGUGCUUAGGCGAAGCCCUGCGUCGGUAGAACAUCAUCAUCAUCACUACGCCGUCGUGCUGACGGAACUCAUCCCCGACACCCUGCUAGAUCGGAGUCCGGGGAUCGUCAUCGAGCUGAACGUGUGCUGAACUCGGAGGUGCCGUACGUUCGGUACUUGGAUCGGUCGGAUUGUGAAGACGUACGACUACAUCAACCGCAUUGUCAUAACACUUCCGCUUUCGGUCUACGAGGGUACGUGGACAACACUCUCCCCUCUCGUUUCUAUGCAUCACCAUGAUCCUUGCGUGUGCGUAGGAAUUUUUUUGAAAUUACUACGUUCCCCAACAGUUAUGCGGUUUGACCGAUAAAGAUCUUCAUAGAAUAUGUAGGAGCCAAUAUGACCAUCCAGGUUCCGCUAUUGGUUAUUGACCGGGAACAGUUCUAGGUCAUGUCUACAUAGUUCUCGAACCCGUAGGGUCCGCACGCUUAACGUUACGCUGACAAUUUUAUUAUGAGUUUAUAAGUUUUGAUGUACCGAAGGUUGUUCGGAGUCCCGGAUGUGAUCACGGACAUGACGAGGAGUCUCGAAAUGGUCGAGACAUAAAGAUUGAUAUAUUGGAAGCCUAUAUUUGGAUAUCGGUAGUGUUCCGGGUGAAAUCAGGAUUUUACCGGAGUACCGGGAGGUUACCAGGACCCCCCGGGGGCUUAAUGGGCCUACAUGGGCCCUAGUGAAGAGGAAGAGAGGAGGCAAGAGGUGGGCUGCGCCCCCUCCCCUCCCUAGUCGAAUAGGACAAGGCGAGGGGGGCGGCGCCCCCCCCCCCUUUCCUUCCCCUCUUCCUCCUCCCUCCCCCCUUCUCCUUCUCCAACUAGGAAAGAAGGGAGUCCUACUCCCGGUGGGAGUAGGACUCCCCCUUGGCGCGCCCUCCUUGGCCGGCCGCCCCUCCCCCUUGGCUUCUUUAUAUACGGGGGCAGGGGGCACCUCUAGACACACAAGUUGAUCUUCGUGAUCGUUCCUUAGCCGUGUGCGGUGCCCCCCUCCACCAUAUUCCACCUCGGUCAUAUCGUUGCGGUGCUUAGGCGAAGCCCUGCGUCGGUAGUACAUCAUCAUCGUCACUAUGCCGUCGUGCUGACGGAACUCAUCCCCGACACCCUACUAGAUCGGAGUCUGGGGAUCGUCAUCGAGCUGAACGUGUGCUGAACUCGGAGGUGCCGUACGUUCGGUACUUAGAUCGGUCGGAUCGUGAAGAUGUACGACUACAUCAACCGCGUUGUCAUAACGCUUCCGCUUUCGGUCUACGAGGAUACGUGGACAACACUCUCCCCUCUCGUUGCUAUGCAUCACCAUGAUCCUUGCGUGUGCGUAGGAAAGUUUUUGAAAUUACUACGUUCCCCAACACGGAGGCCCAACCCAUAUUGCUGUUUUUUGCCUAUUUCAGUAUUUUGAAGAAAAGGAAUAUCAAACGGAGUCCAAACGGAAUGAAACCUUUGGGAGCGUGAUUUUUGAAACAAAUCUGAUCCGGAGAGCUUGGAGUGCAAGUCAAGAAGCUCCCGAGGGCCCCACAAGAUAGCCCCCCCCCCCUGUAGGGCACGCGCCCUAUCUCGUGGGCCCCUCGGGCGGCCACCAACGUACUUCUCCCUACAUAUACCUAUGUACCCCGAAAACAUCCAGGAGCACCACGAAACACAAUUUCCACCGCCGUAACCUUCUAUAUCCGCGAGAUCCCAUCUUGGAGCCCUUGUCGGCACUCUGUCGGAGGGGGAAGCAACCACGGAGGGCCUCUACAUCAACAUCCUUGCCCCUCCGAUGAGUUGUGAGUAGUUUACCACAGACCUACGGGUCCAUAGUUAUUAGCUAGAUGGCUUCUUCUCUCUUUUUGGAUCUCAAUACAAUGUUCUCCCCCUCUCUUGUGGAGAUCUAUUCGAUGUAAACUCUUUUCGCGGUGUGUUUGUCGAGAUCCGAUGAAUUGUGGGUUUAUGAUCAAGUUUAUCUAUGAAUAAUAUUUGAAUCUUCUCUGAAUUCUUUUAUGUAUGAUUGAGUUAUCUUUGCAAGUCUCUUCGAAUUAUCAGUUUGGUUUGGCCUACUAGAUUGAUCUUUUCUUGUCAUGGGAGAAGUGCUUAGCUUUGGGUUCAAUCUUGCGGUGUUCUUACCCAGUGACAGAAAGGGUUGCAAGACACGUAUUUUAUUGUUGCCAUCAAGGAUAACAAGAUGGGGUUUAUAUCAUAUUGCAUGUGUUUAUCCCUCUACAUCAUGUCAUCUUGCUUAAUGCGUUACUCUGUUCUUAUGAACUUAAUACUCUAGAUGCAUUCUGGAUAGCGGUCGAUGUGUGGAGUAAUAGUAGCAGAUGCAAGCAGGAGUCGGUCUACUUGUUAUGGACGUGAUGCCUAUAUACAUGAUCAUGCCUAGAUAAUCUCAUAACUAUGCGCUUCUCUAUCAAUUGCUCGACAGUAAUUUGUUCACCCACCGUGAUACUUAUGCUAUCUUGAGAGAAGCCUCUAGUGAAACCUAUGUCCCCCGGGUCUAUCGCUUAUCAUAUUUGCUUUCAAUCUACUUUAUUUGCAUCUUUACUUUUUGCAUCUAUAUUACAAAAUACCAAAAAUUAUUUAUCUUAUCAUGCUAUCUUUAUUAGAUCUCACUUUCGCAAGUGGCCGUGAAGGGAUUGACAACCCCUUUAUUGCGUUGGUUGCGAGUUCUCAGUUUGUUUGUGUAGGUGCGUGGGACUUUUGAGGAGCCUCCUACUGGAUUGAUACCUUGGUUCUCAAAACUGAGGGAAAUACUUACGCUACACUUUGCUGCAUCACCCUCUCCUCUUCAAGGAAAACCAACGCAAGCUCAAGACGUAGCAACUCGCAACUGGGUUUGCAGUUUUGUAGUUAUCCUAGUUGCAAGUCCACUCUCUACUCUGGUCCAUAGUUUUGUUGUUGACCAUGUUCCUUCGACUCACAACUAGGCCUUUUGUUUUGCCAGUUGCAAGUGCACCCUCAACUCACAAUUGGCAUCGUAGUUUUGUGUAGUUGUCCCAGUCGCAAGUCAAUCCUCGACUCGCAACUAGGCCGUUGUUUGUUUUCAUACUAGUUGCAACUUGCAAGAGCACCUCGACUCGCAACUUGGGCCAUGGUUUUGUUAUUGUCCCAGUUGCGAGUCUAACCUCUGACUCGCAACUGUGCCGCUUGUUUUCAUCCCAGUUGCAAGUCCAACCUCAACUCACAAUGUACAUCGUAGUUUUGUGUAGUUGUCCCAGUUGUAAAUCCACUAUUGACUCGCAACUAGGCAUGUUGUUUGUUUCAUCCCAGUUACAAGUCUACCCGCCUUGACUCACAACUCAGCUCGUAGUUUUGUAGUUGCCUCAGUUGCAAAUCCACCCUCGACUCGCAACUAGGCCUAUAUUUCUGUUGUUGUCCAUGUUGCAAGUCCACCCUUUGAAUCGCAACUGAGUUAUUUGUUUUGCCAUUUGCAUGUGCACCCUCGACUUGCAGCUAGCACCAUAGUUUUGUGUAGUUGUCCCAGUUGCAAGUCCAUCCUCGACUCGCAACAAAGACAUAGUUUGUUUUCAUCCCGGUCGUAAGUAGACCUUUGACUCGUAACUUGGGUCAUGGUUUUGUUAUUGUCCCAGUUGCAAGUCCAGUCUCUAACUAACAACUGGUCCAUUUGUUUCAUUCCCAGUUGCAAGUUCACCCUCAACUCACAACAGGCAUCGUAGUUUCGUGCACUUGUUCCGGUUGUAAGUCCAACCUCGACUCGCAACUAGGCUCAUAGUUUUUUCCCUCCUAAUUGCAAGUCCACUCUCGACUUGCAAUAGGGACUAUUGUUUCUUUCUUAAAAUUAUUUUUGUUUUUUUCUUCAUUUCAUUUCCUUUUUUAUAAUUCAUAAUCUUUUCAAAUUAUGAAUAUUUUGGAAAUUUGUGAACAUAUUUUGUUGAAUCGACGAACAUUUUUUGAAUCUACAAACAAUUUUUGAAUAUCAUGAAUAUUUUUUCAACUCCAUGAACAUUUAUUGAAUGGACAAUCAAUUGUUCGGUAUGAGUUUUAAAAUAAUUUAGUGCAUAUUAUAAAAAUGUUCACCAUAUAUUCAAAAAAGUUCAUCGUAUCUUAAAAGAGGUUAAGUGUGUACUGAAAAAAAUGUUCAGUGCAUAUUAAAGAAAUGUUCAUUGUGUAUAAUUAAAGAAGUUCAUCAUAUAUAAAAAAGCUCAUUGUAUAUUAAAAAUGUUCAAUUUAUACUACAAAAAGUUAGUGUAUAUUCAGAAAAUGGUCAUCAUAUGUUAAAGGAUUGUUCACCGUAUAUUAAAACAUUUUUUGUAUUCAUUAAAAAAAUUCUAAUUUGAAAACAUAUAUAUAUAAAUUCAUGAAUAAAUUUUUUGUGAAAAAACGAAAAAGUAAUAAGGCAAAAAAAUCGUUGUUAGCCUAUUAGAAGCUAGCGAUCAGAGACGUACUUGUAAAAUUUUGCUACGGGACGCAUAAGCUACAUCCAGCAAUAUAGCAUAACCCUUAUCCCUUAUCCCUAAGAUGAAUGGAGCCAAAAAAAAUCCAGCAAUAUAGACCUAUUUGUCUACUGCGAUGUCCUUACAAGCUUAUCACCAAAGUCUUGGACAAUAGAGCAUCCAUGUUUGCAGAUAUCCUCAUCAGCAAACAUCAAAAUGCCUUCAUAAAACACAGGAACAUUAUGGAUGGUAUCUUGACCCUUCAUGAAAUUCUUCACCACACACAAAGGAAAAAGAAAAUUUGUGUGGUGUUGAAACUCGAUUUCGAAAAAGCAUAUGAUAAGAUUAAUUGGGAUUUCCUUCUUGAGUGCCACAGCAAUAGGGGUUUUGGCCCGGUGUGGUGUGUUGGAUCCAGAAUAUCCUUAAGAAUGGGACCAUUAACAUCAAAUUGAAUAAUGAAAAAGGUCCUUAUUUCCAAAGCUACAAAGGAGUGCGACAAGGGGACCCACACUCGCCUUUUUUAUUCAAUAUGGCUGUGGAAGCCUUGUCCAAAAUGAUCUUGAAUGCUCAGAAAGAGAAAAUGCUAACAUGCCUAGCUCCGGACCUGAUUAAUGGGGGUGUGGCUAUCCUCCAAUAUGCAGACGAUACGGUCGUUUGUUUUGAACAUGACAAAGAAGCCGCGGUUAAUUUGAAGCUCCUGCUUUAUUUGUUUGAGCUUAUGUCAGGGCUUAAGAUUAAUUUCCGGAAGAGUGAAAUUUUAUGCAUUGGAGGGGAUGAUGACGUUCUUGCUUUUCAUUCUGAGCUCUUCAAUUGCCAGAUUGGCCACUUUCCUAUGAAAUACUUAGGGGUGCCUGUGAGCUAUUCUACUCUCCGUGCGGUAGACUGGGACUUUGUAGAUGACAAAUUCCUCAAGUGUUGUGAAUCCUGGAUUGGUAAUGCGGCCUCUUCGGGAGGGAGAUUGACUCUUCUCAACUCCUCCCUUACGAGUAUUGUUUUUUACUACAUGUCUAUGUUUAUGCUAUCUAAGAAGAAUAUUGAUAAACUAGAUAAGCAUAGGAAAAAGUUCUUUUGGCAAGAGAUCGAUGGUCGGAGAAGAUAUCACUUGGUCAGGUGGUCUAGAAUAUGCAGAUCUAAGAACAAAGGGGGAUUGGGAGUUAAAGAUUUGCACAGACAAAACAUCAGUCUCCUCACCAAAUGGUGGUGGAAACUGGAAACCCAACACGGCCUUUGGCAGGAGAUAAUCCGUGCUAAAUAUUUCAGAAAUGAUACGAUCCCCCCGGUGAAAAGUAAGUUUGGGGAUUCCCCCAUCUGGAAAGCUAUUAUGAAAGUAAAGGAGAUAUACUUGGAAGGUAGAGAAGUGAUCUUAAACUCUGGGAAUAUAGCCAGAGUCUGGAAUGACCCCAUUAGGGGCGAUGCUCCCUUGCGUGCUAAAUUUCCGGCCUUGUUCAGCAUCUGUAACUAUCAGGAGAUUACUGUUGCUGAAUUCAAAAACUUUGAGGGUAGCGAUCUUUUUAGAAUAAACCUUCAUCCUCCCCUUACGGAUCAGUGGAAAGAUCUAGUUAAGGUGGUUAACUCUUGGCAUUUAUCCGAUGAGACGGAUCAUAUUAGCUGGAGGUUGGGGAAGAAAGGUAAAUUCUCGACCAAAUCGGUCUCUUAUUUGGAAAGAACCCUGGCCGGAUGUGAUUUCAGAUGGAUAUGGAAAGCAAAAAUUCCUCUUAAGAUUCAAAUUUUUCUUUGGCAAUUGUUCCAAGACGCGGUUUUGACUCGAGAAGUCAUGAAAAGGCGAAAGUGGGCAGGCAAUCCUAGAUGCUCGUUUUGCAAUGAGGUGGAAACCUCGCAACAUCUUUUCUUUACGUGUCCUGUUGCUCGGGUGGUUUGGAGGACGGUUGGGUGUGUGUUAGGCACAUCGUUGUGUCCAAACAACCUUUGGCAAUACUUCUCCUGGUGUUACAUAUUCCUUCCUGAUGGAGCAAAAUUUUAUACCUUUGGUUUGGCAGCUAUAUGCUGGGCGAUUUGGAUCAGUCGCAAUCAGGCUACCUUUGAGCACAAAACUCUUAAAAGUCCUUUUAAUGUGGUAUAUGCUGCUUGUGGCUUUUUGACAUACUGGGCAGGUUUGAUGGCUGGUGAAGAGCAGGAGUCCGUGGAGCGUGGAGCCAAGAUGCUCAGGUCAAAUGCUUCGACGAUGAUGAGGAUCAGUGCGGCUCCGUCAACGACGAACUGAUACUCCUCCAGCAAUGCAAAGUUUCAAGUCCGCGUCAGCCGGGAUAGUUUAUCUCACUCCUGCGCGAGUGCUUUUGUCUUCCUGUUUGUGAGCCUACGGGCAUGGUGGUGUUAUACUGUUAUGGUUCCUGUUGGAGACUGCCUUAUGUUGAUUAGGUUUAGAGGUUUGCGUGAUUCUCGGUGUCACUGGGUUUUCGCCCCGCGAUGGGCUGCUCGAUGACGAGUGCUCAUAGUGGGUUUCCUAGUGGUGCUUUGAUCUCGCCUUACCCCUUUCUAGCUUCCUUAUGUUUAGUCGUUAUGCUGGGUCUGUGUUCGCUGAACUUUGUAUUUCCGUUAUGCUUUUAAUGGAAAGGGGUUAAGGCCCGGGUCAAAAAAAAAAAAAAGCUACAUCCAGCACUGCAUUGCGUACAUCCAAUACUGCANNNNNNNNNNNNNNNNNNNNNNNNNNNNNNNNNNNNNNNNNNNNNNNNNNNNNNNNNNNNNNNNNNNNNNNNNNNNNNNNNNNNNNNNNNNNNNNNNNNNNNNNNNNNNNNNNNNNNNNNNNNNNNNNNNNNNNNNNNNNNNNNNNNNNNNNNNNNNNNNNNNNNNNNNNNNNNNNNNNNNNNNNNNNNNNNNNNNNNNNNNNNNNNNNNNNNNNNNNNNNNNNNNNNNNNNNNNNNNNNNNNNNNNNNNNNNNNNNNNNNNNNNNNNNNNNNNNNNNNNNNNNNNNNNNNNNNNNNNNNNNNNNNNNNNNNNNNNNNNNNNNNNNNNNNNNNNNNNNNNNAAGACAAACAAUAUGAAAAUAAGGUAAUGCUAACAUCAUAUUUAGAUGUGAGAUAAUAUCUCACAUCUAGAUGUAACAUAGACAGACCCAAAAUUAAAAUGAUAUAAUAUUAAUGGUGACAUAUCUAAACAUAAUAUACUUUUUUUGAAUACAUACUCAUAAAUGGUAUUUGAAGGCAUACCCAUAAAAUAAUAUUUUAAAAUAAUACACCCAAGAAUAAGAUACGCAUAUAUGCCUUGAACACAUACUCCGUAAAUGAUAUAAGAGACAUACCCAUAAAUAAUAUAUCAAAAAUUAAAAUAAACAUACUGUUCUACAAAAAUUACACGUAUAUUGACGACAUACCCGUAAAUGAUUUUCAAGACAUAUCAGAAAAUGAAAUAAGUGCACGUAUAAGAAAGAAGGGCACGUAAUGGAGCAUGCAUGGACUUACUGGAUCAUUAAUUGCUGAUUUUCUCUCUCCUUCUAAACAAAAGCACACUCUGAAAACACAUUUUAGUUAGGUCUAUCUAUAUCUCUGAACAUACAAGCACUCUGCAGUAUAGUACCCUAGAACAUGUAAGCAACGGUGUCCUAUUUUAAAUAGUCCUGUAAAAAAAGCAUGACACGUAAACACAACGGUGUAUCCGCGUUGUAAUUCAUUCAUUGUUGUUGUUUCAGUUGCCUUUUGGUACAGUAUCCACUGGACUGUAUUCACGUUGUAGUUCAUUCAUUGUUGAUUGUUUCAGUUGCCUUUUGGUACAGUGUCCACAGGACUUUCAAAUACGUCCUGUAAAAAAAAAACGCUGAAGAAAAAUAGCACUUUCAUCAUGAACGAUGUGACUCAUUAGGACAGCUAAAAAUCCAAGUUGGCAAGGAUGCUGCUGUACUUCCACCCUUUCAUGUCUCGCAAUGCUUACUUUUUAUUUAGAGCCUGAGCACUUUCAUCAAGAAUAUUUCUAGCAGAAUAUGAAUCAAGAUGCAAGAAGCUUCAGACCGAUAGCAGGCAAUGCAAUCCUGCAGGAUCAUCAGGUAAGCGUUCUAUUUCUCAAACUUCCAUGUGCAUGUAAGUAGGACUUAACAAGUUGCCCAAGGUUUGGGUGCCUUCUAUCUAGAUGGUUCUUCUUCCUUGUGACAUGUUGAUAUGCAGUUCCUUCUGAGGUGCAAUUGUAUUUUGAUCCAGAAUAUCAACACUGCAACCAUAAAUAAAAAUAAUUGAGGGAAACAUGCCUCCUCUACAUAUCCUUUUCAUGCACAUCAUGAUGUGGUUCACGUGUCAGAAUAAUCAUAAAGAAUAAUACAUAACAACAAAUACAUGUUUACUCUUCAGUUAUUUACACAUAUAACACUAGAAAAGUAAUACUCCCUCUGUUUCUAAAUAUAGGUCUUUUUAGAGAUUUCAAUACAGACUACAUACGGAUGUAUAUAGACGUAUUUUAGAGUGUUGAUUCACUCAUUUUGCUCCGUAUGUAUUCCGUAUUGGAAUCUCUAAAAAGUCUUAUAUUUGGGAAUGGAAGGAGUAAUUGGUAUCCUAUAAAUACACCCAUUGACUGCAAUCAUUUAACAUGGAUGCUCAAAUAUCAGGUCAUGGCGUGGUAAACAACUUCUAUGUGAACUGAACAGAUGAACUGCUAGUCAGCUCAUGCCUUUGCAGCUAAUUACUGCAAUGACAAAUAAAGUUGAGCUGCGCUGCCCAGGUAAAGGUCCCAAAACUGGAUGAUGUGGAACUCAACGGCAGCAAAAAGCAAAGAUCAAUGAUCUGACCAGACUAGUUGUGGAGAGAGCUCUGUGUCAUGGAUGUAAGUGAUGGAUGGAUCCUAGCCGUCUUCAGUGAUCGUGAAACACUUCUUCCUUCUGAAUAUUCCUCGCCAAGUGGCCAUCUUGGACGCAAGUCAUACUGUAGUAGACAAAAACUGAUCAGAGAGGAUGCUAGCAAAACAGCCAGAACAAAACCCAUAAGUUCUGCAUCAGAUCUUAAAUACUCAGUGAAAGAUACUUAUCAGCACAAGACAAUGGCCUGAUUCAGAAGUGCCUACAUUCCAAUGAAAGAAACUAGAAAGCCGGGUGCUCAUAGUCCCUACAUUAAAUGACCGAGCUUCAACAAUCACGCCAAAUUCAAUUGUGUGUUUUUCUAACAGCUGGUUGUCAACACUAUUCAAAGUUCCAAACCAAGUUCAAGAAUUUGACAUAUUUUAUUUAGGCCCUGUUCGGAACUUCCCCGCUCUGUGGAGUUGGGGAGUUGGAUUUUGGCAGCUCCGCCUAAUUAAGCUAAAGGAUGGUCCGCUCCGGGAGCGGAGUUAACAGAGCAGAGAGAAACCGAACACAGCCUUAACUCUUCAACCUUUGAUGAUGAUGGAAUUAGUGAAUUCCUAUUGAUUUUACAUUUAUAUUCUUCACUGACAUACCAAAUCCUUUUAUGCAAGUAACUAUUUAGCUUUGAAAAGGAGCUGAUCAUACAUCUGAAUUAACAAAACAACAAAAUAAUAAGAUCUUAAAACUCAGAGCUUACAAUGAAAAACAAAAUGAUGCAACUAUGAAUAAAUACAAAAUGGAGCUUCCUAUAGUGCAAUUUAACCAGUUACUUUGGGCACUUAUUUUUAUAAGUGACCUGUUAUUAUUAUUUUUAACUCAUACAUUACGCAGUUGAUUUUAUCAACUGUGCAUACUGCUUGGUUAGGUUACCUGCAUAUCAUCAGGCUCAUCAGCGGGAGGUGGAUCUUCAAAUCUACCUGCAACAAAGUGCUCGAUUCCAGUCCAAGCAAUCAUGACACCUAUAUGCAAAUAAAGGAACAUAGCAUAUGUUACUAGUUCUAAAAGAAUACUACUCCCUCCGUCCCAUAAUAUAAGAGCAUUUUUGACACUAAACUAGUGUAAAAACGCUCUUAUAUUAUGGGACGGAGGGAGUAUAUCUGAUAGUUAUCACAGAUGCGGGAAUAACUGAGAGCGAAGUUGGCAGAAAUAGUCAGGAUAUAACUCAUUCACAUGCUUCAAAAUAAAAAGAGAAUACAGCCUAGGGCCUAGACUGAAAAAUAGAGAACUGUGCUGAGUUGCAUCAAAGUUGAUUUUGAAUAUUAGAUGGUUUUACUGGCAGUAUGAUUGAAUAUUUACUAAUUACAACUCAUAAUGACAAACUCAUUACCAUUGUCGGUACAUAGACUUGGGGGAGGGGAUACGAGCUGUAGGCCAUUCUUCUCAGCAAUAUGAUUCAAGCGGGUCCUAACAUACUGGUUAGAAGCAACACCACCUGAAACAACCUUUAAUAAUUGAAUUGAUUAACCACUGGAUGAAUUAAGAAAAGUGGCUGAAUUUAACAGGAACAAGAUAUAUGCAUUACAAAGUUUUUAAUAGAAGGUUUCAUCUUCAAUGCCCAUUCAACUGCUCGCUGGCAUCUAUCCUCCAAAUGCAGAACAGCAAUCCUCUGCACAAGUUAAAAUUAUCAGAAACUUAUCAGAGUCCUCAUGGACAAUGAGUACAAAUAUCCAUGAUACUAAACCUGGAAAGAGGCGGCAAUGUUCGCCCUUAGUUGUCUGUCUUCUUCUGUUGCGGAAGAAAUGGGGAUAUCAUCUGUGCACCUACAAUGGUGUAAAAACGGCAACACAGUUAACUAAUAAUCACAGCACAGCCACUCGCCAACCCUGAUUGCAUAUUUUUCCUUCAGUGAUAAAUAGUUAAAUACAGUAAGGCAUCUUGUACACUCAUUCAUUUCAAACAAACUGAUAUAUUUGGUAACUUCUUAGCCUACUUCAUCUGUAGUCCCGUUGGAAAUGUUCAAUUUAUCAGGGCAUAAUGUAUUCAUCAAAUUAAGGUGUCAAACUGUCACUGCUUGAAAGAUGUAAGAUGAUUUCCAUGAAAAAUUGUCUAUGCUGAUUUAAGCAUCAGUUGUAUCACUCUUCCCACCAGUACUGUUCUUGUGAUUUGGCUCACAAGAAUGCUACCACAUCUGUAUGGCAUUAUUCACACGAAAAGGUUUCCUAAUUCCAACAAUAUAUAAACCUUGCUUAGCAAACAUUUGCAACACAGAUCAUUGUACAUUGUGCAAUCUGUAUGAAUGUUCUCUAAAAAAAAAUGAAUUUUGCGUGUUUGAGAUUAGGUUAUUAAAUGGAUUGGCUCUCCAGCACAAGUUUCAGGUUACAACCCCUACUCCAUGAAACAAACAAACAAACAAUGAGAGUAAAUAAGAUUAUAUGUAUACUACUGAGAGUUCCAAAUGAAGUUGUGUUUGAAAACCUGAGGUGUAGCAUCAAAAAGAAUGAAUUCGAAGGACAAAUAAACAAGGAACAAACAGCAUGACAAAUGGCAAAACGCAAGGUUGUAUUGAAGACACCCGCAGGUGUGUUCAUCUUAUGAUGAAGAUGAUGAAACAAACAGUGCAACUAAAAGGAAUGGCAUAUUCAUACAGAUUUCUGGAUUCAAUAGUCAAUCGAACUUGAGUCUUCAGACCAGCAUAAGAGAAAUUGCAAUCUUUGUGUUGUCGCAUCGGAACCUGGAGGUAUACAAAAAAGGCAAGUAACAUGUCAAAUUGAACUAAAAGAUUAGUGGCAAGUAAACAUAAUUACUGUGGAAUUACACCUGAAAACUUACUGUGAAAUUAAUAGAAUUUGGAUCACCUUCUAGGGCAAGCUCUUCAAGAGCAGGACCACCACCUUUCCGGAUAUCAAGACCCAGCCAUCUUGCUGCCUUGUCAUAUGCCUCACCAAUUGCAUCAUCUAUAGUAGUCCCCAGUUGAACAUACUCACCAAGGUUCUGAGCGAGAACAAGAAGAUUGUGUCCUCCUGUACAUAUUAACUAGUUAGCGCAAUGCCGUAAAAAAAUCAGCAAACACAACUGUGACAGUGUCAGUAUAAAAACUAGCAUGUCUGCUAGAUUAAGACAUCUCUUACAUGAACUUCGGCUGCUGUAGUUUUGCUUCAAAUUAUUUUGAAUAAAAAAUCUAAAAAGAAAUAGUGGAUGGAAACCUCAAUUUGUAGGAGUGAAAAUAUUAAUCACAUUUCAAUCAUUGCAAUAAGGCAUAAAAUAAUAGCUGGCUUUGGACUCCGACAGGCAGGAAAAAAAUGAAUGCAUAUCUUCUAUGGCAUUAUUGCUAUCGUAAUUUACAACUGUAAGCUCCUCUGGAAUAAGAGAAUUAAGCUAGAUCAUGGUAUAGAAUACUGAGACAUGGUACUGUAAUUAGCAUAUACCUGAAAUUAGAAGAGCUAAAAAUGGGUAAUUAAGGUCCUUGUUCACCAGCCUGACAAGGAUCAAACCACAUUAAAUACAUAAUUCAGUGAAUGCAAUAUCAUUAGAAGUAUGGGAGGCACGUGUGCUGCUCUUUUUUUAUGUUUAUAGAGCAAGGCCUUCAUUGCAAAUAUGAAAUAUGUUCACCAUAUUUGAAGUAGUUAAACUACGAAUUUUCACAUCAGAAGUUCACAACAAGGCAUGCUGGAAACAGAUAUGACAGUGAGAAAGAGCUUGCCGACGUAAAUACUUUCCUACUCAAAGACAAAUUGUAGCUAUAGAUUUCAAUUUAGUUCAAUCUUUGGAGGUCGUAUAUCACUAAAAAAUAGUUUGAUUUUCAGUUUUCGCAGCUUGUGCUAGACCAGUUCAAUGUCUUGAUAAGUCCACAGCUAUUUUAAGGGGAAAACAUAAUGUAGGACGUAUGAGCAGUUUGUAAGCAUAGCUCAGAUGGCUAGGUUCCUUGUGGCGGAACCUGCCCACCCGGGUUCAAGUCCUAGACUUGACACAGGUGGUCGCAGUUUCCUGGUUUUAUUCCAGGCUUUCCGGCAAUAUUCGUUCAGCGGUAUGGCUAGGUGCUCAUAGGAGUAGGCCGGUAGGGUGUGCGUGUGUGAUUUCAUAGGGGUGACUGUGCAUGCGUGUAUGUGCGCGUCUGCGUCCGUACUGUGUUUCUCAAGAAAAAAGUAAUUCGCAAAAGCAAACCCACAAAAAUAAACACUUUGUGGACCUGGUUUUUGAAAUUACAUGAAAACACCUUGUGUCCUCGAACCAAAAACAAAUUCUAUAUAGCUGAUUCGGUGUGAUGUUGAACUCAUCAAAUAAAUUGUGCGUCACUAAAGAGAUGUCAGAAGUUAAAUGAUUACCUGGAAACUAAUGCAUGUGCCUCCAUAUGGUGAACUCCAACAAUAGGCAAGCCAAAUACUUUUGCUAUUUUCCGAGCUUUGUGAACACCAACUGCAAUUUGACAGGUCAUUACACUCGCAUACAAAAAAACAGAAAAAGGUGAACUUAUUUACAAGCUUUAACAAAAGUCUUGCACUCCAUAAACACUAGAACAAAUAAUAAAAUGGUUUGUCUCCAGGUUCAAGAGUGUCCCAAAAAACCCAGAAGAUACAGUGGUCUACUUAUCAUAGUUCAAAAAAAGAAAGAAAAAAAAGACCAAUUCUGAUUGAGUGGGUAAGUAAGCUGUAUAUGUAAUAUUGAAGAAGCCCAUUUUUCGUCCCUCGGAAUUGCUUUUAAUAAACCAAAGUUAGGGGUUUUCCAGAAUAUUUAUGAACGUUAUGCAUGUUUAAAAAAGUCAGCACUAAAUUAUCCAAAACAGUUCUUUAAGUGAAUAGCAAGAUUCUUUAGUCUGAUUAACUUUAACUCACUUGGACCACUGUCACCAUACCUAAAGCCUAACUGAUAAAAUUAUCCGAUGUGCAAGCUUACAAAUUACAUUAAUUUUUUGCGUGGAUAAAAGUUGAAUUUGGUAACUGACGAACAGACAUUUCCUUAAACAUCAGUAAUUCAUCAAGAUCAGAAUAGAAAAAACAGGAACCUCUAAGGCAUAGACUAAGUCCUGGUCCAAUGGUCACGGCCACAGCAGAAAGAUCACUCUCUGACACAUUUGCAUCAUCGAGUGCUUUCUGAACAACCUGCAAGACAAGGACAUAGAAGACAGUUAAAACAAACAUAAUAAUAAAAGUCAUCCAUCUUCUUAAAGGAAGAUGAACCUGAUCGAUUGCAAGCGCGUGAGCUUCUUCGGCCAUCUUAGGAGCGACCCCGCCCCAUUUCACAAGCAAAUCUGACUUACAAACACACAACAGUACGAUCAGCAACAUGUAAAGGAUACAACAUUUGCCAAAAAUUCCUGACAACAGAAUUAGACAUGAAACAUCUGGAGAGAAUGUGAACUGAAAAGCAAAUCCUUACUUGGGAAGAAAUCGCUUGGCUAAGGAUCUCCCCGUCGCCUCUAACCUGCAACCAACCAAGCACCAUAGAGACAGGCCGUAAGCAUAAAAUCUAGAAGGUUCGGCCACAAAUAGAAGCGACUGGACAGAAAUGGUGCAGCGAAUGAGCCAUGCAUACCACAGCGGCGGCGGUGUCGUCACAGCUGGUCUCAAUGCCGAGCAUGAGGAGAUCCCGGCGGGCGGGGAUAGCUGCAGAGGCCAUGGUAACGAGGGCGCGUGGAGUAGGAGAGGUUGAUGGGGAGGAAGCUGAGGCGAGGAGGCUGCGGAAAAGUGGAUGGUGAUAGCGGAAGGGUUGUGAUGGGGUUCGGAGGAGGAAGGCGGCGGUGCGUGAAACAGGCGGCAAUAAGGUCGGGAGAAGGGUGGACGCCAUUUUUCCAGGCGCUGUUCCGGCAGGUGACCCAGCAGCCUCAGCUGGGAACACAAUCAAAUGGAUGAACCAUGCUCACUGUCCAUACACAUAGCAAAUAUUCCUCACAAUCCAUACACAUACAGAAUAGAAGAAUAUAUCAUGCUCGCUGUCCAACAAUCAAAGAAUAGAACCAAACAACAGCAAUGGGGUUCCUGUGUGCUUAUUAUACCUCUGAUUUUUGAGGGAGAGAAAGGGGGCUGCUGUGCUUGUUAUCUUGGCCGGCUUGGUGCUACCAGGAGAUCGCUCGGUGCUAGCUGCAGAGAGGAAGAGAGGGUGGGGGUCAGAGCCCGGCAAAGAGAAGUACAGAGGAGAGCCCUACUCCACGCCCAGUGUCUAAAACUGAAAUUCCCAUCCAAUGGCGACCCCCGGCCAUAGCAUAAGCCACCUGGCCUCCGCGCUGGAGUUCGCCGCGGUCUGCCUCAUUCGCCAUCCCGGACCCAACCCUCACCACACCGGCCUCCCGCACACUACCCAUCCCUAACCGUCCACUGCCUCACUCCCCUCCCGCCCACCACCAUCGCUCACCUCCCACCUCGACGCGCGCCACCGUCGCUCACCUAUCGCGACCCGCCGGCCGCCGCUUUAGCGAGAUAGAGAAAAGAUUACAGAGGGGGAGAGAGAGAGGGGAGAGGGGCUGCACUGCACCUCGACGCGCGCCGCCGCUGCCGUCUCUGUCGGGGGUGAGGAUUGGGUAGCUUUCUGUUCCUGUGGAGGGUGAGAAAAGAAAAAGAAAAACGUUUCGCACCUCGGGAGGUGACUGGCCCGGGCGAGCUUGGCCGUGGGCGGCCGAACAGCCGGCCGCCAUCCUCCAGGCCGGCGUGUUCGCGUGCUCCGUCGGCGCCGCGCUCGCAGGCCAGGCCGAACAGCACGGUGUCGGGUCUGGAACAUGAGCGGCGCGCCGGUGUACGCGCGAACGAUGACCGUGGUGACUGUUGUCCUCCUCCGUCGCCCACCACCUGUUCGACCAAGGUCCAUGCUAUGCUAUGGAUUAUGGAUGCUUCUUGGCACAUGUUCAUGCGCUCCAUGGCUGUCGAAGAUCGUGAGAGUGCCACGUCCACGCCACGGUUCUUGCUCUCAAGGUUUGCCUGGUAAUUUGAUCAAGAAGCAUUUAUCUCUAAUACAAUUAAUCUUUACAAGAUGAUCUUUUCCCUACGUCUGUCAAAUUAAUCUUCACCUGUACUGUACUGACAUUGACAGCCCUCGCAAAGGAAAAAGGAAAUGCUGACACUGACAGCGUCAGUCAACUAUUAUGGUCUUUCUUGACGCCAUUUUUCAAUCUCACUUUGUCUUCUUGGGAGCAACGAAUGGUAUCCUAUGCCUACACGCCUACCUCAAUGAUUGGCUAUAUAUUUGUGCAUUCUUCCUCGGUUCUUCCAAUCCUGCACACUCGGUCACUCAACUAAGUUGCACUACCCACGCAUACGCUCGUAUCAUAAUAAAGCUGCUGUCUCUUGUUGGUAUACCUUCUCCUUCUUCUCCUUCUCCCGGCGAUUGCCAGAAAUGGUUCGAAAUUACAGGUGGGUGUUGCAGUCUAUAUGCUUGCUCUUUUCUUCUUCUUCUUCUUGGAUUGUUGUCUUAGUUGGGAAUAUUCAGGCUGCUCGACGAAAUGAGGCUGUGGGUGGUCGUCAUAUGGCUGUUUGUUUGUGCGGCGGCUCUUCCUGGCGGCGAGCAGCCGCUGUCGAGGAUCGCAGUUGAGAGAACAACCCUCGCCAUCGAUGACUCGGUGCAUGUAAAGGCGUCCCCGUUGGUUCUUGGGCUCAAGGUUAGCAUGCCCCACUUCUCACCACUCUUGUUCAACAGUUCCACAGUGAUGUGAUGCCAUCCUGCAGGGCGAGAACAGCGAGUGGGUAGAGGUGGAGUUCUUCCAUCCAAAUCCCUCCGAUGACGACUGGAUUGGUGUGUUUUCUCCUGCCAAUUUCAGGUAAUAAUAUCAGUAUAUCUGCGUGGAGGCAAAUCUAUUGUAACAUGAUCUCAAUCCACCUAGGCUUUCAGAGAUGCACCUGAGAUCUUACGCGUUAUUUGAUUUGUUGUUUCUUUUUUGAAAAAAAAAUAGUGAUGCGAUAUGCGAGCCUGAAAAUGAGAGGCAGCAACCUCCAGUGCUAUGCACAGCACCUAUCAAGGUUGGCAUUAUUUUUCCUGUUCCAUUUGGCUAAUUGAGCUUCAGAUAUAGUUCUAUGCCAGGAUUCAGACUCUGGGAUACUUCUGUUUCGAACAUUAACCUUUUCCUUUCCUAUCUUCAUUGCAGUACCAAUUUGCAAAGUUCAAGAAUGAUGGCUAUAACAGGUCUGGGAAGGGAAACUUGAAGCUUCAGUUGAUCAACCAGAGGGAAGACUUCUCUUUUGCACUAUUUUCCGGUGGUCUGAUGAAGGCAAGGCUAUACUGUGUUACCUCAACUUCUCUGCAUAAUAACAACUCUGCUCUAACAAAAAAAAUAUACGUGUCAUAUUCCUGAGACUGAAAAAUGUCCACUCCUGUAACAGCCCAAGCUGAUUGCUGUCUCAAACAUGGUCACCUUUGCAAACCCAAAGGCACCUGUCUACCCACGUUUGGCACAAGGGAAGUCUUGGGAUGAAGUAAGCUUACCUAUAAAUUCACCAUUGAGUGGACCGUUUUAAAUUGUGUGUCUUUUUCACGAGAAUAUGCAUCGUAUUAUUCAUCUCAAUUCAGCAUUGAAACUAGCUAUACAAUAGUACUGUCUUCAGUUAUCUAAGGUAACUGUACUAGUACUAUUGUAGAUGACAAUCACCUGGACAAGUGGAUACGAUAUAAAAGAAGCAGUUCCUUUUGUUGAAUGGGGUGCGAAAGGCGGGUCUCAGUUUCUUUCCCCAGCCGGAACAUUAACAUUCAACAGAAAUAGCAUGUGCGGUAUGUCACUAUUUGCCUAUUCUUCUUAAGAGAUGAGAUGAUCGUAGUUCAGAAUUUACACCGUCAACAUAACUGAGAAUCUGCUCAUAGGUUUUCUUAGGUCAUUUGUUUUUGUUUUGAAUCAAACGCCUUACCUCUAAUCGGCACAUGUAGGAGCACCUGCUCGAACUGUUGGUUGGCGCCAUCCGGGUUACAUUCAUACUAGUUUCUUGAAGGAUCUGUGGCCAGACUCCAAGUGUGUUGUCUAUCUUGUCUCUUUAACCUGUUUUGAAAUUUUGAUGCAUCCAGCUACUAAGAAAUGGUUACUUAAAAAAUUUCAGGUAUACCUACAGGCUUGGCCAUAGGUUACCAAAUGGUACCCACAUCUGGAGCAAGUUAUAUAACUUUAAAGCAUCACCUUAUCCUGGGCAAGAUUCCUUGCAACAAAUUGUCAUAUUUGGAGAUAUGGGAAAGGUAUAUUAUGUUUUCUUCCCAUCUUGGUUUUAUUUCAUAUUUUUCUUGUAACAACUAGACAUUUUCCAGUUACGGUGAUUCUCUUUCUGAAUCAGAAUUACAUUGAUUUUUUGUGCUCGCAUUUUUUUCUUCAGGCAGAGGCAGAUGGUUCUAAUGAGUUCAAUGACUUCCAACCUGGCUCACUGAACACUACUAACCAGAUCAUUAAAGACCUAGAAAACGUUGACAUGGUGCUUCACAUUGGGGACAUUUGCUACGCCAAUGGCUACUUGUCUCAGUGGGAUCAGUUCACCUCACAGAUUGAACCAAUUGCAUCAACUGUACCAUACAUGAUUGGCAGGUUAGUUUAGUAUAUCAUUUCAGAACUUCCUCUGUUUUCAAAAUGUAUUACUGUUUCAUAAAUACAAGAAUGGGCAUUUCUGCAGUGGUAACCAUGAAAGAGACUGGCCCGGGACUGGAUCUUUCUAUGGGAAUCUUGACUCAGGUGGAGAAUGUGGUGUUCCUGCGCAAACUGUAUUCUAUACUCCUGCUGAGAACCGUGCAAAAUUCUGGUAAAUGCUGUGACUCAGUGAGGCCAUAACUCUUCCUUUUAAGAUGUACAGUACAAUCCUUGAAAUUUACUGACAGACAGCUAUCCUUCUUCAGGUAUGCGACAGAUUAUGGCAUGUUCAGGUUCUGCAUUGCUAACACAGAAGAAGAUUGGAGGCCAGGGACCGAGCAGUACAAGUUCAUUGAGCAAUGCCUGUCAUCCGUCGACAGGCAGAAGCAGCCCUGGCUCAUCUUUCUGGCGCACCGUGUUCUUGGGUACUCAUCCUGCACUUACUAUGAGACAGAGGGCACUUUCGAGGAACCGAUGGGACGAGAAGCGCUGCAGGAGCUCUGGCAGAAGUACAAGGUUGAUCUCGCCUUCUACGGUCAUGUCCAUAACUAUGAAAGGACAUGUCCAGUCUAUCAGGUAUGUACCUGGUUAGCAUUUGCACCAGACUGAAGUUUUCUGUAGAAUAUUGCAUUUGCACUUGCUUCAGAUGACAAGUCCCAGUAAGUACUAUUACUAGUAUUGCUACUGUAAAUAUUAUGGUUUACAGGCAUAAAGCUUACAUAUCCUGUUACAAUAUAUUUUUAGGAGAUAAGUCUGUUACAAUCUUAUAUAUCCUGUUACAAUCUUUAAUUGGUUGCAGAGCCAAUGCGUCGUUGAUGCAUCGGAUCAUUACAAUGGCCCGUUCAAGGCAACAACACAUGUGGUUGUUGGUGGUACUGGCGCUAGCAUUGCAGAUUCAGCAUUUACCACAUCAAAUAUCCAGUGGAGUCACUUCAGGGACUUUGACUUUGGGUUCGUCAAGCUCACGGCCUUCAACCAUUCAUCCUUGCUGUUCGAGUACAAGAAAAGCCGUGAUGGCAAUGUGUAUGAUCAUUUCACAAUCUCGCGGGAUUACCGAGAUGUCCUGGCUUGCUCCAUCGACAACUGCCCAAGGACUACGCUGGCUUCCUGAAGCCCCAACACUUCCAAACGGGGAAUCAGUUGAUCUGCUAAUGGUUGCUGGUUUGUGUGUGGCCCAAUACAAGUGUCUAAGAUAUUUACGUAUCUUAGAAACUUGUAUUGGCUACCUGAAGCUCCAGUACAUUCAGACGGGGGAAUCAGUCGAUGUGCUACUAGUUACUGGUGUGUAUGUGGCCCAAUACAAAUCUGUAAGAUAUUUAAAUAUUCCAGUUCUGUAUACGAAAUAAAAUAAACUACACGGUUCUUAAGUUUCAGUUCUGGAUUUCCAACCUUGAAAAUUCUAAUUCGAUACUUUGAGUUUUUAAGUUUAAAACCGGGAUGCUGAAUUCAAAAUUUUAAAUUUGUAUAACUUACAUUUUUCAAGUUUACAUAAUAUAAUACCAUAAUUUAAAAAAUAAAGAUUGAGUCAUCAAUUUUUAAAAAAUAUAUAAUUUGGCACAAAAUGGUAAGGGGACCAAUAAACCCGGACGGAGGUAGUAAUAAAGAAAAUAAGUAUUCUUAGUUCGUCAUGUUAUUUUUCAGACAACUACCUGAUGUUCCUGGUAAUCAACCGCAGGUUAGUUUUAAGUCAGAUUUCCUCUUUUGCUGGAAACCCCUGAUAAUAAUUGGGUUAAUCAACACGCAGUAAAUAUCAAAUGCUUUUUAAAAGUUUCCAUAUUUUUUAAACGCUAACUCUAAGUUUAACAUGUCAUAUAUGAAAUUUAAUUAGAACAAUGCGUAGAUUUCUAUUUAGGGUGCAACCUUAAUCAAUAGCGCAUGAUCUGUCUUUAUUGCAAGCCGGAUUGGAAAUGAGCACCUUAGCAAAACCAAAAUUGGAGAUGAAAGAAACAAUCUAUAACCACGCAGAAAAAAGGUUGAUUUCUUACCUUAUGCCGAGAGAGAGACGUCUUAGGAUUGAGAACAUCCAAAUAUGUUGUGAUUGUGUGAGCACUGAGGCCAUCGUUGGCGAUGGCGGGAAGGAGGAUAAGUGCUAACACAGAUGGGAUGUCAUGUAUUGAAAGGAAAGACCUAGACCUAUUAGGGUCUUGACUCAUGGUUAUUGGGUUAGAGGAGUGUGGUAUUUGUUUCUCCCGUUGCAAUGUACGGGCUUUUUUGCUAGUAUAUAUAGACUAGUAAGCAUGCACGUGCAUUGCACGUCUGAAACAAAAUAAGUUCACAUGGUACAACAUUAAAAUAAUAUUUAUCCAAAAUUUUAGAUCGCUACAAAAUGUUGUCAAGUCACUCAAAUUGUAUUUCUAAAAGUGUGACAUAUUUGUGAUCGAAGGCACAUAUCAUAAUUUAUAAUAAAAAACAUAUAUUCUGAAUCUAAUUUUUAUUUUAGCAAUGUCCAUAUUGUCACGAUGACUAUCUCGUGCAUACUGGCACAUCGACUAAGACAAAAAUAAGAAAACAUUGGUGAUAUGAGGCAAAAUGUAAUAUGUGACUAUAGUAACUUAUACAAAAGUUUAGAUCCAUAUAGUGAGAUGGAAUGUCUCUGAAUAGUUGGACUUCGUGGCGCGCUAGUAUCCCUACACACAUAUUAAAUCAGUCAACAUUCAUGUAUUCAUCAUUGUCUCGUAUGUUUUUUACUUGUCUCAACUUUAAACUAAUAGGAUAAAGAUUAGACCUUUUCACCCAUUCACUAAUGUAAAAUCAGAAUUCUCUCAGUUAUAAUGACAUUAGAGUAGUAAUUUAUUGGAAUUCAAAAUUAACUAAAAAAAUAUGUCUCACUCUAGUAGAGCGACAUCAUCAUCCAUACUGAUAAAAAAGCAAAUUUCAUCCAAUAAGUCAUCAUUUGUUGGAUUGAGAGACGUUGAAAGGGUAAAUGAUUGCGAGAUGAGCUCAAUUUCUGAUGAUGUAUUUGAUGUUUUGAGGUUCUCAGAGGGUCUAUCCAAGAAUCAUACAAUCCAUGUGAUUUGUGGCACCCUGAACGUCAUCUUCCAUGUCUCGAUUUCUUAUAUCAUCAUCAUCAUCAUUCAAUUCCGAGUCCGCUAAAGUGACAACUAAUUUUGUUCUAAAAUCUGUCAUAUAAUCCUAUUAAAAUAAUAUCAGAGUUAAAUAAUGAUACAACAUAGAAUAAAUAUAAUAAUAAACAACGGAAAAAUACUUGUAGAGUGUCAGACAAAAUAUCUCUUGUGAAGUAUUCCAUAAAAUAUACCAUCCACAUACCACAAGAUGAUCUGCAUGAUUAGUAAACUUAAAUCUACUCAAUUUUUUUCAUCAAUUCUAUUGAUAUUUGUAUUAAAAUACUUUUAAAAUCAUCAAAUGAUCAUGACUGUAAUAAGCUGUGAUGAAAAAAAAAUCUCACCCACGCAGGUGAAUUGGACAUGCCCUAUAAUAAAUAAUCGAUGAUAAUUCUUUUUCGAAAAUGUUAACGCCCAGACGUGUGGGCAUUAGUCAACUCGUCCACACGCCUCCAUCACCGUCCAGUAACUUCUGCACGAAUGUUGGUAUGAAUUAGCUGAUUUUGUGUCCACGUAGGACAACUCGCGUGUGUGGUGUGUGAGAGAGGUCGCCCACACAUCCGUUUUACCACACGGAGGGGCCGAUGUGUGGGCGUUUAGCAGUUCGCCCACACACCAGUUUUUCAAUCACGCACAAGGGCUGGUGUGUGGGCAUUUGCCAUCUCGCCCACACACCCGCCUCCUCUCCCACACCCAAGCUGCCAGUUGCCAUGCGUUUUGCAGUGUACAUGGCAACUGCCCUAGUAUGAUUGCAAGCAGAUGGCAUCUCUCUCUCUUUUUUACCCGAACAUGUCAGUUGCCAUAUGUUUUGCAUGGUACAUGGCAAACUGCCCUAACGUGCACGUAAGCAGAUGGAAACUCUUUCUUUUUAAAUGGCAACUGCCCUAGCGUGCUUGUGAGCACAUGGCAACUCUCUCUUUUACCCGAACAUGUUUUUUGCCAUGCCUUCUUUUGUAGCGCUACAUGGCAACUGCCUAGUGUUAGUAGGUGGCAACUCUUAAAGUUUUGAAAUCAUGGCAACUGUAGUAGAUCAGACCACACAUGACAACAGCUGUAGUUAUCCAAAAAAUGGCAAUCUGGAACUUUGACCUGAGAUGGCAACUGCAGUUGAGCAAACAUGGCAACUGUAGUUGUCCGACAUGGCAACCGUAGUUCAGCGACAUGGAAACUGCACUUAAACGAACAUGACGAGGGUCCGGCCCAUGGCAACUGCGGGGCGCGCGGUAAAGUGUCACGUGGGGCGUGCGGGACCAUGAGGUACGAGGCCUGACGUACCGGGCGUAUGUGUGUUAUCUAUUUUGCCCACACGCACGCAUGUAAGAGGGACCGGGAGAAAAAAAAAGAGGCGUGUGGGCGCUAAUUGUUUUGCCCACACACAAACGUGUGAGCUGGUCCUCUUAGGCACCACACAAAACAUGUGGGCAGAUUUUUUAACGCCCACACGUGUGGCAGUUAUUGACGCCCUUCUUUUUUGUAUGGACAAUGCCGCACGCACUCACAAUCCCUCCCUGGUCACUGCCUAAUAGAAGUAUUAUUAGUAAGAAGUAGUAGUAUUAAAAAAACUCAGUCAGCUAAAAAAACUCAGUCAACCUUCCUCAGUCCCCUCACAUUUCUUAUCUUCCCCAUUCUUCCCUUCCUACCUCCUCCUCUGUUGCCACACGCUAGAUCCCCCAUCCACAGCCGGCACUCUCUGGUGGGCGCCCCUCCCAUUCGUCACCAUUGUCGGCGGACACAUAGGCCCAUGCUCUUCCCUGCCCCGCCCCUUCUUCAUAUCCGAUCCCCGAAGUGCUCGAGGAGGCGCUCGAGCUCGGCAUGCUCGCCGGCGACACCGGGGCCCUCCCUCCUCCUGAUGCACUCUCCGUCGCCGCCAUGAGCGUCUCCACCUUCUCCCGCGCGCCGUGAAUCCUCCCUCCCCCCUGCUCGAGACGCCAUCAAGGUCCGGUUCCAACUCUUCUUCUCCCCUCGAUCCGGAUGCUCUGCUCUCCGACACCAUCUUUUUGCUUGUUCGAUUCAGUCUGGAGCAGGAGCAGCUGCUGCUCGCGACCUCUAGUUCCUUCUUUCCAUGGAUGUGCUGCUGCUCGGGGCCCUCCCUAUGCUUCUCCUCGCUCGUACGGGUCCAGGUUAGUCUCUCCGACCCCGCCGCCUGCUCGUCCCCGUAAAAUCGGUGCGUAGCCUCACUGUGUGCAAUGUUCAUCGCCUAGGGUUAGCUGCUCAGGGGACAUGGUGUGUUCCGUGUGGCGCUGCCUUCGCGGCAGCCGCCGUUGUUGUGUCUCGUGUGUCGCGGCAGCCAAUGGGUCGGGAAGGUCUGAGACUGGAGGUCCCUGCUCGCCAACUCACAGACGGUUGUUCUCCGACCAGUUAAAAAUGAGUAAGCUUUCUUCCAAGCCUAUGAUUUUCCUUUCAUCCUCUUAGUUGGUGCCUUUGUUGAUGAUGCAGCCCUGAAUGGUUCAGAUUUUUUGAAGGAGAAGGAGGUGCGAAAGGGGAUGGGAGCAACAAGUCUGAAUCGAAGAGUAUGUUUUGAUUCUGAGAUGCAUUGUACAGUAUUUUUAUUGUUCUAAGAAAUCCAUGUAGUUGUCUAUGGAGCAUUUCCUUGAAGUGAUGGUUGGGUAUAUUUGUUUACUAAUUCAAACUUCCAGAUUACCUUAGUCGGCAACUCCAAAUAUUUCUUAGAUGUCUUACCGCAAGCAUUGUACUGCAAAAAUAUAUAUACUAAACCGGUUCAUGAUAGAUCAACCAAAUCUCGUUGAUGCUCUCACCUAUUAGGAUAUGUACAUGAAAAGAAGGAUAUGCUAAAUCUGCUUAGUCCCAACAAACAAUCAUUCAAAUGCACCAUUUUACGCUCUGGAAGCAGGAAGUGCAACUUCUUUAGUCUUUAGAAUUAGAAUGGAUCAGGUGUACUCCAGAUGUUUUCAGUUUUAAAUAAUUAUGCACACAAGAGUGCAUUGCGAAAUAGCAAUAAAAAGUUGGAUUUUGACUGGUACCGAAAAGGAUUAGACCUCCGUAGAAACAAUUCGCUGCUGCUGACUCAGACAGAGUUGUGCUGCACCACGUUGAUCUCGUCGUCAUCGAAGUCGUUGAUGGACAUGCCCAUAUCUUGCCGCCUGCAUGGCAUGUGUAGUGACCAUAUGGACAUGAAGCUGAUCCUAUUGCUCAAAGGAUACAUAUUAUCUUUAUGUGUUUCCUGAACUGGUCGGAUUAGCAGUGAUGUUUGCAUCUCCUCCCUCUUCCUACUCGACCACCACUUUCUUCUAGGAACUGAUAGCAUGUCCUGCCAUGAGGAAUUUGAAGCGGUCAGAAGACAUAAGAGCCGGGUCCUAAACUAUGUUAAGGCCAUGCUGAUGUGUAAGAGUUUGCGGGUGACAUCCUCCAUGGCAAUCAUAUUCCCUCCAACAUCCUUCAGGCCAUGGCGACCAGGUAAUGCUAACAGCUCAGUUGGAUAAAGGUUCCUUAUGUUUUGCGAUUUAGUUGAGUUGGGUUACUCUAUUGUGUGCCUCACGUCGGGGUUGAGUAGAGUUAAUCUUGCCUAUGCUAGUGCUAGCCUGCUGGAUUUGGGUGAUAUCCAAAGAUACAUUUAAACUUGCAAACAAAUUUCCUUAGAGGGGAAUUAUAACAUGCAAGCACUAUAAGUUCAGUGUAUUAUUAUUAGUACUGCAUAGCAAAUUAGCAAUCCAGUUCAUUCAUAAAUAAGAUUUCAACACACCAUUGGUAUAAAAUAUCGUACAUAGUUCCGAGGUCUACAUGCCUCGCCUGAUCCUGAAUUUGACCCAUAAAUAUAUUUCAGAGACACAACUGUAAAUAUAUUAAGUAAGAGCAGAGGUGACUGUUGCUGCUGUUUUGCCGGCAAGAGGGCAUGCAUCUGUGCAUACAGCAGCCACGGACUAAGCAUUCCUUCACCAGUAGUAAGGUGUUCUUACCCUUGCAUUCUUUGUCCCCAAAUAAGAAAUAAGAGGACUCUGUCUCCUGCCGCCAUAGGGGGUCAUCUGCCCAUGUGAUUCUCCACCGCAUUAUGGUCUUAUCAAACGAUGGUGAAGUCGGACUAAUAACUAACCAUAGUGGUGAGGUCUUUGCGGUGCAUUCCUGGGCCUAGCGAGUCGAGCACCUGGAUACACUGCACCUUGGUAUUUUUAACUGCUAGGUACCAAUAAAGUCUUCAAUGUUUAUUCAUGCAACAGCUAGAACGAAUAUCUGAAAAUAGGCAUUUUUUUAGUUUAGGUCCCAUCUAUACAAACAUCCGUCCUCGAUUGAAUUAAUAGUAAUAUGUACGGAACUGAGGCUCACCAUAUCAUGUUCCAAAUAAGUUGUAGCUCUCUUUAAUACCCAUCUUGGUGCGUCAUCCUGUAUAGAGCUAAAUUCCUUAUCUUAGAGAUGCAUGCAUUCUCUAAGAACAAAAUUCAUGUAUUCAUCAGUAUUUGCUAUGGGAGUAUUGCGUCCAAGUUGGUACGAUUCAAAAGCUACAUCUUGAUGCGUCAUCAUGUAUGAAUCAUUUGUCUGGUCAUUGCCCAGGAUAGAAAAUCAUAAGAUUAGUAGAGCAUAACAAUGUAGGUAUUGUAGUAGACGUAGGAUCGACAAAAGUAAUUUGCAGGUUUUUAGUGUUUUGAGUACCAUGUUCAACAGAGCCUCUCUUAUCAUUAUCCGGCGUAUUUUUCAAGUUGAUUUGAGCCAGUAAAAGGCUGCAUACCUGAACAAAGGAAAGAGAACCCGAAUGUACGGUCAAAUAAACAUUGUCGACACAGUUGCAACAUAAUUAAGGUCCUGUUCGGUACCACUCCGCUCCACAACUCCAGGAGCGGAGUUGGCGGAGCUGCAGUUCAAAACGACCGAGCUGCACUUCCCCCGCUCCGCAGAUUCCGGGAGCGGGCGACUACCGAACAGGGCCUAAAUCGACGAACUAACCAUCUUCAAUUGUGCAACAUGGGUCACGUAUUCUGCUGAGUUGGGGUACCUUAACCCCUGAAAUUUGGACGUUAGGCCCUGCAUUCAUCAUUUUUCAACAUAGAAAACCUUUAAUGAGAUGUGAAACGAACGGCUUAUAGCAUUCUGCUGUGCAACUAUUUAUUUUUUAGAACUCUGUUGUCAAAAUUCUAAUCCUGACUAAUGUUGCAACAGGUCAAAGAAGUCGAACCUGAAGAAGUGCAGGGAAGAAUUAUGGUUGCGUGUGGCUGGCUGGUUCAGGGGAAUUUCAGGGCGGGCGCGGCGGCACGGGUGCCGGAGCAGGCUCCUAGGCACUGGCGAUCUGUCGGACGGAUAUUAGAAACGAAGGUGAGGUUGUAUCUUGUUAGGUGGGUCUUCAUUGGUCGUCGAAAUCAUACCUGGCCAAUCUGAUGGGGCUGCCUACUGCUCCAGAACUCAUGCAGAUGAUGCAUAAUAAUCUUGUUGUAGCCUGGCCGAUCCGUGAAUAUUUGAUUGUAGGUGAAGGAGGAGCGGCCGCCCACUCGACGGUGCGGUGUAGGGCGGCGAGGGAGGCCGGCAGGGAGGCCUCAAUGCGGUGCAGGACGGCGAGGGAACCGUCCAGCGAGGCGACGAUGCGAUGCAGGGGUCCAGGCCGCCGUGCAGGGAGGCGACAUGACUGCUGAGCUUCGUCUGGGGCGGUGGCGAGGAAAGGCAGGGAGUGGGGCCAGGGACACGAUUAGGUUCGAUUUCCUUUUUUUGCGAGUUGGUUAGAUGGUUAGAUUAGCGUGAUUUGAGGGGCUGCGGAUGCGGGACGGAGAGUUUCAUAUUUUCCUCUUGUGGAGUAUGGUCAGUCUAUUGAAACUGCUAAGCGCACACCAGAUCUUGAAUAAAUUAAUGAUGACUGUUGGAUUGGGUCGUGUGGGCUUCAUCCUGUGGUGCUGAUGUGUCUGUUUACGUUUUGCGGGGUGCACGUAACAAAGUUCUUGUUUGAUUGUUUAAUAGUAGUGAAGAUUAAUAGUAGUGAAGAUGAAGAAAACCGUGUCUGAUUUCUUUUCUCUUCUUACAUGGCUAUAAUUUAUUUUUAGAAGAUUAUAGGGGGCUUCGGGCUUCCCAGAAGAAAGAAGGGUGGUCUGAGUUGUGCGGAGGCACGUAGUCGAUGGUAAAAGAACACCCGCAAAAAAAAAACCCGUCAAAGCCCAGCCCAAAUUGAGGGAGAGGGAGAGACCGACUACGUAUCAUGUUGGGCCUUAUGGGUUAUAAAAGUGCCCUCACGCGGGAGAGACUCACCCCACGCGGCCACGCCACUCUUUCUCGUAGGCCCGCCCUACCCCAAGUCCCCAACCCCGACCUCGCGAUGGCCGGCGACGGCGAUUCCGACACAUACCUGAAGCGCAUCCAGGCGGAGACCCUCCGUAACGAGCACAAGCGCGUGUGUAUUGACCAAGAGUUCCACAGUCCCGCCGGCUCUCCAGCGUCCUCUUCGCCUGAAACCGGAUAAGAUCACCCCCACCUCCCUGCCAUUGCUUAUUGCCUUGAAGAAAUAACCUUUUUUUUUAAGGUGCAAAGACACAAAUUUUGUCGAGAGCUGCAAACGCAACCGCUGUUUCCUUUUAGUUUGUGAACUAGUAGUUCAGUUAACAGCGAGAUAGCACGCUCAAGCGUGAAGUUUAAGUGUGCCUGAAGCUUAAGUGUGUCCAUGGGAAAACAAGUACUACUCCCUAUGUAAAGUUGUAAACUAAUAUAAGAUCUUUUACUCCCUCUGUAAACUAGUAUAAGAUCUUCUAGAUCCCUCUGUAAACUAAUGUAAGAUCUUUUAGAUCACUACUUUAGUGAUCUACUCCAGAUAUUGUAUUAUACAGUAUUAAUUUACAGAGGGGGUACUUAUUGGGGCUACUAGUAUGGAUCUGUCUAAGUUUGAGCUGAAUGACACACCUCAUAUGCUUGAAUCAGCCGACAUGUAUGCCCAUCUUCAGUUUGCCCUUCCUUUAUAAAUUAACACUGUAUUUUGUAUGCUGAAAUGAUGGGCACUUGUUAUAACCCAUAUGGCUGAACUAACCACAAUAGUCACUGACACAGUAUCAUUUUGUCUAGGGUUGAGGAGCAUGCCGGCAAGGUGAGCAGCAGUGAGCUUGGGUGUACAAGCACGGAUCUGGCUAAUUUUGAGACCCUGACGCUGAACGAUACACCUCACACACUUGAAUCAGCCGACAGGUGUUUCCAUCUUUAUUUUGUCCUUACUUUUAUUAGUUUGGUUUGUUCAAAUGUUGGGAAAUUGUUAUGACAUAUAUCGUUGAACUAAUGGGUAUUUAUUAUGACCGAUACGGUUGAACCAAUUGUACUACUUGUUAUGACCUAUAUGGUGGAUGCGGGGUAAAUUCUGUUUAAUGAUGAGACCUACUCAUUUUUUUUCUGUUCAAGCCAACCUGCAGGACCUUUAGCUUUCCCUGUUUUUGAUUAAUCAAUACAAUUAAUUGGAAAAAUCUUGUUGGUAAUUUACAGUAGGCGGCACAGGUGGAAAAAUGUCGCAAGUGAUAUAGCCAUUGGUCAUUUUGCAAAAAGUUAGGAGUGGAUUCUGACUGCCUUCGUGUGUGUGUGUGUGUGUGUGUGUGUGUGUGUGUUCUAAACAUGCUCCAUUAAAUGUAUAUCUCAUGGUUAAGAUUGAUUAUAGAUUUAUUUGUUUCCAUAAGACUUCCGAGCCUCCACAGCCAUAGAAGUUGACUAAAGCAUGGAUGUAAAUUGUUUGACCUAGGGUGGUAAUGCAUGCUGACGCAGUCGAUGGUGCCAUUCUUGAUUCCACACUUGCGGAGCCACCAGCGCACGAGAAAGAAAAACCAAGGUAAGGACUCCCCAAACAUGUUUUAAAUGAUGUAUACUGAUUUUCAGAAAGCACUCGUGUUGUUACGUUUCUUUAGGUUAACACAAUAGCUUUAUGUAUUGGAGCUAUGAAUUGUCUUUCAUAGGUCAUAAUGGAAAGUAGCAUAGUUGCUAUGCCUAGUGAACCCCACGUCAUCUAUAUUUCUAGAACCAGGUUUUAGUAUCACACCCAUACCCAGGUACUGUAAUCAAUGGUGCAUAGUGAAUAAAGCAAGGUUCAUUACAGCUUAAAACAAGUUCAAUUAAGCUGAGAAUCCAUUUAUCACAACUUGUCCCUUGUUGUAUCAUUACAUGAACUUCGUCCUACAUCUAUGUAUCGGACCCUGGGAUCAAGAUUAUAUAAAUCUAGUUGUAGACAAUCAUAUGAAAAGCCUCACUCGAUGCAACUGAGUUGGAGUGUCAUCGCUUGGCAUAGCAUGAUAAAUCCCGAGCUCUUACCGCAUGAGUCGCUCGAUGGAGCUGAGCUUGAGCGUUAUUGCUUUGCCUUAAACGGGAUCAGAGAAACGUCUAAAUAAUUACCCGUAGCAAAGAGUGGGUCUUACACUAGUUAUUAACCAUUUUUGUUGACUGUACUCUGAUGUUUCUAUCUAGGCGGGAGAUACCACGAAAAUAUUGGCCACCCAAAUAUGAAGGUGAUAUAAAAUUUGCAGAAGAACAAGCUCGAAAACAAGCUGAAUCAAUUCAAGAACGAGGACAUUAUACUUCUUCUAAGGAAGAACUUGCUCAAAAUGCGAAUAGAUGGAUGACCGAGGAGGCGAUGGUGGCUUUCAGAAAAUACAUCGAGAGUGAAGAUGAUCUUAAGGUUCCCAUGUCUGUUCUAAAUCUUUAAUUGUUUGGACUGUAGAGACCUAUCACUAACACUUCUUUCAUCUUAGGGAGUUGAGUAUGAAUUUGAUGAACUUCUCCAUCAAUGUUUUAAUGUGGAGCAUUAUUUAAAGACAUGUCAUCACUUCACCUUUACUGUCAAGAUAAAGAAGCAUGGCUCAGCCGAUUGGACAUCAGUGAUGUACUUCACUGAGGUCCGCGGAAUAUUUAUGAUAAAGGAUUAUUUCUGUUAUCCUUUAGACCCGGAUGAAAAUGGUAUCAGAAAUUUCACCUUGUGAAUUCUAGUGAUCUAAAAAGAUUCUAAUCUUGUGGCUUAUUUUGUUAGGUCAAUGUUAUGCAUGUCAGAACCAAGGAAUGCAUGAGUUAAGGCACCCAUCAGUAGGGAUAUUUGACUGCGGCAAGGAAGAUGCAUCAUUUCCCUACUAUUGUGAGGAAAGUGACUCUGAUGAAUAUCAUCCAAAAAUGGAAUGGAGUGAAUCUGAUGAUGAUAUGAGUUGAUGGCAUUGUCCAUCAUUCUUGUAGGAGUGUAAGUUUACUUUAGCCCUUCUAUUCUCAUAUCCUCUUGAUCUGUUGACUCAAGUCAAGUUGCUAGUUGAUUUGACAAUCGCAGUGUAUAAUCGACUACAGGCAUCCGAAAAAUGGUCACUUGCCGCACAGCAAUGGUUUAUCAGGGUUCACCCCUAGCUCCAGCAGUAUCAUCCAUGGCUGGCUGGGACCUUUUUUAUUUUGGGGUUCUAUGUAGAGAGACUGGCUGGACAUGGGAUGUGCUAUUAUGUAUUGUUGGUUAUAAUGCCACACUGGUGUUUGCUCUGAUGCAGCCGGUUUGUUUAAGUUCUUGGUUUCGCACCUGGUGAACUGUAAGUUUGCAUGUACUUUUUUUUGAGUUGGUGUUUUCAUGUACUUGGAAGUUGGAACUGAUGAACAUCAUCUGACUCAGACACCUGAACUGUGUUGUCCUUUUGUGAUGAUUUCUCUUUAUCUGAAGUUGCUGAUGCACUUGAACUGAAAGAUAUCUUGCUAGUAACGGUAUUGAUGUGGUGCCACCUGAAAUAUUUCCUUAUCUUCAAUCUGUGCUAGUGCCUUCACAUGACCUUCCAGGGCGUGAAGCAGAGAGACAAUAUAAGAGGGGAGACGCUUUAAUCACACCGACUGAUUUUAGCGUAGCAACAACCGACUCGUGUUUGAUUAUCACGGAGCACCUUCUUCCGCUUCCUAUUAAACCAAAAUCUAGACAGGAAAUAAGUGCUUAUUGCUGUUACCUUUGGUGGAUUAGGCAUCAGAUUACUCAUAAGUCCAAUAAAUGAUGUAGAUGCAAAAAUAACUAACUUUUGCAUAUCUGAGGCUCAAAAACCCCUCUUCAACAGAUGAUGUAUAUGCAAAAAAUAAUUCAUCUCUGUCUUCCGGAGAUGUAAAAUACAACAUCUCACAGUGCAAAUUUGCAUCUCCACAUACAGGAGAUGUAAAAGCGGCGGUCGCGCGCCAACCGCCCAACUACCUUCAUUUGGCUUCCGCACGACUGUCGGCCGCCGCCGCCAUGGCUGACGCCGAUGACCCCACCCGCCAGCCGCUUGUCUGACCCACCUUGCCACAACGACCGUCGGCGCGACCACGGUCCCCAAUUUGGCCUCUGCCUCCAUGCCGCCACCCCGGAUUUGCCCCCACCUCGGCCGGUUGUCGUCGCGCCGGAGCUGCCUGCGAAGAAGCAACGGGGCGCCAAGCCACACGGUGGAGGCGUGAAAUGACAGAUGGCGCGGGGGCGCAACCCAACGGUGAACCAACCUCGGCUGGCCAAAAUUUCGAAGCCGGACGCGGCUGCUGCGGGCAAUAUGCUGCUGCCGGCGGCCGUGGCUUCUUCCUUUGGCCAAAGAGGCCCUUCUCCACCUCCGCCGCUGCCCCUACGUCGUUCAUCCUCCUCUUUCCGCCUCGAAUCGCCCCUGUUCCAUCGCCCUAAUUCGUGUCGUCGCCCCGAUUCGCCACCCCCACCGCCUCGCCGCCGCCGGCCCGAAUCACGCCAUGCCGCCACCGUCCCCACUGCCGUCGCCCCGAUUUGACCGCCGCCCACUAGUUUUUACAUCUCCAUUUUGCAUCACCUAUUGAAGUUGCACUUUACAUAUCUGUUUUACAUCAUCUGUUGCAGUUGACCCUUUUUUUAGAUGCAAAAAACACUUUUUGAUGAUGUAAAUUUUUACAUUCGUGUUUUACAUCUCUAAAUUGCUCUAAUGAUAUUUCCACUCCUGAAUGUCCAGCAGUUAGAGCAUCUACAGCCGGACUUGGCAAAUCCGACCCCCCUAUACGUUCGUAGACGCGCCGGGGUACGCUCGUGGGCGCAUCUGGAUGGGCCUCAUAUUUCCGUCCCGGCAUCCACAUAUCUCAAAUCCGGACUCUCAAAUACAUGCAUGUCGAUCAUACAAGCCAAUGUCGCACAUAAAUAGCAAAUAUUGGUACAAAGCAUAGAUAGUGUUUACAUAAAUUUAUUUUAAAUUCCAAACUCAAGCAUUGGCUCCUUGUUGCCAUUGUGGGUCUACAUGUGCUCCACAAGAUCAUUGAGUAGUUGUGUGUGCACCUGCUGAUCUCGAAGAUGUUGAUGCUGAAGGAAAUAUGCCCUAGAGGCAAUAAUAAAGUUAUUAUUUAUUUCCUCAUAUCAUGGUAAAUGUUUAUUAUUCAUGCUAGAAUUGUAUUAACCGGAAACAUAAUACAUGUGUGAAUACAUAGACAAACAUAGUGUCACUAGUAUGCCUCUACUUGACUAGCUCAUUGAUCAAAGAUGAUUGAGUUUCCUAACCAUGGAUAUGAGUUAUCAUUUGAUCAGUGGGAUCACAUCAUUAGGAGAAUGAUGUGAUUGACUUGACCCAUUUCGUUAGCUUAGCACUUGAUCGUUUAGUAUGUUGCUAUUGCUUUCUUCAUGACUUAUACAUGUUCCUAUGACUAUGGGAUUAUGCAACUCCCGCUUACCGGAGGAACACUUUGUGUGCUACCAAACGUUACAACGUAACUAGGUGAUUAUAAAGGUGCUCUACAGGUGUCUCCGAAGGUACUUGUUGAGUUGACGUAUUUCGAGAUUAGGAUUUGUCACUCCGAUUGUCGGAGAGGUAUCUCUGGGCCCUCUCGGUAAUGGACAUCACUAUAAGCCUUGCAAGCAAUGUAGCUAACGAGUUAGUUACAGGAUGAUGCAUUAUGUAACGAGUAAAGAGACUUGCCGGUAACGAGAUUGAACUAGGUUUUGAGAUACCGACGAUCGAAUCUCGGGCAAGUAACAUACCGAUGACAAAGGGAACAACGUAUGUUGUUAUGCGGUUUGACCGAUAAAGAUCUUCGUAGAAUAUGUGGGAGCCAAUAUGAGCAUCCAGGUUCCGCUAUUGGUUAUUGACCGGAGACGUGUCUUGGUCAUGUCUACAUAGUUCUCGAACCCGCAGGGUCCGCACGCUUAAAGUUAGAUGAUGGUUAUAUUAUGAGUUUAUGUGUUUUAAUGUACCGAAGGUAGUUCGGAGUCCCGGAUGUGAUCACGGACAUGACGAGGAGUCUCGAAAUGGUCGAGACAUAAAGAUUGAUAUAUUGUACGACUAUGUUCGGACACCGGAAUGGUUUCGAGGAGUAUCGGGCAUAUAGCGGAGUACCGGGGGGUUACCGGAACCCCUCGGGGAGACUAAUGGGCCUAUUGGGCCCUAGUGGAGAAGAGGAGGGGCGGCCAAGGGCAGCCACGCGCCCCCUUCCCCCCAAUCUAAAUUGGACAAGGAGGGGGGCGGCGCCCCCCUUUCCUUUCCCCCUCUCUCUCCUUCCCUCUCCUCUCCUACUCCCACUUGGAAGGGGGGAGUCCUACUCCCAGUGGGAGUAGGACUCCUCAUGGGGCGCCCCUAGGGUGGCCGGCCCCCUCCCCCUCCUCCACUCCUUUAUAUACGGGGAGGGAGGCACCCCUUGGAGACACAACAAUUGAUCCAUUGGAUCUCUUAGCCGUGUGCGGUGCCCCCUCCACCAUAAUCCACCUCGAUAAUUUCGUAGUGGUGCUUAGGUGAAGCCCUGCGUCGGUAGAACAUCAUCAUCAUCACCAUGCCGUCGUGCUGAUGGAACUCUCCCUCAAAACUCGGCUGAAUUGGAGUUCGAGGGACGUCAUCGAGAUGAACGUGUGCUGAACUCGGAGGUGUCGUAUGUUCGGUACUUGAUCGGUCGGAUCGUGAAGACGUAUGACUACAUCAACCGCAUUGUGUUAACGCUUCCGCUUUCGGUGUACGAGGGUACGUGGACAACACUCUCCCCUCUCGUUGCUAUGCAUCACCAUGAUCUUGUGUGUGUAGGAUUUUUUUUGAAAUUACUACGUUCCACAACAAAUGCAUCUGCAGAAAAUUCAUCAGUUGAGCCGCAUCUUGAUCUUCCGGGAUUUCAACUUGUUCUCCAGGUGCUUCGAAAUCAUGGGUUUGGGCUACACCAUCACCCUCAUCCUCGACAAUCAUAUUCUGCAGAAUAAAUACAACAUGUCAUUAGCUGCCAUAAAGUUUUUGAUUCCCACAUCAUUGCAGUGCUCGGCACAAUUCCCCAAUGAGCCUGAAGCACACCGAAUGUCCUCUCCACAUCCUUCCUAGCCGCUUCCUGCAUUGUUGCAAAGUGGCUCUGUUUAUUACCAUGCGGUUCGGAUACGGUCUUCACAAACGCUGCCCACUGAGAAUAGAUACCAUUGGCAAGCUUGUAUCCCAUGUUGUACUCUCGACCAUUGACGAUGUAGUUGCACGGCGGUGAUUCCCCAUUGAAAAGCCUCCUAAACACUGGAGAUCAUUGAAGCACGUUGAUGUCGUUGUGAGAACCCGACAUUCCAAAGAAAUUAUGCCAAAUUCAUAAGUCAUGUGAUGCCACCGCUUCUAGUAUGAUGGUGGCCUCUCUGGUGUGACCAUGAUACAUUCCCCGCAAACCUUUGGGGCAGUUCUUCCAUUGACAAUGCAUGCAAUCAAUUGAUCCGAGCAUUCCUGGAAACCCCCUUGCCUCUCCAAUAGCCAACAACUUCUCCGUGUCCUGCGCAUUUGGGUCUCUGAGAUACUCAGGUCCAAACACCUCCACCAUGGUGCGGGCAAACUUGACAGUAGUCUUCAAGCACGUGCUCUUCCCCAUCCUGACCAUCUCAAGAAUGGCAAGUGUAAGCAUCCUCAGAGCAGUUGUGCACUUCUGCUUGGCCGAGAAAGAGAGUUGGCCGCAGCAAUCCCUUGUGAGCUUGAAGUAGUCGUCGUGUGCCUCCACUCCCUUCAUAAUGUGCAAAAAAAUGGUUUCCGCAUGCGAAAACGGUGAUGAAACCAUGGAUCAUCCGGGAAACUAGGUUUGGGAGAAAAGUAGUCCUUGCGGUGUAGCUUGCUCCGGACACCCUGUCCCGGUUAAUCACUCUUCUCCCUUUGAUUGAGCCCUUGAAGUUGAGAAUAUGCUCCACUUGCCAGUUCAUUUCCUCUUGCAUGCUCAUGAGCAUGAUCAUGUCCACUUAUUCGUUUGAAUUUGACGAAUCGAAGAACUCAUCUUGAAUCUGGUCACCUCCGUCGGUCCAUACUCCUUGUCUGACGAAGCAUUGGAAUCCAUUGUUUUCCCUAACAAAAUCACAAAAAUCUGGUCGGACAAUGUGUUAAACACAUCAAGCGCAAUGCGGAGCCAGAGAGUUACCGGACUUACCAUGGCAUCGUCCGGGCCGGCGACGACGUCCCCUGCAGCAAGGACGGGAGGGCUCCUACGGAGCUGGCAACGAAGAGCCUGGGAAUGGCUGCAGAACGGGGGCGACGACGGAGCGCGAGACGGACGACGCGGGGAAGGAAGAAGACAGGAGAUAACAAAUGGAUCCGGCUGGUCUUGGGAUGGAUUUGGUGCAAUUUAAGGUGGGGUCGGGCUGUUGGGUUCGACGUGGCGGGCGCGUCCAUAUCCGCCCCAUAUUUGGGCUGAUAUGAUGGAUGCUGAUACGUCUCUAUCGUAUCUACUUUUCCAAACACUUUUGCCCUUAUUUUGGACUCUAACUUGCAUGAUUGGAAUGGAACUAACCCGGACUGACGUUGUUUUUAGCAGAACUGCCAUAGUGUUAUUUUUGUGUAGAAAUAAAAGUUCUCGGAAUGACCUGAAAAUCCACGGAGCAACUUUUUGGAAUUAAUAAAAAAUAUUGGCGAAAGAAUCAACAUCAGGGGGCCCACACCCUGUCCACGAGGGUGGGGGCGCCCCCUAUGGCGCGCCCCCUGCCUCGUGCCCCCCCCUGAAGCUCCACCGACCUCAACUCCAACUCCAUAUAUUCACAUUCGGGGAGAAAAAAAUCAGAGAGAAAGAUUUAUCGCGUUUUACGAUACGGAGCCGCCGCCAAGUCCUAAACUCUCUCGGGAGGGUUGAUCUGGAGUCCGUUCAGGGCUCCGGAGAGGGGGAUUCGUCGCUGUCGUCAUCAUCAACCAUCCUCCAUCACCAAUUUGAUGAUGCUCAGCGCCGUGCGUGAGUAAUUCCAUCGUAGGCUUGCUGGACGGUGAUGGGUUGGAUGAGAUUUACCAUGUAAUUAAGUUAGUUUUGUUAGGGUUUGAUCCCUAGUAUCCACUAUGUUCUGAGAUUGAUGUUGCUAUGACUUUGCUAUGCUUAAUGCUUGUCACUAGGGCCCGAGUGCCAUGAUUUCAGACCUGAACCUAUUAUGUUUUCAUGAAUAUAUGUGAGUUCUUGAUCCUAUCUUGCAAGUCUAUAGUCACCUAUUAUGUGUUAUGAUCCGUUAACCCCGAAGUGACAAUAAUCGGGAUACUUAUCGGUGAUGACCGUAGUUUGAGGAGUUCAUGUAUUCACUAAGUGUUAAUGCUUUGAUCCGGUACUCUAUUAAAAGGAGGCCUUAAUAUCCCUUAGUUUCCAAUAGGACCCCGCUGCCACGGGAGGGCAGGACAAAAGAUGUCAUGCAAGUUCUUUUCCAUAAGCACGUAUUGUUGGGGAACGUUGCAGAAAACAAAAAUUUUCCUACUCGUUUCACCAAGAUCAUCUAGGAGUUCAUCUAGCAACGAGUGAUUAGAUGCAUCUACAUACCUUUGUAGAUCGCGAGCGGAAGCGUUCAAAAGAACGGUGAUGAUGUAGUCGUACUCGACGUGAUCCAAAUCACCGAUGACCAGCGCCGAACGGACAGCACCUCCGCGUUCAACACACGUACGGAACAGCCACGUCUCCUCCUUCUUGAUCCAGCAAGGGAGGGAGGAGAGGUUGAGGGAGAUGGCACCAGCAGCAGCACGACGGCGUGGUGUUGAUGGAGCUGCAGUACUCCGGCAGAGCUUCGCUAAGCACUAUGGAGGUGGAGGAGGUGUUGGGGAGGGAGAAGGAGGCAACCAAAGGCCAGGGCGUUCAGGUAUGAAGUCCCUCCUCUCCCCCACUAUAUAUAGGGGUGCCAAGGGGGGGUGGCCGGCCCUAGGAGAUCCAAUCUCCUAGGGGGUGCGGCGGCCUAGGGGGGUUUCCCCCCUCCCCCCCAAGGCACCUAGGAGGUGCCUUCCCCUCCUAGGACUCUUCCCCCUCUAAACCCUAGGCGCAUGGGCCUAUGUGGGGCUGGUGCCCUUGGCCCAUUAGGCCAAGGCGCACCCCCUUACAGCCCAUGUGGCCCCCUGGGACAGGUGGACCCACCCGGUGGACCCCCGGGACCCUUCCGGUGGUCCCGGUACAAUACCGAUAACCCCGAAACUUGUCCCGAUGCCCGAAACAGGACUUCCCAUAUAUAAAUCUUUACCUCCGGACCAUUUCGGAACUCCUCGUGACGUCCGGGAUCUCAUCCGGGACUCCGAACAACAUUCGGGUUACUGCAUAUACAUAUCCCUACAACCCUAGCGUAACUGAACCUUAAGUGUGUAGACCCUACGGGUUCGGGAGACAAGCAGACAUGACCGAGACGACUCUCCGGUCAAUAACCAACAGCGGGAUCUGGAUACCCAUGUUGGAUCCCACAUGCUCCACGAUGAUCUCAUCGGAUGAACCACGAUGUCGAUGAUUCUAUCAACCUCGUACGCUAUUCCCUUUGUCUAUCGAUAUGUUACUUGCCCGAGAUUCGAUCGUCGGUAUCCCAAUACCUCGUUCAAUCUCGUUACCGGCAAGUCACUUUACUUGUACCGUAAUGCAUGAUCCCGUGACCAGACACUUGGUCACUCUGAGCUCAUUAUGAUGAUGCAUUACCGAGUGGGCCCAGUGAUACCUCUCCGUCAUACGGAGUGACAAAUCCCAGUCUUGAUCCAUGUCACCCAACAGACACUUUCGGAGAUACCCGUAGUCUACCUUUAUAGUCACCCAGUUACAUUGUGACGUUUGGCAUACCCAAAGCACUCCUACGGUAUCCGGGAGUUACACGAUCUCAUGGUCUAAGGAAAAGAUACUUGACAUUGGAAAACUCUAGCAAACGAACUAUACGAUCUUGUGCUAUGUUUAGGAUUGGGUCUUGUCCAUCACAUCAUUCUCCUAAUGAUGUGAUCUCGUUAUCAAUGACAUCCAGUGUCCAUAGUCAGGAAACCAUGACUAUCUGUUGAUCAACGAGCUAGUCAACUAGAGGCUCACUACGGACAUGUCGGUGUCUGUUAUUCACACAUGUAUUACGAUUUCCGGAUAACACAAUUAUAGCAUGAAUAAAGACAAUUAUCAUGAACAAGGAAAUAUAAUAAUAAUGCUUUUAUUAUUGCCUCUAGGGCAUAUUUCCAACAGUCUCCCACUUGCACUAGAGUCAAUAAUCUAGUUACAUUGUGAUGAAUCGAACACCCAUGGAAUUCUGGUGUUGAUCAUGUUUUGCUCUAGGGAGAGGUUUAGUCAACGGAUCUGCUACAUUCAGGUCCGUAUGCACUUUACAAAUCUCUAUGUCUCCAUCUUGAACAUUUUCACGAAUGGAGUUGAAGCGACGCUUGAUGUGCCUUGUCUUCUUGUGAAACCUGGGCUCCUUGGCAAGUGCAAUAGCGCCAGUGUUGUCACAGAAGAUCUUGAUCGGCCCCGACACAUUGGGUAUGACUCCUAGGUUGGUGAUGAACUCCUUCACCCAUAUUGCUUCAUGUGCUGCCUCCGAGGCUGCCAUGUACUCCGCUUCACAUGUAGAUCCCGCCACGACGCUUUGCUUGCAACUACACCAGCUUACUGCCCCACCAUUCAAAAUAUACACGUAUCCGGUUUGUGACUUAGAGUCAUCGAGAUCUGUGUCGAAGCUAGCGUCGACGUAACCCUUUACGACGAGCUCUUCGUCACCUCCAUAAAUGAGAAACAUUUCCUUAGUCCUUUUCAGGUACUUCAGGAUAUUCUUGACCGCUGUCCAGUGUUCCUUGCCGGGAUUACUUUGGUACCUUCCUACCAAACUUACGGCAAGGUUAACAUCAGGUCUGGUACACAUCAUGGCAUACAUAAUAGAGCCUAUGGCUGAGGCAUAGGGGAUGACGCUCAUCUCUUCUAUAUCUUCUGCCGUGGUCGGACAUUGAGCUGAGCUCAAUUUCAUACCUUGCAACACAGGCAAGAACCCCUUCUUGGAUUGAUCCAUAUUGAACUUCUUCAAUAUCUUAUCAAGGUAUGUGAUUUGUGAAAGACCUAUGAGGCGUCUUGAUCUAUCUCUAUAGAUUUUGAUGCCUAAUAUAUAAGCAGCUUCUCCAAGGUCCUUCAUUGAAAAACUUUUAUUCAAGUAGGCCUUGAUGCUGUCCAAGAGUUCUAUAUCAUUUCCCAUCAAAAGUAUGUCAUCUACAUAUAAUAUGAGAAAUGCUACAGAGCUCCCACUCACUUUCUUGUAAACGCAGGCUUCUCCAUAAGUCUGUGUAAACCCAAACGCUUUGAUCAUCUCAUCAAAGCGAAUGUUCCAACUCCGAGAUGCUUGCACCAGCCCAUAAAUCGAGCGUUGGAGCUUGCACACUUUGUCAGCAUUCUUAGGAUCGACAAAAUCUUCCGGCUGCAUCAUAUACAAUUCUUCCUUAAGGAAACCAUUAAGGAAUGCCGUUUUGACGUCCAUUUGCCAUAUUUCGUAAUCAUAGAAUGCGGCAAUUGCUAACAUGAUUCGGACGGACUUCAGCUUCGCUACCGGUGAGAAAGUCUCAUCGUAGUCAACCCCUUGAACUUGUCGAUAACCCUUAGCGACAAGCCGAGCUUUAUAGAUGGUCACAUUACCAUCCGCGUCUGUCUUCUUCUUAAAGAUCCAUUUAUUUUCUAUGGCUCGCCGCUCAACGGGCAAGUCAGUCAAAGUCCAUACUUUGUUUUCAUACAUGGAUCCUAUCUCGGAUUUCAUGGCUUCUAGCCAUUUGUCGGAAUCCGGUCCCGCCAUCGCUUCUUCAUAGUUCGAAGGUUCGCCGCUGUCUAACAACAUGAUUUCCAAGACAGGGUUGCCGUACCACUCUGGUGCGGAACGUGUCCUUGUGGACCUUCGAAUUUCAGUAGGAGCUUGAUCAGAAGUAUCUUGAUCAUUAUCAUUAACUUCCUCUCUAGUCGGUGCUGGCACCUCAGGAACAUUUUCUUGAGUUGCGCCAUUUUCCGGUUCAAGAGGUGAUACUUCAUCAAGCUCUACUUUCCUCCCACUUACUUCUUUCGAGAGAAACUCUUUCUCCAGAAAGGACCCAUUCUUGGCAACAAAGAUCUUGCCUUCGGAUCUGAGGUAGAAGGUGUACCCAAUAGUUUCUUUUGGGUAUCCUAUGAAGACGCAUUUUUCCGAUUUGGGUUCGAGCUUUUCAGGUUGUAGUUUCUUGACAUAAGCAUCGCAUCCCCAAACUUUUAGAAACGACAGCUUAGGUUUCUUCCCAAACCAUAAUUCAUACGGUGUCGUCUCAACGGAUUUCGACGGAGCCCUAUUUAAAGUGAAUGCGGCAGUCUCUAAAGCAUAGCCCCAAAAAGAAAGUGGUAAAUCGGUAAGAGACAUCAUAGAUCGCACCAUAUCUAACAGAGUGCGAUUACGACGUUCGGACACACCAUUACGCUGAGGUGUUCCAGGCGGCGUGAGUUGUGAAACUAUUCCACAUUUUCUUAAGUGUGCCCCAAACUCGUGACUCAAGUAUUCUCCUCCACGAUCUGAUCGCAGAAACUUGAUUUUCUUGUCACGUUGAUUUUCAACCUCACUCUGAAAUUCCUUGAACUUUUCAAAGGUUUCAGACUUGUGUUUCAUUAAGUAGAUAUACCCAUACCUACUUAAAUCAUCAGUGAGGGUGAGAACAUAACGAUAGCCACCGCGAGCCUCAACACUCAUUGGACCGCACACAUCGGUAUGUAUGAUUUCCAAUAAGUCGGUUGCUCGCUCCAUUGUUCCUGAGAACGGAGUCUUGGUCAUUUUACCCACAAGGCAUGGUUCGCACGUGUCAAAUGAUUCAUAAUCGAGAGACUCUAAAAGUCCAUCAGCAUGGAGCUUCUCCAUGCGUUUGACACCUAUGUGACCAAGGCGGCAGUGCCACAGGUAUGUGGGACUAUCAUUAUCAACCUUACUUCUUUUGGUACUCACAUUAUGAAUAUGUGUAGCAUCACGUUCGAGAUUCAUAAGGAAUAAACCAUUCACCAUAGGAGCAUGACCAUAAAACAUAUCUCUCAUAAAAAUGGAACAACCAUUAUUCUCAGAUUUAAAAGAGUAGCCAUCUCGAAUUAAACGAGAUCCCGAUACAAUGUUCAUGCUCAAAGCUGGCACUAAAUAACAAUUAUUAAGGUUUAAAACUAAUCCCGAAGGGAGAUGCAGAGGUAGCGUGCCGACGGCGAUCACAUUGACCGUGGAACCAUUCCCGACGCGCAUCGUCACCUCGUCCUUUGCCAGUUUCCGCUUAUUCCGCAGCCCCUGCUUUGAGUUACAAAUGUGAGCAACUGCACCGGUAUCAAAUACCCAGGAGCCACUACGGGCACUAGUAAGGUACACAUCAAUUACAUGUAUAUCACAUAUACCUUUUGUUUUGCCGGCCUUCUUAUCCGCUAAGUACUUAGGGCAGUUCCGCUUCCAGUGACCGCUUCCCUUGCAAUAAAAGCACUCAGUCUCGGGCUUGGGUCCAUUCUUUGGCUUCUUCCCGGCAGCUUGCUUGCCGGGCGCGGCAACCUCCUUGCCGUCCUUCUUGAAGUUCUUUUUACCCUUGCCUUUCUUGAACUUAGUGGUUUUAUUGACCAUCAACACUUGAUGUUCCUUCCUGACUUCUACCUCUGCUGAUUUUAGCAUAGCAAAUACUUCAGGAAUGGUCUUUUCCAUCCCUUGCAUAUUGAAGUUCAUCACAAAGCUCUUGUAUCUUGGUGGAAGUGACUGGAGGAUUCUGUCAAUGACCGCAUCAUCCGGGAGAUUAACUCCCAGCUGAGUCAAGCGGUUAUGCAACCCAGACAUAGUGAGUAUGUGCUCACUGACAGAACUGUUUUCCUCCAUCUUACAGCUGAAGAAUUUGUCGGAGACUUCAUAUCUCUCGACCCGGGCAUGAGCUUGGAAAACCAUUUUCAGCUCUUCGAACAUCUCAUAUGCUCCAUGUCUCUCAAAACGCUUUUGGAGCCCCGGCUCUAGGCUGUAAAGCAUGCCGCACUGAACGAGGGAGUAGUCAUCGGAACGUGCCUGCCAAGCGUUCAUAACAUCUUGUUCUGCAGGGAGAACGGGUGCGUCACCAAGCGGCGCUUGUAGGACAUAAUCUUUCUUGGCAGCUAUGAGGAUGAUCCUCAGGUUCCGGACCCAGUCCGUAUAAUUGCUGCCAUCGCCUUUCAGCUUAGUUUUCUCUAGGAACGCGUUGAAGUUGAGGACUACGUUGGCCAUUUGAUCUACAAGACAUAUUGCAAAGAUUUUAGACUAAGUUCAUGAUAAUUAAGUUCAACUAAUCAAAUUAUUAGUGAACUCCCACUUAGAUUAGACAUCCCUCCAGUCAUCUAAGUAUUACAUGAUCCGAGUUAACUAGACCGUGUCCGAUCAUCACGUGAGACGGACUAGUCAACAUCGGUGAACAUCUUCAUGUUGAUCGUAUCUUCUAUACGACUCAUGCUCGACCUUUCGGUCUUCUGUGUUCCGAGGCCAUGUCUGUACAUGCUAGGCUCGUCAAGUCAACCUAAGUGUUUGCAUGUGUAAAUCUGUCUUACACCCGUUGUAUGUGAACGUCUGAAUAAAACACCCGAUCAUCACGUGGUGUUUUGAGACAGCGAACUGUCGCAACGGUGCACAGUUAGGGGGAACACUUCUUGAAAUUAUUGUGAGGGAUCAUCUUAUUUACUACCGUCGUUCUAAGUAAACAAGAUGCAAAACAUGAUAAACAUCACAUGCAAUCAAAUAAUAAACGUGACAUGAUAUGGCCAAUAUCACAUAGCUCCUUUGAUCUCCAUCUUGGGGCUCCAUGAUCAUCUUGUCACCGGCUUGACACCAUGAUCUCCAUCAUCAUGAUCUCCAUCAUCGUGUCUCCAUGAAGUUGCUCGCCAACUAUUACUUCUACUACUAUGGCUAACGCGUUUAGCAAUAAAGUAAAGUAAUUUACAUGGCGUUUCUCGAUGACACGCAGGUCAUUAAAAGAAUAAAGACAACUCCUAUGGCUCCUGCCGGUUGUCAUACUCAUCGACAUGCAAGUCGUGAAUCCUAUUACAAUAGCAUGAACAUCUCAUACAUCACAUAUAGAUCAUUCAUCAUGCAUCACAACUUUGGCCAUAUCAUAUCACAAACCACUUGCUGCAAAAACAAGUUAGACGUCCUCUAAUUGUUGUUGCAAGUUUUACGUGGCUGAAUUAGGGUUCUAGCAAGAACGUCUUCUUACCUACGUUAAAGCCACAACGUGAUUUGUCAACUUCUAUUUACCCUUCAUAAGGACCCUGUUCAUCGAUUCCGCUCCAACUAAAGUAGGAGAGACAGACACCCGCCAGCCACCUUAUGCAACUAGUGCAUGUUAGUCGGUGGAACCGGUCUCACGUAAGCGUACGUGUAAGGUUGGUCCGGGCCGCUUCAUCCCACAAUACCGCUGAAGCAAGAAAGGACUAGUAACGGCAAGAAAGUUGACAAAUCUACGCCCACAACAAAUUGUGUUCUACUCGCGCAAGAAGAACUACGCAUAGACCUAGCUCAUGAUGCCACUGUUGGGGAACGUUGCAGAAAACAAAAAUUUUCCUACUCGUUUCACCAAGAUCAUCUAGGAGUUCAUCUAGCAACGAGUCAUUGGAUGCAUCUACAUACCUUUGUAGAUCACGAGCGGAAGCGUUCAAAAGAACGGUGAUGAUGUAGUCGUACUCGACGUGAUCCAAAUCACCGAUGACCAGCGCCGAACGGACGGCACCUCCGCGUUCAACACACGUACGGGACGGGAGACGUCUCCUCCUUCUUGAUCCAGCAAGGGGGAAGGAGAGGUUGAUGAAGAUCCAGCAGCACGACGGCGUGGUGGUGGAUGCAGGGCGUCACAGCAGCAGGGCUUCGCCGAGACUACGAGGGAGAGACGUAACGGGGGGAGGUGGAGGCGCCAGGGGCUGGUGUAAAAUCCCUCCUCUCCCCCCCACUAUAUAUAGGGGUGCCAGGGGGGCGCCGGCCCUAGUAGAUGGCAUCUACUAGGGGGGGCGGCGGCCAAGGGGAGGUUUCCCUCCCCCCCAAGGCACCUAGGGGUGCCUUCCACCACAUGGACUCUUCCAUGGUGGAAACCCUAGGCGCAUGGGCCUAUAGGGGCUGGUGCCCUUGGCCCAUCUAGGCCAAGGCGCACCCCCUACAGCCCAUGUGCCCCCCCGGGACAGGUGGCCCCACCCGGUGGACCCCCGGGACCCUUCCGGUGGUCCCGGUACAAUACCGAUAACCCCGAAACUUGUCCCGAUGCCCGAAAUAGCACUUCCUAUAUAUAAUUCUUUACCUCCGGACCAUUCCGGAACUCCUCGUGACGUCCGGGAUCUCAUCCGGGACUCCGAACAACAUUCGGGUUUCUGCAUAUACAUAUCUUCAUAACCCUAGCGUCACCGAACAUUACGCUGAGGUGUUCCAGGCGGCGUGAGUUGUGAAACUAUUCCACAUUUUCUUAAGUGUGUGCCAAACUCGUGACUCAAGUAUUCUCCUCCACGAUCUAAUCGUAGAAACUUGAUUUUCCUGUCACGUUGAUUUUCAACCUCACUCUGAAAUUCCUUGAACUUUUCAAAGGUUUCAGACUUGUGUUUCAUUAAGUAGAUAUACCCAUACCUACUUAAAUCAUCAGUGAGGGUGAGAACAUAACGGUAGCCACCGCGAGCCUCAACACUCAUUGGACCGCACACAUCAGUAUGUAUGAUUUCCAAUAAGUCGGUUGCUCACUCCAUUGUUCCUGAGAACGGAGUCUUGGUCAUUUUACCCAUAAGGCAUGGUUCGCAUGUGUCAAAUGAUUCAUAAUCAAGAGACUCUAAAAGUCCAUCAGCAUGGAGCUUCUUCAUGCGUUUGACACCUAUGUGACCAAGGCGGCAGUGCCACAGGUAUGUGGGACUAUCAUUAUCAACCUUACUUCUUUUGGUACUUACAUUAUGAACAUGUGUAGCAUCACGUUCGAGAUUCAUAAAGAAUAAACCAUUCACCAUAGGAGCAUGACCAUAAAACAUAUCUCUCAUAAAAAUGGAACAACCAUUAUUCUCAGAUUUAAAAGAGUAGCCAUCUCGAAUUAAACGAGAUCCCGAUACAAUGUUCAUGCUCAAAGCUGGCACUAAAUAACAAUUAUUAAGGUUUAAAACUAAUCCCGAAGGGAGAUGCAGAGGUAGCGUGCCGACGGCGAUCACAUUGACCUUGGAACCAUUCCCGACGCGCAUCGUCACCUCGUCCUUUGCCAGUUUCCGCUUAUUCCGCAGCCCCUGCUUUGAGUUACAAAUGUGAGCAACUGCACCGGUAUCAAAUACCCAGGAGCUACUACGGGCACUAGUAAGGUACACAUCAAUCACAUGUAUAUCACAUAUACCUUUUGUUUUGCCGGCCUUCUUAUCCGCUAAGUACUUAGGGCAGUUCCGCUUCCAGUGACCGCUUCCCUUGCAAUAAAAGCACUCAGUCUCGGGCUUGGGUCCAUUCUUUGGCUUCUUCCCGGCAGCUUGCUUGCCGGGCGCGGCAACCUCCUUGCCGUCCUUCUUGAAGUUCUUUUUACCCUUGCCUUUCUUGAACUUAGUGGUUUUAUUGACCAUCAACACUUGAUGUUCCUUCCUGACUUCUACCUCUGCUGAUUUUAGCAUAGCAAAUACUUCAGGAAUGGUCUUUUCCAUCCCCUGCAUAUUGAAGUUCAUCACAAAGCUCUUGUAGCUUGGUGGAAGCGACUGGAGGAUUCUGUCAAUGACCGCAUCAUCCGGGAGAUUAACUCCCAGCUGAGUCAAGCGGUUAUGCAACCCAGACAUAGUGAGUAUGUGCUCACUGACAGAACUGUUUUCCUCCAUCUUACAGCUGAAGAAUUUGUCGGAGACUUCAUAUCUCUCGACCCGGGCAUGAGCUUGGAAAACCAUUUUCAGCUCUUCGAACAUCUCAUAUUCUCCAUGUCUCUCAAAACGCUUUUGGAGCCCCGGCUCUAGGCUGUAAAGCAUGCCGCACUGAACGAGGGAGUAGUCAUCGAAACGUGCCUGCCAAGCGUUCAUAACAUCUUGUUCUGCAGGGAGAACGGGUGCGUCACCAAGCAGUGCUUGUAGGACAUAAUCUUUCUUGGCAGCUAUGAGGAUGAUCCUCAGGUUCCGGACCCAGUCCGUAUAGUUGCUGCCAUCGUCUUUCAGCUUGGUUUUCUCUAGGAACGCGUUGAAGUUGAGGACUACGUUGGCCAUUUAAUCUACAAGACAUAUUGUAAAAUAUUUAGACUAAGUUCAUGAUAAUUAAGUUCAAUUAAUCAAAUUAUUAAUGAACUCCCACUUAGAUUAGACAUCCCUCUAGUCAUCUAAGUAUUACAUGAUCCGAGUUAAACUAGACCGUGUCCGAUCAUCACGUGAGACAGACUAGUCAACAUCGGUGAACAUCUUCAUGUUGAUCGUAUCUUCUAUACGACUCAUGCUCGACCUUUCGGUCUUCCGUGUUCCGAGGCCAUGUCUGUACAUGCUAGGCUCGUCAAGUCAACCUAAGUGUUUGCAUGUGUAAAUCUGUCUUACACCCGUUGUAUGUGAACGUCUGAAUAAAACACCCGGUCAUCACGUGGUGUUUUGAAACAGCGAACUGUCGCAACGGUGCACAGUUAGGGGGAACACUUCUUGAAAUUAGUAUGAGGGAUCACCUUAUUUACUACCGUCGUUCUAAGUAAACAAGAUGCAAAACAUGAUAAACAUCACAUGCAAUCAAAUAAUAAACGUGACAUGAUAUGGCCAAUAUCACAUAGCUCCUUUGAUCUCCAUCUUGGGGCUCCAUGAUCAUCUUGUCACCGGCUUGACACCAUGAUCUCCAUCAUCAUGAUCUCCAUCAUCGUGUCUCCAUGAAGUUGCUCGCCAACUAUUACUUCUACUACUAUGGCUAACGCGUUUAGCAAUAAAGUAAAGUAAUUUACAUGGCGUUUCUUGAUGACACGCAGGUCAUAUAAAAGAAUAAAGACAACUCCUAUGGCUCCUGCCGGUUGUCAUACUCAUCGACAUGCAAGUCGUGAAUCCUAUUACAAUAGCAUGAACAUCUCAUACAUCACAUAUAGAUCAUUCAUCAUUCAUCACAACUUUGGCCAUAUCAUAUCACAAACCACUUGCUGCAAAAACAAGUUAGACGUCCUCUAAUUGUUGUUGCAAGUUUUUUACGUGGCUGAAAUAGGGUUCUAGCAAGAACGUUUUCUUACCUACGUUAAAGCCACAAAGUGAUUUGUCAACUUCUAUUUACCCUUCAUAAGGACCCUGUUCAUCGAUUCCGCUCCAACUAAAGUAGGAGAGACAGACACCCGCCAGCCACCUUAUGCAACUAGUGCAUGUUAGUCGGUGGAACCGGUCUCACGUAAGCGUACGUGUAAGGUUGGUCCGGGCCGCUUCAUCCCACAAUACCGCUGAAGCAAGAAAGGACUAGUAACGGCAAGAAAGUUGACAAAUCUACGCCCACAACAAAUUGUGUUCUACUCGCGCAAGAAGAACUACGCAUAGACCUAGCUCAUGAUGCCACUGUUGGGGAACGUUGCAGAAAACAAAAAUUUUCCUACUCGUUUCACCAAGAUCAUCUAGGAGUUCAUCUAGCAACGAGUGAUUAGAUGCAUCUACAUACCUUUGUAGAUCGCGAGCGGAAGCGUUCAAAAGAACGGUGAUGAUGUAGUCGUACUCGACGUGAUCCAAAUCACCGAUGACCAGCGCCGAACGAACAUCACCUCCGCGUUCAACACACGUACGGAACAGCCACGUCUCCUCCUUCUUGAUCCAGCAAGGGAGGGAGGAGAGGUUGAGGGAGAUGGCACCAGCAGCAGCACGACGGCGUGGUGUUGAUGGAGCUGCAGUACUCCGGCAGAGCUUCGCUAAGCACUAUGGAGGUGGAGGAGGUGUUGGGGAGGGAGAAGGAGGCAACCAAAGGCCAGGGCGUUCAGGUAUGAAGUCCCUCCUCUCCCCCACUAUAUAUAGGGGUGCCAAGGGGGGGUGGCCGGCCCUAGGAGAUCCAAUCUCCUAGGGGGUGCGGCGGCCUAGGGGGGUUUCCCUCCCUCCCAAGGCACCUAGGAGGUGCCUUCCCCUCCUAGGACUCUUCCCCCUCUAAACCCUAGGCGCAUGGGCCUAUGUGGGGCUGGUGCCCUUGGCCCAUUAGGCCAAGGCGCACCCCCUUACAGCCCAUGUGGCCCCCCGGGACAGGUGGACCCACCCGGUGGACCCCCGGGACCCUUCCGGUGGUCCCGGUACAAUACCGAUAACCCCGAAACUUGCCCCGAUGCCCGAAACAGGACUUCCCAUAUAUAAAUCUUUACCUCCGGACCAUUCCGGAACUCCUCGUGACGUCCGGGAUCUCAUCCGGGACUCCGAACAACAUUCGGGUUACUGCAUAUACAUAUCCCUACAACCCUAGCGUAACUGAACCUUAAGUGUGUAUACCCUACGGGUUCGGGAGACAAGCAGACAUGACCGAGACGACUCUCCGAUCAAUAACCAACAGCGGGAUCUGGAUACCCAUGUUGGCUCCCACAUGCUCCACGAUGAUCUCAUCGGAUGAACCACGAUGUCGAGGAUUCUAUCAACCCCGUACGCUAUUCCCUUUGUCUAUCGAUAUGUUACUUGCCCGAGAUUCGAUCAUCGGUAUCCCAAUACCUCGUUCAAUCUCGUUACCGGCAAGUCACUUUACUCGUACCGUAAUGCAUGAUCCCGUGACCAGACACUUGGUCACUCUGAGCUCAUUAUGAUGAUGCAUUACCGAGUGGGCCCAGUGAUACCUCUCCGUCAUACGGAGUGACAAAUCCCAGUCUUGAUCCAUGUCACCCAACAGACACUUUCGGAGAUACCCGUAGUCUACCUUUAUAGUCACCCAGUUACGUUGUGACGUUUGGCAUACCCAAAGCACUCCUACGGUAUCCGGGAGUUACACGAUCUCAUGGUCUAAGGAAAAGAUACUUGACAUUGGAAAACUCUAGCAAACGAACUAUACGAUCUUGUGCUAUGUUUAGGAUUGGGUCUUGUCCAUCACAUCAUUCUCCUAAUGAUGUGAUCUCGUUAUCAAUGACAUCCAGUGUCCAUAGUCAGGAAACCAUGACUAUCUGUUGAUCAACGAGCUAGUCAACUAGAGGCUCACUAGGGACAUGUCGGUGUCUGUUAUUCACACAUGUAUUACGAUUUCCGGAUAACACAAUUAUAGCAUGAAUAAAGACAAUUAUCAUGAACAAGGAAAUAUAAUAAUAAUGCUUUUAUUAUUGCCUCUAGGGCAUAUUUCCAACACGUAUGACUAUAUUCGGAAUACAUGCCUACAUUACAUUGAUGAAUUGGAGCUAGUUCUAUGUCAUCCUACGUUAUAACUAUUACAUGAGGAAUCACAUCCGAUAUAAUUAUCCAUCACUGAUCCAAUGCCUACGAGCUUUUCACAUAUUGCUCUUUGCUUAGUUACUUUACCGUUGCCACUGUUACAAUUACUACAAAACUGCUACUGUUACUUUUGCUACUGUUACCGUUACUUCCAUACUACCUUGCUACUAAAUAUUUUGCUGCAGAUAUUAAGUUAUCCAGGUGUGGUUGAAUUGACAACUCAACUGCUAAUACUUGAGAAUAUUAUUUGGCUCCCCUUAUGUCGAAUCAAUAAAUUUGGGUUGAAUACUCUACCCUUGAAAACUGUUGCGAUCUCCUAUACUUGUGGGUUAUCAAGACUAUUUUCUGGCACCGUUGCCGGGGAGCAUAGCUCUAUUCUUUGAGUCACUUGGGACUUAUAUCUGCUGAUCACUAUGAGGAACUUGAAAGACGAAAGAACUAAAAUUUAUCCCUCAACUACGAGGGGAGGUAAGGAACUGCCAUCUAGCUCUGCACUUGAUUCUCCAUCUGUUAUGAGCAAGCUUGCAACACCUAAACCUACUCCUGCUAUUAAUUCUAACAUGUCGCAUGUUACUGAUGAUGCCACUUCUGCUAUGCAUGAUACUUAUGAUGAAACUACUUAUAUGCCUGAUAAUACUGUGCUAUUAGGUGAAUUUCUUGAUGAACAACUUUCUAGGGCUAGAGAGGAUGAAAUAAUUAAAACUGAUAUUAUUGAUGAAAGUGAUGAUGAAGAUUCUCCCCCUAGAUAUGAAUUGCAUGUUGUUCCUGAGGGUUAUGUUAUGGAUGAAGAAACUGCUAGAGAUUUUCUUGCUUGCAAUGAUAGAUCUGAUCUUAAGAAGUUAUUAGCUAAGCUAAAACAAAAGUCUCUUAAUGCUAGAAUGAAAUAUGACCCUGCUUUUGCUACUUCACCUAUCUGUGUUACUGAUAAGGAUUAUGAUUUCACUAUCGAUCCAGAGAUAAUUACUUUGGUUGAAUCUGAUCCUUUUUAUGGCAAUGAAUCUGAAACUGUUGUGGCACAUCUUACUAAAUUGAAUGAUAUAGCCACCCUGUUCACUAAUGAUGAGAAAUCUUGCUACUACUAUAUCCUCAAAAUAUUUCCGUUCUCAUUAAAGGGUGAUGCUAAAACUUGGAUUAAUUCUCUUGAUCCUGGUUGUGUGCGUAGUCCCCAGGAUAUGAUUUAUUACUUCUCUGCUAAAUAUUUCCCUGCUCAUAAGAAACAAGCUGCUUUAAGGGAAAUAUAUAAUUUUGUGCAAAUUGAAGAAGAGAGUCUCCCACAAGCUUGGAAGAGGCUUUUCCGAUUACUUAAUGCUUUGCCUGAUCAUCCUCUUAAGAAAAAUGAAAUACUUGACACCUUUUAUAAUGGACUAACCGAUGCUUCCAGAGACCACCUGGAUAUUGUAAGUGCAUCUAGUGCCCCUUAGUGAUUUUGGUGUAUUGAAGACUUAUAGGUUAAGUAACUGAUGCGUUUGUGAGUGUACAUAGGUCUAUAAGUCUAGGAGGAGUUUGAUAUUUACAGAGAAAGUCGACCCCUAAAAAUGAAGUUCUUCGACUGAAGACUUUGAUAUUCUGAAGACUUUGAAAGUGAAGAAAUUGGUGUGACCUUGAAGACUUGGUAUUCACUUGAGGAACAUGAAGCGUGAAGACUUUUGUUUUCGUAGUUUCAUUUUCUCUUUCUUGAGUCAUAGGAAACACCGUACUGUUAAAGGGGGUCGAGGAAAUACUAAGGAAAAAUUUCCAUGUGAUGCUCAACUCAAAAUCCUACACCUACCAAUCCUUUCGAGUGAAGCCAUUGGAAAUCUCAUACAGUUCAGUCAAAUUCUUCAGUGACAGAGACGCAGUUCUUCUGGUCACUGAUGACUUUGGUCUGACUGAGGAGUUAGGAAUUCGCCAGUGCGAAUUGCCUACACAGUGAGGAACAUGAUAGCCCUGAGGACUUUGAGAGUCAAAUUUCCGACCGUUGCUGUGCUGCGCGCCGGCGGACCAAAAUAUCUUAUCCACCUAACGGUCAUAUCAUUGAAGGGCAUUUAUGUCUUAUCAUGUCGGGCUGCUCCCUAGGCUAUAAAUAGCCGCCCCCUACAACCACUAGUUGGUUGGCUGCUCCGAGAGAACUUGACACUUGUCAUUUGAGAGCAACCCAUCCUCCGAGGACUUUGAGCGAAAAUCAUCAAGUGAGGAAAAUCCCAAAACCAAACCCCCACAAACCCAAAGUGAUUGAGCAUCACUGAAGAAAUCGAUCCUGCGUGGAUCCGACGCUUGUUACCUUUGAAGAUUGUGCUUCUUCCAGACGGUUAGGCGUCAAGGUCUAGAGCAUCCAAGAGGAAUUGUGGAUCGCCGAGUGACCAAGUCUGUGAAGGUUUGGAAGUCACCUGAAGACUUACCACGAGUGAUUGGACAAGGCCUGCGUGGUCUUAGUUCAAGGAGAAUACGGUGAGGACUGGGUGUCCUGAGUUGCGGCUCAGAGACUGGGUGUCCGGGACUGUGUGUCCUCGAGUUUAAAUACUCAGCCGCUCCAACCAGACGUACAACUGAGACAGCAGUUGGAACUGGUCUACCAAAUCAUUGUCUUCACCAACUGACUGGUUCUAUUUCCUCAACUCAUUCAUUUCCUCAUUCUGUGUUGCAUGUUGUUCAUAUCUGUGCUUGAAGACUUUGACUGAAGACUUUCACAAAUUCCUCAGUUCAAUUUCUUCAGUCUGUUUGUCUUCAUCUUGUUAUCCUGUGUUUACGCUUUCCGUACUCUAUUCUAGUCUUCAUUUCAUCAUGCUGACUAUGUGUGUAUCCUGUUAUGUUUACUUCUGAGUACAUAUUCCGCUGCAAGUAGUUCUUUGCUAAGGAAUUUCCUCACCGGCAAAUUCCUCAGUGAAGAAUUCAUAAAAAUCACCUAUUCACCCCCCCUCUAGUCGAUAUAACGCACUUUCAAUUGGUAUCAGAGCAAGGUACUCCCUUGUUCUGUGUGAUUUUGGUUUAACCGCCUGGAGUUUUUAGUUAUGUCGACCGCAGGUAUGAUCAAGGUCUCGGCUGGGUGUCCUACCUUUGAUGGAACGGACUACCCCUACUGGAAGAACAAGAUGCGAAUGCAUCUUGAGGCAAUUGACAAUGAUCUCUGGUAUGUUGUGGAAAAUGGUGUCCCCUCUGUCACUGAAACACUGACCGCUACCGAUGUGAAGAGAUUCAAACAACUCGAUUCUCAAGCGAAGAAUAUCAUCUGUGGCCAUCUGAGAAAAGGACAGUAUGGAAGAGUGAGUGCUUUGGAAACUGCUAAGCUUAUCUGGGAUAGGCUGUCCAAAGUAAAUGAAGGAGUCUCAAGUCAGCGUGACUCUCGAGUCGAUGUUCUUCGGAAUCUCUUCAACCGCUUCAAAAGACUCGACAACGAAAAUGUCCAACAAACCUUUGAUCGCCUCACUGACAUCUCAAAUGAGCUUCAAGCCCUCGGUGCCACUGACAUCACUGAUCAUGAAGUUGUGAAGAAACUGCUAAGAUCGCUUGAUUCCUCAUUUGAUACUCUGGGACUGAUGAUACAAGAACGUGCUGACUACAAGUCGCUUGAUCCUGCUGAUAUCCUCGAAAGGCUUAACACUCACGAGUUCCAGCUUGCUGAAAAGAGAGAUAUCUAUGGCUCAAACUAUGGCAAACCACGUGCCCUGAAGGCUAAGGUUGUGUCUGACUCUGAAUGUGAGGAUUCUGGUAGUAGCCUUGGUGAUCCUGAAGAACUGAGCCAGGAUCUAGCUCUGCUUGUGAAGAAAUUCCAGAAGUUCACAAGACGUGGUCGCUUUGGAAAACCCUCAAGAGGAAAUGAUUCUUCAUCCAGUGACUACAAGAGAAGACUUUGCCACAAAUGCAAAAGGCCUGGUCACUAUAUUCAAGAUUGUCCUCAGUGGGAAAAGGAAAUGAAGAAGAAGAAAUACAAGGAUUAUAGUUCUGAUGAUAUGAAGAAGAAGAAGAAAUCGUCAAAAUCUUCGUCAUCAAAACCCUCAAAAUCUUCAUCUCACAAGAAGGGCAACUCCAAGAAAGCUCGGGCAUUCAUUGGCAAGGAAAUGGACUCUGAAGCUGAAUCUGAGGAAAAUGAUGAAGAGGAGGAGUCUGAAGAAUCUGAGUCUGGUGUGACGAGUCUGGCCGUUGCUACUGCUUUCGUCAGCAAGUCCAUCUUCAACACUGAAGAAACUGACUCCACCAACAAGCCUGAUGAAGAUAAUGAUGGCUACGCUCCCACCUAUUGCUUCAUGGCAAAAGGAGCUAAGGUACUCAAAUACAACUCCUCUGAUUCUAGUGAAAAUGAAUCUGAUGAGGAUCUUAAGCCUAGCUACUCUAAACUUGCUAAAAUUGCUGUGAAACAACAAAGGGCUCUUGAAAAGGUUCAAAACAUGCUAGAUAAAAGUGAUGAUAUGUUGGGUGAAGAAAUGGAUUGCACUAAAGCCUUGACUGAGAAUCUUCAGAGACUUCAGUCUAGGUAUGAUAAUCUUCAAGGUCAUCAUAACUCUCUCUUGUCUGAUCAUGAGAAACUUUCAUAUGAAUUUCUUCAAGAGAAGCAAGAUCAUGAGAAGCUUCUCUCUUGAAGCUCUUCAAAGAAAGGAAGAUCUUGAAAAGCUAAGAGUGUGUUAUGAAGAUCUUCUGAAGGAGCGCGAUUCAUUACUAGCUCAACAAAUCAGCGCUUCUCAGGAAGAAUUUGUUCCUCCAUGCUUAAAGUGCAUUGAACGUGAAUCUGCUAAUUCUUCACCUGAAUGUUCAAAUUCUUCAACUGUUACAAAUUCUUCAUCUGCCUCUGCUAUCACUAAUUCCUCAUCUGAGGACAUUGCUAGUAUCACUGACAAUGCAGGGCUGAAGGAAUUGUACAUGACAGGCAUGUACAAAAGCCUCAAAGGGCAUCAGACACUUUGUGAUGUGCUCAAAAAGCAGAUCCUCAACAGAAACCCUAGGAAAGAGGGUAUUGCCUUUGAGAGGAAACUCAAUGCCGAUGGAACAUAUUGGAAGCCCGAGCAGUAUCCCAAAACCUCAUGGGUUGCUGCAAAGGGACCUCCAGUUGAUCCAUCUAAUUUAUCUGGCUUUACAUGUGAAUCUCCUCAUUCUUCUGAUGAGUCAUUUGACUCCAACUAUAAACUGUUCAAAAAUCAGAAUGGUGAAGUAUUUGCUAGAUAUGUUGGCACUAACUGCAGGAACGGUUCCCCUAUGAAGAAAAUAUGGGUUCCCAAAAGCUGUGUUGAAAGUCUUCAGGUGAAUGUCCUCAUGACACCACCUGUGAAGAACAGGAACCCCAGAUCAAAUUCUUCAUAUGGACCAAACUCUUUAUAUGGAUCCAAGUCCUCAUAUGGACCAAAUUCUUCACGAGGAUCAAAUUCCUCAACUGGAUCAAAGUCCUCAUAUGAUUAUCAUCGUGCUAACAAAUCUGUCUCGCAGGGUAAAGCUAAGAGCUAUGAAUAUGUGCAUUAUUCUUCAAACCAUUAUGUUCAUAAGUCCUCGAAGAAUCACUCUGCUUAUUCAUA